GAUUGUAAGGUUUUAAAAGUUGAAAAAAAGAACUGAAUUACAGGAAUUAUGGAACUAUAUCAAAAGGCAUAUGCCUUCUUCCUUGAGGCGAAAAAAACUCGCCCAGCACAGUAAUACGUUUGCCCCAUCAGUUGGGGGCGUGCACGCAACGGUAUGUCCACCCCCUUCAACUGCCCGGGGCAGUUGACAUGUGCCCUGCCCUGGAGGCAUGCCUUAUUAACACCUCUCAAAACAAUGCUUUGCACUGCUUCUUGGUUUUACUCGUACAUUUAAUUGAGGAAUUCAUAUUGUGGGUUGGUCUGUUAGACAUGCCAAAAUGAAGUCUUGUAACACAGACAACAUAUGAUUUUUUAUGUUGUAAUAUUUUUUUGCACCACAGCAUGUGGUUUCCCGAGAAUAAAUUUGCAAAUAUAUCUAGAAGUUCUUUGAAAGAGAUUUUUUUUCUCCAACCAAUCAAAGUUUUUAAAAUUUCUGGAGGUUCUUGAGUAGUUGUUGCUUGUCAAAAAAUUGGCCUACCUAGUUGGUUGCGUAUUCUUGGGCCAUUGAUAAAGUUCUGUGGGUUAUGCUGUGAAUAAAAUGACAGACUUGGAAGCAAAGUGGCUUAAAUUUUGUAAUGGAAUAAGCAUAAUCAUGUCAACAAGUUGCUUUUUAUCACCAAUAUCUGGUCUUAGAUGUGUGUCUUCCAGAUGAAGAUGUCAAAGCUGGAAUUACAUCAUAUUUGAAGCUACAUAGUUGAAAUAUUUUCUUUUAAUGGACCAAAAUUCGGGUAUUUCAUCUUUUUUUUUUUAAAAACAAAUUUUGGAGUUAGGAUUUUGAGUAAUCGGGUGUCCUAGCUUACCCUUUCUUCACUGUUAUCAUGUGAAUAUGGUUCUUUCAAGUUGUUUAUUUUGUCUACUCCCUCCACUACAUCUUAACUUGAAUUUUUUAUACCAUUACCUUGCCAUCCAUUCCAGACUGAAUGUUUGUAUAAUUGCAAUUUAAUAUUGCUUAAGUUGUGUUUCCUAUUCUAUUUCAGAGAUCAUCUUGCGACAUAUGCUAGUGUUUACCCAGCACAAUUCAUCCUUGGUUACUGCUCGAUAUAUAUCUUCAUGCAGACAUUCAUGAUCCCUGGGACAAUCUUCAUGUCCUUACUUGCUGGAGCACUUUUUGGUGUUAUCAGGGGCCUUUUCUUGGUUGUCUUUAAUGCCACUGCCGGGGCAUCAUCCUGCUAUUUUCUGUCUAAGCUAGUCGGAAGGCCUAUAGUUAAUUGGCUUUGGCCUGAGAAAUUGAGAUUUUUCCAGGCAGAGGUACAUACACUGUGACUUAGUUUUUUGUACAUGCUUAAUUGGUAAUUUAUGCACCUCAUUCAUGAUAGUCAUUUCCCUUGCUCUUUUCAGAUAGCAAAACGCAGAGACAAGUUGCUUAAUUAUAUGUUGUUUUUGAGAGUAACUCCAACCCUGCCAAACCUUUUUAUCAACCUGGCCUCACCCAUUGUUGAUAUACCAUUUCAUAUCUUUUUUCUGGCUACUGUGGUGGGUCUGAUUCCAGCUUCUUACAUUACUGUCAGAGUAAGUUCUUUUCUACUGGGUUUUGGUUUCAAUUUGCGCUUUUAUCUAUGGUUUGUUUUUUCUUCAUUUUUUUUUCUUUUCUCUUUGGCUAUUAUAUGUAAUAUGUUUCUUAGGGGCAUAUUACUGUGACAGAGCAGUAUAUGUUGUUUCUUAAGAUUGUAAAACACAGUAUACAAAUAUAUAGAGCAUCUGUAGGCCAUUGCUCGAAAGUGUGUGUGGACUAAGUUGAAGUGGCAUAACUAGAUUCUUUUGAAAGGGGUUUUAUUACUGGAAUGCCUUAAAAAUCUUGUUCGGAUGACGUUUUGUUGUGCUUCUUGGUAAUGUAAGAAUUUGUUGUGCCUUCGGAAAUCUUUUAACCUGUCAUCGCCUUGCAACUGGAUUCCAUAAGUUAGGCUUAAAUUACUUGAUCAUAUACAAAAAUGCGUGCAAUGGCGAUUGUCAAUACGAUACUGAGUAUAGGAAUUAGUUCUUUUGUCUUGCCUUCCACUUUCAAUGGCUCCAUGGAGUGGAUAAUGUUGCUUUAUUCUGCAUUCUGCAGUUAAUUAUGUGAUUAGUGGAGUUCAAAAAAAUUAUGUGAUUAGUUAUGCUCUAUGUCAGAAUUAUUAAAUACAAGUGGAAUUGCUGAUAUCCUCCAGUAGACAUACUAGUGACAGUCAUGACUGCAUGAAGCCUAUCCAUCAAUUGUUGGUUCAUGCCUUGAACACAUUUGAUUUACAGCUGCUUUUGUUGUCAUCAGGCUGGCCUUGCACUUGGGGAGUUGAAGUCAGUUAAAGAUUUGUAUGAUUUCAAAACUUUAUCUGUUCUUUUCCUCAUUGGAUCGGUGGCCAUAAUUCCAACCUUUUUGAAGAGGAAGCGAGUCUAUGAAUAGAGAUUCUUGUUACCACCUACCCGUCUUUUUGAGGGAAUGAAACUGGUGACAGGGUAUGAUCUGACUGGUAUACCAUUUUAAAAAGUUGGGGAACAGAGGUGCGAGUCCUUGUUAACUGCAAUGCACCUGAAGGUUAGAAGUGGGUUCGCUUCACUUGCGAUUUGCAGUCAAUCACAGCUUUAAGCAUCAAAAGAAGUGCUGAUUUAGUUGAUUUCGCAUACUAUUGGCUCACCUGUCUUCCUGGGGGUUUAUGAGGCCAACAAGCUGAAAUAUAACCAAUUGCUAACUACUUUUGUAUUCCAAUAUCAGCAUAGUCAUUUGUUAGGCAAAAGUAAUGUUGUAAUUUCCUUUCCGGGUAUUUCCUUCCCUACGUCUUACUUGUUCCUUACUUUGUUACGUGUGUACCAUGUUAGGAUCCUAUUGGAUUGGACAUAGUUGAAGAUAAUAGCUCUGUUUGGAUCAUUCUUUUCCGAAGUGUUUUUAGAAAAAAAUUUAUCGUAACAACCUUUUUUUUUCUUGAACAAGUAUAUGUGAGAUAAUUAGGCAGUGAGAUAAUGUGUUAAAAAUUUAAUAAAAUCAAUGCAAAUAAACCAGACAUUUCCAUAGGUAAUUGGCGGUUUUUCUAUCAUCUUAGGCUAAAUUUACACUGCAAAUGUGUUUGACUCGUAUUAAAUAAUCAUUUCCAUACUUUGGUGAUUUCAUGGGAUGAUUAAUGUUUGCUAUAGACGGUUGUUGUGGGGCCAUGUUUUGCCUAAGAAUUAAGUGAUAUAUAUAUAUAGAGAGAGAGAUAUAUAUAUGUAUGUAUAUAUGGACUGUGAACCUUAUAAGGAGAAUAAGGAAGGGCUUUAGAGUUGAACCAUGAACCUCACCGUCAUUUAUCCAAUGUUCUUAGCAACUAAGUAGACCUUGAAUAUAACCGGAUGUAACUCCAUGAAAAUGAUAAAGAAGGACUCUAAAAUUUUAACAUUUGUGAAUUACUAACUAAAUUGAAUUGUCAAUUUUUCACAAGUAUAGAAUUAGAUAUUUCAAUACUCAUAAUUGUGAGUCAGUUGUUAUAAAAAUAAUUUGUGCAAAGUUUUCUCUUUUGCUAGCAAGAUCUAAUUAGGGGUGUGGGCAAGCCAAUCUUGUGACAGCCUCACCUCACUCUAAGGCGAACCAAAGGGUUCGGCGGACUGCCUGCCCAACUCUCGCCGGGACUACGGAUCCGGAACAAACGUAAACCCUACCAAUGCUCAAAAGAAUUUUGAGAAGAUAAACAUUCAGAAUCCAAUUGAGCCGAACUAAAAGAUACGAUAAAUCUUUGGUACAACGUUCCCACGAAAAAUCAAAACGAAAAGGAAGUGCCGCAGCCACGUCACAAUCCGGCCGGAUUCUUGGCCGGAUUGGAGGCAGUAACUCAGCCCCAAAAAUUUUCAAAUUCCCCUGCAAAUCCGGCCAAAACUGGCCGGAUUCCAUGAACAAUUCCCACCAGAAUUUUCUUCUUUUCUGGAUCAACUAUCGCACUCAUCCGAAAUCCAACCAAAAACAAGUAAACUUUGUCUAACAUGAGAGAAUGUACAUUCCCAAAUACAUAUACAUAAACAUGAGGAAACUUUUCAAAAUAUACAUAUUAUUAAGUUUACAAAUCCAAAGGAAACAUUGUAUUAAGAUACAUUUAGGGUUUCCAAAUUGUCGAGGAGCUAUACCAAAAGAACAAAAGAAUUUCUAACUAGCUCAACUCAUUCCUCAAAACAUCGGAGUUCCAAAAGAUUGUUCCCUAUAAGGAAAACAAGAAUAACGGAACGGGGUGAGCUAGAAGCUCAAUAAGAUACCAAAAGUAUAAACAGUAGAAAUCAUGAGAAAUCACUUUUAAGGCACAUAUACACACAAAUAAGAGAAAUGAACGAACACCACAAUUUGAAGGAUACAGGGGGCUCUCAGGAGCCAAAUCCCCGUUGCAAUACUUGAUCCAGCCUCGUUGACCAUCCGUCAACGUUUAAUGAAACACACAUGUCCGUAGACCCCUUUUACGCCAAAAUUCCGUUCACCAAACAUACCCCUUAUCGGGCCCGAACGCCAUACAAGAACAGGAAUGGUAAUACUCGAGUAUACCGGAAACCUAGAAUCUCCAAUACCCAAAGAUUUCCCAAAAACAAACACCCAUGGAUUGUCAAUUUUCCUCAACCAAGCCCUUGCUGGCUUGAUUCAAUUGACUCCCUAUGAGAUUGAGCUCAGAUUUAACAGGAAGGUCGUUGGAUACACUUCCAAACGACAUCAUAUCAGGCACAAGUAACAGAUUCAAGCAUAUACAGGAAACAAAUCACACAGGCUAGAGAACGAGUGUGAUAAAGUACACACUCGUCUCGUACAAAAUAAACAGUCAGUAAAGACAUUAAAAUAGCAAUUUGCAAGUACAGAUAACCAGUUUAGCAAUAAUUCAGGGGAGUGGUACACUCACCGGUUCACGUAAAGAUACUUCAAAAGUUGUCAACCAACGUAUGACUUUAGUCACCAAGAAAUCCUAGAAUAACCAAGGGAAACAAUUAUGGUUCCCACAGCCACAAAUCCAGCAAAUAAGAUGCAUAAUUGAGGCUCGACUGCAAGUCGUAUACCUCUCUAAAUAAUUACUAAUGCAAGAGUGCAAAACAUGAUUUUGGGAACGAAAAGGUAACAUGAAGAUCUAGGGCUCGAACAACCCCAAAAGCCCUUCUUAUAUAUCCCAAACCAAACCAAACUCGAAGAAAUCCAAUAUUCCCAAAAUUUGGACAGCAUAUCCCCUACAUUUCCUUACUUUUCCAUCCUACAAUCAUACCAAUGUCAUCUCAAUUCAACCACAAUUGAACACACAAAUCACAAGCUAUUAAACACACUUAGUUAGGGCGACAAUACCCUUCCACUUGAGCCAAUUAAUAGCUUCAAUACUAAUCACAAGAAAGCCCCAAUUUUGAAACCCUAAAACUGAAAUUUUCCACCACAAACCACAAUGAACAUAAAGAGCUUCAUUUUACCCCACAUAAAGCUAUCAUACCAUGACUAGUCAAUAAUUAUCAUGUAAGAACAGAAAAAUUAUCAAUAAAUCUGAAAUUUGCCAAGCUCUACCUUAAAUCAUGAAAUCUCCCACAAAAUAGCAUAUUUAACCACUAGUAACCUCUAAUUUACCAUUAUUAGUAACAAAGAGAAGAUUUAUUGACAAAGUACCUUAACACCUCAAGAAAGGUAGUAGCUUGGAGCUUGUCCUUCCAAAAUCACUCCACUCAAUCCUUUAAUCCACCUUAGUAAACAACUUUUAUGAAGGGUUUUGUAAAAAUUCUGGUUGGAAUUCAAGAUUGGACAAGAAAUGGAAGAACAAAUGAAGUUUCUCUCUUGGUUUCUUUCCCUCAAGGUGGCCGGCCAAGGAAGCUUAAAAUGGGAUAAAAAUUGGGUCAAAAUUGAUGUUUAGGAAAGUGAAAUACUCUUAGUCAAAGUCCACUCACUAAUCGGGUCGCGACCCGUGGCGCCUCUAAGCUUUAAUCUUAUCUUCUUCUCUCCAAUACUAAUUAAUCUAACUAACCUCCCAUUAUCUUCUAGCCCCCUUGAAGAAUUAUAUCACUUAAUACAAAACUCCAACUAUUGAUCCAAAUUUAUCGCACUUACCGCAUAGCGGGUCCUGUGAGAACCCUGAAAAAUAUAUAUAUAUAAAUAUCAUCUUGUAUUUCGUUUGCAUUUAUUUUAGUUGCUUACCUUGAGAUUUGAAAUAUUUCAUAUAAUGAUUAAGUGGCUAGUUAAAUGCCUAAUUGAAUUCUUAUCAAAAUUUAGAAAUUAAAAGUAUCCUGAUUUAAUUAAGAAUAACGGUGUAAGGGGAAUGGAGUAUCUAUAAGUCAUAAUUAAUAUUUCUUGAGUUAGAAUAAUUUACCGCCUUAAAAUAAAAUGCUAAAAUACUUAGUUUUCUUUAUGUUAAAAAUUAAUGCUACCUGAGUAGAUUAAUUAUGUAAAAUUUCGUGAAUUCCAAUAAUUAAUCCUAAUUAGCGAAUAACGUUAAAUACUAAUAAGAAUUUUCACGUUAAGACCAAAACCAAUAAAUUUUAUGUGCAAAAUAAAAUUAUUGUGCUAAACUAUUGAAAUUCUAGUUUUGUUUCAUUAAAUUCAUACUUCAAUGGUAAACCAUUUCAUUGAUCUAACAAUUAAUCUCCCUGAACUCUAGUAUUGUAAUUAAUGGUUUUGAAAUAAAGUGUAAAGAUAAUUUUUAUGUAAUAAAUAAUAUAAUUGUGCCCAAUAUUGAAUUAUUCAGUUUUGUUAUACUAAAAGUAAUAAUUCUUGAGCUAUAUUAAGUUUACUCUUUAAAUAAAUUCCUUAAUUUACAAUAGCUAACUUUAUUACGAAUAAGAUUAAGAGUAUACAGAAACCUUAGUAUUAAGAUGCAAUCGAUAAAUUUUGGACAAGAACGAUAAAAGUAUCCUAGAUAUACUUAGGACGUAAGACUUACGAUAAUUAAGGUCUUGUAGGACUAGUGUAUAAUUCGACGUUUAAAUCACACUUGGGGAUAAUUUUUGGACUUUAGUUAGGGCCAAGGACUUAAGGGGAUAUUAGGAGGAGAUGUGAAAAGACCAAAAUGCCCUCCAUACAAUCCCAAAAUAGCCAUGCAAUCCCAAAAUCAAACCUGCCGGACAACAUCUUCACAACCUCUUCAUUCGGCCAAUGAAAAGCUUCCCCAAUCAAACACUCAACCAAUUCUACCCACAAACACCUCUCAAAACCACGGCACCCUCCUCAUUUCCUUUCCACUUCACAUCUCAAGCCACAACUGCAAUUCACUCUGCCUUGCUAGUGUCGACAAACCGAGAGAGCGUGAGAGAGGCCGAGCUGCAUUCUGCAGCCGAGAGGAAGAAAAGAAACCGCAGGAUUGAAUGUUUUUGGUUCUGUCCGUCAGUCGGAGUGAAACCAGGGAGAGCAAGUGGAAGUCGGAGGAGCUGCUGAUCAUCACCAUUUUCGUUCACUUCAGACCACCAUUUCCAGCUGCAAAUCGAACCAGGACCAACCAGUGUUCGUGAGAGCCGAGAGGGAGCAGAAAUUUUCCAGAAUUUUUGCGUGAAAGCUUAGCUUGCUGUGAGGUAAAUUUCUGGAUCGUUUAAGGACUGAUCAGAGGUAGUUUGAGCUAUCUAGAGGCAUGCAUGUACUAUGGUACAAUCGGAUGAAUGAGAUUAAGCCAUUAGAAAAUUUCUGUUUUGAAUGUUGAUGUUUCUGCUGAGAAGUUGAGCCGAUAAUGCAGUUUUAUUUUCAUUUUUCUGGGACAUCUGAACACCUAAGUGACUUUAGCUGGACGAAAACUUGAAGUCUAAUACCAUGCAUGUUGAUUUGUGCAUUCGGAUGAUGUGGUAUAGUAUACAAAAAUUCUGUUUUGGGGCUAAACAUUCUGCCGAGUAGCUAUUUUAGAAAUGUAGCAUUAUUUCUGAUUUCCUGCGACAAUUUGAGUUUGAUUUAGUGUUUAACUAAUUAAUUACAAUAAGGAUAAGUCAGCUAGGGACAUGCAUGUUGAUGUUAGGCACUCGAAUGGGAAUUUUAAGAACAGAAUUUCUGUUGUGCGCAAGAAAUUUAGACUUGCCGUGAGCUUAAACCAGAAACGCAGCUGUAAUUUUGGUUAAUUGAUACACCAGAGCUUGCGAAUAUGAUUAACUCACUAAUAAGAAGGUAAUUAAGUCUUGCAUGAGGCUAAGUAGCUCGGCUAACCAAGGAAAUAAAAUGAGAACAGAAAAUCUAUGCAUGCAACUUCAUCCAUGACUAAUUGAACAGAAUUUCUGGUUUUCUUGGAUGAUUAGGGCUGUGUUUGAAUCCGAUUUUGAACUAGAAAUAUUGAUUAGCAAGUUAAAUAUUUGCAUGUUAAUUUUAAGCACCUAAUACCAUGAAUUAACCGAGGGAAAAGUUGGAUUUAGGACCAAUCUAAUUGCUGGAAAUCUAUUGAGUUGGCCGAGAGUUUGUCUUAGUAAUGUAGCUUCAUUUGAUUCAAUUUCGUUGUUUUGAGUUUGCAACCAUGAAUAACUAGUUAAUAACAUGAUAAUUGAGCUUUGCAUGUGGUUAAUUGGUGGGUUUAGAUCAGAAAAAUAAAACGAAACUGAAUCUGCUACAUGCAUGUUUCAUCCGAGACUUGUUGGAUGUUUCUGGAAAUUUUUAGAUGAUUUUGUGUUGAUGAUUGAAGUUGUUUUCUGAACUAGAUAUGUUAAUCAGUUAGUUAAGUAGUUGCAUGUUAAAUUUGAGACCAUAAUACUCUGUUUUAGCCAAGGAAAAAGUUGUGAUAAGGACAUACAAUUGCUGGAAAAAUGAUAUCCUAACUGAUGACAGAUUUAUGAGGACUUCUUGGUGGAAUAACUUGCUGGAAUUAUUUACCAUUUGACUCAUUCCAUGUUGGACAAAACGCAUGUUAAGUGUUUAGUGUUUAAAGCAAGAUAAGGAUGGAAAUCUUGUUGAAAAUUAUGAAGUAUCUUUGCUGGAAAUCUGUACGUGGUUGCUAGCCGUACUAGCUCAAGCUUUUAAUGAGUUUAUUUUUCUGGAUUCGUGUAUUAUUUGCUUUAGCUUAAGUUGAGCAGGGUAUAAGCUAUAUGUUUAGUGCAUCUAGCAAGUAAAAGAUGGAGAUCUAAUAGACAUCUUGAAUUGACAUUUGCUAGAAUUUUUCUUGACUAUCGAAGCAAGAAAGGAAAAUAUGAACUUCUAGAAUUAUUUGAAUGCAAGCUAGCCGUGACUUAUCUUCUAUAUUUGAGUUAAAAUUUCUGUUGUUUGUGGCAAAGGAUGUUUGUUUGAUACCAAGAGCUAAUGAUUGAUGAAGCUCUUGGCCACUUAAGUAAUUUUUGCAAGGGUUAAAUUCUUGGUGGAAUUGUUUAAGUGGUUUGGCCAAAAUGCAUUUGGAAGGUCCACGAUUUGUGAUUUGGAAUUGUUUUAAUACUUUGGACUUCCUUUGGUUGAUUUUGAUUAGAAUUGAAUCUGUUGAGACCUAGGGCAAAUGAUUGAUGAAGCCCUAGAGAAAUUGAUAUUUGGUUUGUGAUUUUUGUUUAUCUUGGUGACUUGGGAAUCCAUUGUGCAAAUGAGCUGAAUUUGUGAAGACCGUUUUGAUUAUUCUUGAUCUUGAAUAUUUUCAAAAUCAAAUUUUGUGGAAAUAUUCUGCCUUAAUAUCAAGUGAUAGAAUUGAGUUUAGUAUAUUAUUAAAACUUAGUUAUUUGGACUUUUAAAACCUUGCAGACUAGUUAAUUCCUUUAUUUUGCUUAAGCUAGUUUAUUAUCUUUAGGGAGUAAUCGUAUUUAACCUUCUAAAUUUUAAGCUUUCCUAAAACUAUCCUUGACUAGACGUUUUAAAGGAAAUUCGUUAAAAACAUUAGAUUUGAAUAAUUUCAAAUAAAAGACAAAGAAAACUUGUUUGAAUUAAUUUGGUUCUAGUUUGCCCUCUAGAAGGGAAAUACCUUUAAAGAAACCAUACGAGAUAUUUUAUUUCUUUACUAGCCUUAAUUCCAAGGGAAUGAUUGAUUUGUUUCGAGAAAUUAAAUUAGUUUUAUACAGGAUAACCUUUUAUAUACAAAACAAGAACUUGUUUAGUAAAACUUAUAGUUUUAAAACUUGGAUUUCUAGGGUGUAGCGAGGACGUGGACUUCGAUUCCCAGCUUGACUUUUGAGCUUCACUUUUGGUGAGUGUCCCUGCCUGUUUUAUGACUAUUUGGUUAAAGUGCUUUAUCGACUCGUUAUGUGAUAAUUGCCAAAAAUGAUUGCUGAUCCAUCGAAGUGAGCAGUGUGUACCUUAUCACACUAGCCUUUCGAGUGGUGACUUGCUUGAAGUGUUUUUCGUGAAUAUCUUGCUUGCGUUUGCUAAGUGAUAAAUUACUAGGCAGGGGAAUGUACCACACCAUAAGGGUGGGAGGGUUUCUUAUCUUGUUAUAACAAUCAAGUGCUGGACGUAAAGUCGUUGGGUGAAUCCCUCGAUCAGUCUAUAACAAUUAAGUGCUAGACGUAAAGUCGUUGGGUGAAUCCCUCGAUCAGUCUAUAUGCUAGACGUAAAGUCGUUGGGUGAAUCCCUCGAUCAGUCUAUAACAAUUAAGUGCUGGACGUAAAGUCGUUGGGUGAAUCCCUCGAUCAGUCUAUAACAAUCAAGUGCUGGACGUAAAGUCGGUGGGUGAAUCCCUCGAUCAGUCUAUAACAAUCAAGUGCUAGACGUAAUGUCGUUGGGUGAAUCCCUCGACCAGUCUAUAAAUAUAAGUGUUGGAUGUAAUGUCGUUGGGUGAAUCCCUCGACCAGUCUAAGGUAUACUUGAGUAUUAUUGCUUCCCUAUUUAUUUACUUCAGUCGAAUCAAUACGUGUUAAUUGUUUCGAGUGAUUGCAUGAUUUUGGGGCACCACUGAGCUUUAGCUCACCCCACGUUUAUUUGUUUUCCUUGACAGGUCUUGAGGUUUGAGAAAUCUGAGCUGCUUAUAUCUUCUUAAGAAUGUAUCUACUUCGUUUUGUGACUUGUAAUGUAUUUGAAUUUAAACGAUAUAGUUUUGUUUUGGGAUUGAAGCUGGAGAUGUGUAAACCCUGAUUAUAAUAUUUGGCUUGUAUGUGUAUAUAUACUCGGGCUGUAUGAAAUUUCAUGUUUUGGAAACUGUAAGACCUUACUUCUUGAAUGUAACGCGUGAGGUGUUUGGGAGCCGUCGAUUGGCUAACUUCGGUUGCUGUCAUCUUUGAAGUUAAUGUGUUUUAGUAUUCAAGCCGCUUAAAAGUUGGCAUGAUCGGAUGGCGGAUUGUGUUUUGGUUUAAGUUAUACGUGGAUAUUUGGUCGGUUUGCUUGCGUGAGUCCUGGCGAGAGCUAGGCAGGUUACCCGCCAACCCUCUGGUUCGCCUUAGGGGGAAGUGGGGUCGUCACAGGUCCCACGUCCCUAAUGCACUUCAAAUUGAACGUACACUAACGUAUACCAGAAAAAUGAUUUAAAAACUGUACUUACUUAUAAAAUAUGUAGAAAAUGUAAUAUUUUAAAGGAAAGUAAUAAAAAUGUAGGCAAAGAAAUAAAAUAAUGCCUGUAAAAUGUGAAAAUUUUCAGGUUCUCACACUCUCUCCCCCUUAAGAAAUUUCGUUCUCGAAAUUUUCUUACCACCAGGAUCUAUAAAAUCUACGUAAACAACGGAUCGUACCUUUUUCGUCCUCAAACGAGUCAAGGACCUGAUAUGACUCUAGGGAAUACACCCGAGCCGACACCUUCGGUCUAGUCCCUUUCCCCUUCGACUGGUUAGAGUUGGUCUUGGUUGAUUGUCGGUUCCCGCUCCCUUCUCAAGAUAGGCCUGAGCAAUUAGCGAUUUGAUGAUCUGCACUCCCGCAACGUAGAAAUUUUCUUCCUUUCUUCCAGCAAACAUCCUCCGUCUGAUUCAACUUUCCACAGUACCCGCAGGGACCAUGGGAAGCAGAGUCCGAGCCUUUCUGUGAAGCACCACCCGACAUUCUCGGAAAUUUUACUCCUCCAAUUCCCUUUCCAAACUUGGGAGGUGUGCUCGUAUCCUCUUGUCCUACGCUACUUUCAAGAAUAGCUCUUUUCCUCGCCUGAAAGGUUCUAACUUGUAACCUUGCGCUUUCAACUCGUUGAGCUUUUUUCACCGCGUCACUGAAGGCACUCAGUUGGGCUACAGCCAGAUCCUUCUGAAUCUCAACAUUUAAGCCCUGGACAAAACGCUUUAUCCUCCUUUGCUCAAUCACAAUUAGCUCGGGAGCGAACUUAGACAACCUAGUGAACUGGCUCUCAUAAUCGGCAACAGUCUGAGCUCCCUGGCGAACUCUAAUGAAUUCAUCUUCUUUCUUUUAUUGAAUUAGAGGCGGGAAGUACUUUGCGUUGAACUCUCUCAUAAAAUUCACCCAAGUCCUCGGUGUUUUUUCUCUCUCCCAUUUCAGUCUUAUUGCAUUCCACCAAGAACGGGCUGCUCCCUCCAGUUGGAAGACAGCAAAUGUCACUUGUCUUUCCUCAGUAUAGUGCAACGCCGCAAAAAUAUCAAUCAUCUUCUCUAGCCACCGCUCGGCUACAUCAGGGUCUGGUCCUCCAAGGAAUUUCAGUGGGGAGAACUUCUGAAAUCGUUCGAGGGCCCUAUCUUCCCCCUCUAUAUGGUUACCAGGGUUUCCAGAUUGAGGAAUAGGGUUUUGGCCCUGAUGCUCUACUACGUGAGCUAAAAGAUCAGUCAUGCGCUGGAUAGCUGCAGCUACCUGAACGUUAGGAUCCACUCCAGGUUCAGGAUUGGGUUCAGGCAUUGGUUCCCGAUUUCCCCCUUCAUUCGAGGGUUGCCUACGUCCACGGCCCCGGCCUCGUCCACUACGAGUUCCUUCCAUUGGAUUAACUAAUCUAGGCUCGAGGCGCGAAUAAAAUAUACAAACUAGCGAUGUCAGUUAGUCAGAUAUACAUAUAGUACGUCCGCAUCAAUUCAAAAGCAAAUAUACAUAUAAAACGACUAUAUCAAACAAAUCACACAGUAACAGUCAGUCAGAUACAAGCAAAGGAAAUCCUAUGGAAAUAAGGGGUCAUUCAUAGAACACACUACGAACUAGACCAAGAGUACAAAAGCAACUAACGAAAAGCUUCCCCCCCUAGGGUUCCAUCCAUAAUCUACAAGAAUAGCACAAUUUAUAUCUUAGGCAGGGUUAAUUAUCCUUAGUGAUCCCUAACACAUCAUAUAAAGUUCCAUAGAAUCAGAUUUCUAAUUCGUCCAAGUCAUUUCUAACCUAGGCUUUCAUCCCGUUUCGUAUUCGGGUACAAGAAUCCAAAAUAAGAUAAUUCACCACUCGAGCUGGCCAGUCCCAAGAGUAAAUCAUCUACAUUUGUAAUUCCUACCUGACAUACGUAACUAUAGUCUUCAAGUACCACCGUGAUUCAUAGCUUAUGCUCAAAAGAGUACUUAGUCCCUUACACUCAUUCACAUGAGCGAGACCACAACACCACUUGGCCCCAAGUUCACUCCGCGCAGAGACCACGCGAAGCAACUCUGAUACCACCUGUGAUAGCCCCACCUCACCCUAAGGUGAACCAAAGGGUUCGGCGGACCGCCUGCCCAACUCUCGCCGGGACUACGGAUCCGGAACAAACGUAAACCCUACCAAAUGCUCAAAAGAACUUCGAGAAAAUAAACAUUCAGAACCCAAUUGAGCCGAAAUAAAAGAUACAAUAAAUCUUUGGUACAACAUUCCCACGAAAAAUCAAAACGAAAAGGAAGUGCCGCUGCCAUGUCACAAUUCGGCCAGAUUCUUGGCCGGAUUGGAGGCAGUAACUCAGCCCCAAAAAUUUUCAAAUUCCCCUGCAAAUCCGGCCAGAUAUCCGGUCAAAACUAGCUGGAUUCUCGGCCGGAUUCCAUGAACAGUUCCCGCCAGAAUUUUCUUCUUUUCUCGAUCAACUUUCGCACUCGUCCGAAACCCAACCAAAUACAAGUAAUCUUUGUCUAACAUGAGAGAAUGUACAUUCCCAAAUACAUAUGCUACAUAAACAUAAGGAAACUCUUUAAAAUAUACAUAUUAUUAAGUUUACAAAUCCAAAGGAAACAUUGUAUUAAGAUACAUUUAGGGUUUCCAAAUUGUCGAAGAACUAUACCAAAAGAACAAAAGAAUUUCUAACUAGCUCAACUCAUUCUUCAAAACAUCGGAGUUCCAAAAGAUUAUUCCCUAUAAGGAAAACAAGAAUAACGGAACGGGGUGAGUUAGAAGCUCAAUGAGGUACCAAAAGUAUAAACAGUAGAAAUCAUGAGAAAUCACUUUUAAGGCACAUAUACACAUCAAAUAAGAGAAAUGAACGAACACCACAAUUUGAAGGAUACAGAGGGCUCUCAAGAGCCAAAUCCCCGUUGCAAUAUUUGAUCCAACCUCGUUGACCCUCCGUCAACGAUUAAUGAAACACACAUGUCCGUAGACCCCUCUUACGCCAAAAUCUGGUUCACCAAACAUGCCUCUUAUCGGCCCUGAACGCCAUACAAGAACAGGAAUGUUAAUAUUCAAGUAUACCGGAAAUCUAGAGUCUCCAAUACCCAAAGAUUUCUUAAAAGCAGACACCCAUGGAUUGUCAAUUUUCCUCAACCAAGCCCUUGCUGGCUUGAUUCAAUUGACUCCCUAUGAGAUUGAGCUCAGAUUUAACAGGAAGGUCGUUGGAUACACUUCGAAACGACAUCAUAUCAGGCACAAGUAAUAAAUUCAAGUAUAUACAGGAAACAAGUCACACAGGCCAGAGAACGAGUGUGAUAAAGUACACACUCGUCUCGUACAAAAUAAACAGUCAGUAAAGACAUUCAAAUAGCAAUUUGCAAGUACAGAUAACCAAUUUAGUAAUAAUUCAGGGGAGUGGUACACUCACCGGUUCACGUAAAGAUACUUCAAAAGUUGUCAACCAACGUAUGACUUUAGUCACCAAGAAAUCCUAGAAUAACCAAGGGAAACAAUUAUGGUUCCCACAGCUACAAAUCCAGCAAAUAAGAUGCAUAAUUGAUGCUUGACUACAAGUCGUAUACCUCUCCAAAUGAUUACUAAUGCAACGGUGCAAAACAUGAUGUUGGGAACGAAAAGGUAACAUGAAGACCUAGGGCUCAAACAACCCCAAAAGCCCUUCUUAUAUAUCCCAAACCAAACCAAACUCGAAGAAAUCCAAUAUUCCCAAAAUUUGGACAGCAUAUCCCCUACAUUUCCUUACUUUUCCAUCCUACAAUCACACCAAUGUCAUCUCAAUUCAACCACAAUUGAACACACAAAUCACAAGCUAUUAAACACACUUAGUUAGGGCCACAAUACCUUUUCACUUGAGCCAAUUAAUAGCUCCAAUACUAAUCACAAGAAAACCUCAAUUUUGAAACCCUAAAACUGAAAUUUUCUCCAUAACCUGAAAUUUUCCACCACAAACCACAAUUAACAUAAAAGAGCUUCAUUUUACCCCACAUAAAGCUAUCAUACCAUGACUAGUCAAUAAUUAUCAUAUAAGGACAGAAAAAUUACCAAUAAAUCUGAAAUUUGUCAAGCUCUACCUUAAAUCAGGAAAUCUCCCACAAAAUAGCAUAUUUAACCACUAGUAACCUCUAAUUUACCAUUAUUAGUAACAAAGAGAAGAUUUAUUGACAAAGUACCUUAACACCUCAAGAAAGGUAGUAGCUUGGAGCUUGUCCUUCCAAAAUCACUUCACUCAAUCCUUUAAUCCACCUUAGUAAACAACUUUUAUGGAGGGUUUUGCAAAAAUUCUAGUUGGAAUUCAAGAUUGGGCAAGAAAUGGAAGAACAAAUGAAGUUUCUCUCUUGGUUUGUUUCCCCCAAGGUGGCCGGCCAAGAAAGCUUAAAAUGGGAUAAAAAUUGGGUCAAAAUUGAUGUUUAGGAAAGUGAAAUACUCUUAAAGUCCACUCACUAAUCGUGUCGCGACACGUGGAAUCUUCUUCUCUCCAAUACUAAUUAAUCUAACUAACCUCCCAUUAUCUCCUAGCCCCCUGGAGAAUUAUAUCACUUAAUACAAAACUCCAACUAUUGAUCCAAAUUUAUCGCACUUACCGCACUAACGGGUCCCACGUCCCUAAUGCACUUCAAAUUGAACGUACACUAACUUAUACCAGAAAAAUGAUUUAAAAGCUGUACUUACUUAUAAAAUAUAUAGAAAAUAUAAUAUUUUAAAGGAAAGUAAUAAAAAUGUAGGCAAAGAAAUAAAAUAAUGCCUGUAAAAUGUGAAAAUUUUUAGGUUCUCACAAAGCUGUUCACGAGUAGUUUGCGAGUGGCAAAUCAAACCGAGUUCAAGCUCGAGCUUGAGCUACUCGUUCCGUGUAAUGAGUUCAGUUUGAGUAUCAAUCAUAACUACUUGAGUAUUCGAUGAGUUUAAUCGAGUAUUUAUAUUAUUUAUAUAUAUUAUAUAUUUUAAUUAUGGAAUGACUAUUGUGGGUUUGUAGUUUAAUAAAUUUACAUGAAGUAAUGUUCAAUAAAAAAAGUGAUGGAUGGCAAAAUGGUAAUUUGAUAAAUUUAAAAUAUAAAAAAUUAAAAAAAAGAAAAGAAAAAGUCAAGUUUAAACUCGAGUAGCUCGAGCUUGAUAGGGCUUGUAGUUUACUUGAGUUCAAACGAGUUGAAUUCGAGUUUCAUUUCCAUUAUGUCGAGUCGAGUUCGAGUUCAAAUUUAUGUCGUUUGAGCUCGAAUAGCAUUGAUAGUGAUUGAGUUCGAGCUCGAAUAUGGUGCUACUCGAGCUUGACUAUGCUCCAUAGCACCCUUAGAUCUAAUUAUACUUAAUCUAUUGUGCAUAGUAAAUAAAAAGAAAAUUUUGGUUGAGCCAGCUUAAAAUAUGUAUGGGAGGUAAUUUUAAGCAAUAAUUUUUACAUAAUAUACAUAAAUUGUGAAGUCAAAAUGUAGAAAUGUGAACUUGGCUAUUCCUUAAAACAUGAUAAAUAAGAAGGUCCAGUCAGUCUUUUUUGUUUCAAAGUGGAAACAAAACAGAAACAAGAGAGUUGGAUUAAUAAAAAAAAAACAUAAAGUUGAAUUUGGAUAUUAACAAGAGCGCUGGAUUAAUCAAGUGAAUAAAGAUACAAAUUACAACUAACUGAUUGAGAAGGACGGUAUUUUCUUCUAAAAUUUUUAAACUUGCUAAAUUGGUUUAAUUGUGGAAUAAAUUGUCUAAAAAUUAAUUCUAGGGGAUAAAUUGAUAAUAAGGCUAUAGUUUAUAGGGGUAAAAUUAUAAUAAUUUUAAGGUUUAAACAUGUCUUUUCACUUGAAUUAACAAAUUUCGUUAAGUUUAACAGUUAGUCUUGGGAGUAAAGUGAUUAAUAAGUAAUGUUAAUUAAAAAGUAAUGUUAAUGGGAAAAUUGUUAGUAGCAUCAAACAUUAAGAGGAUAAAGUGAUAAUAACCUAAAAACCAAUACCAAAAGUGUCAAACGCGCGAGUAUUCGGGGCAACCUUGCACUCUCACUCGCCGGCUAAUACCCUUUAAAUUUUCCAAUUCUUUCCCCCAAGUGUUGUAUCCACACAUGCACUCUAAAAUGAAUAGACCCAAAAAACAUAUACUUUCCUAUUCAUAUAAAUAAUCACGAAAAAACAUAUUAUUCCUCAACUUCUGGUUGUUGAUUAUAUGUUUUUUUCUUAUUGGUCAACUGCUUGUAUUAUUCUGCUGAUGGUUUAACUUUUUCAAUGUCUUGCAACUCUUGGAGAUCAAGAAAAAAUAAUACAAGACCACUUGUAUUAAAUUGUAUAUCUGUUAUUUUUAGUGUAUGUUUAACCUGCCAUUAAGACAGUGUUGGACGAAUUCUAACAAUCCAUUAAUGAAAUUUACGCUUUGCCAAAAAAAAAAGAGAUAGGCGAGUCCAAACAAAAUUUGUUAGUGUUGAUGCCUACUCUUCGACAUGAAUUUUUCAGACUAAUUAAUGCCUAUGAAGGAUAUAUACUGGGUGCCCUCAUGCCAUAUUACAUAGCAUUUUUCGAGCAGUACUAGUUGAAUUUAGUGCUUUUGUUUUAGAUUGUGAGACUUAUCCGAAAUGAAACCUGAUUUAAAAUGAGCUUUCGAAUUUUGAGAAGAAUUUUAUUAGAUGUAUUGUGUUGCCUCACAAGGGUUAUGGAAAAAAAUGUCUUUUGUGUCAAAAGCCCUAUUAAUCAUAGGAUACGUGAUUUGUUAUCCUUUUUUUUUUUUAACAAUAAGCUACAUCAUCCAUCUCAAAUGACCAUGUCAUAGAUAGCAAAUCCAAUUGAAUGCGAACCAACCCUUUGUGGGUGACAAAGGUUUCAUAAAUGUUGCAAAUGUUCAUCUCGUUCAUUUUCUAUAUUUGAGAUGAUAAUUUUAGUUCUUGAAACUGUUUUGCCAUUUAGACGUGUCAAAACCUGAUUUCUUCUAGUCAAUGAACGUAAGCUAAAGUUUUGACCAAAAAAAAAAAAUGAACGUAAGCUAAAGUUUGCAAUCAGUUGCUGUUGGCUAAUUAAACAGCAAUGACCUUACCUCCACAUAGUUAAGUAUUUUAUCCUGAUGGCAUCACAAACAUGAUAUUCCUUUUUCAACAUACUUUGGUAUCACUGUCCAGAGCUUCAAAUGAUGAAAGAAGAAUUGAUUUUCUUUCCUUUGCCUGCAAUAGGUCACUUGCUGUCAAUGGUACAGUUUGCAAAGCUGUUUGUCAGUCACAAUGAGGAGUUCUCAAUAAAAAAUGCUCCAUUUCAAACUGCCACCUGAUGAAAAUUUAAUUCGUACAUCCAAUCACUUUACACACAAACCACUAGAGGCAUACAAUUCAUACAACUUCCCGAUCCCCAGUUGUCCUCAAAAUUGGACGAUCCUCUUGCUAAACAAUCUGCUUUAAUCAAUAGCACUGAUGGGCACAUAGAAUCCAAUGAUUCAUGUUCAAAUCAUACAAGUAGUUGAUCCAUUGCAGUUCGUCAAAUCAUUUUCAAAUACAAGUAGUUGAUCCAUUGCAGUUCGUCAAAUCAUUUUCAAAUCAUCCAUUGGAGUCAUCAAAACCGGAUCCCUUUCCUAUGUUUUGUCAUUUAUUUAGCUUAUAAGUGUUAAGUUGUCGUUGGUCUAAGUUAAACUCCAGCUGUGUGCUAGUUAAUAUUUAGUAUUAAUUUAGAGUUAACUUGAGUCAUUAACUAAAAGGCUAAGGUCAUGUUGACCAUAGUUGAGCCUUAAGUCAAGUUAGUGUCUUAGUUCUAGCCGAAUUAAGAUUUAGAAACUUGUUAAUUGUUUUCAAGUUUAGUUAGGUUUUGAGUCUUUGUAAAGGCUAUUAGUCAAGAUGAAUUAAGAAAUUUCAGCACACUUUGAGUGUUUUUGCGAGUCUCUUGUCCAAGAGUUCCAAAAUUGAAUACUUGAGAGGAUUCUCGAGUUUUCAUUCGACUUAUCAAUCUAGAAACAGCCUAGAUUAGAUUGUGGCGUCACUCUACCUUUCUAAUCAAUCUCAAGCUGUUUUUUAUUGGAUUAGAAUCCAUCCAAUUUUGUCCAUAACCUGAUCAAGAUAAAUCUUUCCGCUGCCUAAGCAACUUGGUUCUUCAAGACAAGUUUUUAUUGGGUCGAAUUCGUAUUAGUUGGUAUCAGAAUUUUGCCUUUUGAUUCAGGUUAAUAUCCUUUCCUUGAGCAACUUGGUUCUUCAAGACAAGUUCUUAUUGGGUCAAAUUCGUAUUAGUUGGUAUCAGAAUUUCGCCUCUUGAUUCAAGUUAAUAUCAUUUCCUUUUUUGUUUUGCUCUUUAUUCUUGAUAGGUUACAUUUUUGUUAUUAAAUUUAUGAUUAUUCUCUCCUUGAUUUUAACUAAAUAUUGUGUUAAUUGGUAGAUUCUAUUCAUAAUUGAUAUUUGGCAUUGGUUAUAGGAAAGUGAAGCAAAAAACGGUUCAAGGAGCAAUUUUUUAGAAGAUUAUGAACCAAUUUGACAUGGACGCAGCCAAUAAUUAUUGUCAAAUUCGGAGGCUCGAGCUUUUCCUGAGCAUGGAAGUUUUCUAAACCAAGUCAAACUCCGAGCAAGACAUUUGGCCGAAGAUUAAGAGAUUUCUUUCUUAUUAGAUGGAUUAUUUGAUUUAGAAAACAAUUAACAUUAUCUUUUGAGAGUUUUCCUUUUCAAGUAGGAAGUUUAUUUUAUGUCAAAGACUAAAAAGUAGGAAAUCACUGAUUAGUUAGGUCAGGCAGUCCCGAGUGAUUAAUACUUGGGGAAAAACACAACUUUGGCUGCCAACUUUGGUUAGUCUCGUGUCAAGCGACAAAAGCGAAGAGCUUUUCUCUUUGUCUUUUCUCUUUCUUUAUUUUUCUUUCUUUUGCUUUUCUAUUGUCUAGGCUUGGUCCUACUUUCUUCAAUGGAAUUGCAUGGGUUACUCUCGAUGAAGAGUAACUAAUUUUCUCAUUCUAGUCAAGAAAUAAAGGAAGAUUUGGUUCAUCUAAAAUUAUGAGAUCGAAUUGAUUAUAUUUAUAUAUUUUUUAUUUACUGGUAUUCGUAUGUUCCCUGAUUUAAUUUCUUGUGGCUAUUAAGUUGUUUAAAUAUCAAGGGUGCCCGAUAUUUAAUUCAAUCUAAUAACCUAAAACCAGUUAGAAUAGUUUAAUCCGUAAUUGUUUAAUUACUUUAAAUUAGUGGUGACUGGCAUGAUUGAAUUUGUGUUAGAAGAACAUAUGGGCUAACUUAAAAUAACACUCGUAGCGUGUUAUUUGGUUAGAACAGGGUUUCUCUAAUUUUUAAUCAAAUUAAGAAAUUGAACUCUAAGGUCGUAUCUAAAGUUAUUUCUUGAUUAGGGCAGUGGUUAAUGGUCGUAUCUUAACCAUCAAUACAGUAAGGAAAAGUUGAUUGUCAUCACUUGUUUGGUAGUUAUAACUUAUUUAUCAGUGAGUAAAUCAAAUUAUUAUUGCAUCAAUGAUCAAUUGAUUGAACUAUCUCCGAAGUUAUUUUUUGGUUAGAGCUUAUUUAUUAUUGUUUCAAUUUUAAUAAAUUGUCAUUUAGUCCUUUUUAUUUGAGUUAUUUAAUUAUUCUCAUUUUUAUAAUAAUCUCCCUUACUCUAAGCUCUAGAAGAAAUGAAAAUUUUCUAGUUCCCGUGGAUUCGACUUUACUUGCCGCUAUAUAAAAUUCAUAUUUUUCUUGAGUAGGAAUUUAUUACUGCACAAGCUCGACACCUGCUAAUUCUUCUACCAAACCCUACCCAAUUCAAAAAAAAAAAGAAAAUUUGUUCAUCAUUCUAAGGUUUGAAUCUUUUGUGAUUACCUUGUGUCAUUUGUUUAUUCCUAUUUUCCUCAAGUCAUUUGUCUUCCUCGAUUAGAUUUGUGUAUCUUCGUCGUGUCAAAAAGGUACUGUAGUUAUACUAUUCAUCAUUAUUGUUGUUGUACUGUUCAUCAUUACUGUAAUUAUUACUGUUCAUCAUUAUUGUUCAUCCAUGAUUUAUUCUUGUUUGGUGUGUUUCUUGGAAUCUUGUGUUGUCUUGUGUCAAAACAAAUUAUAUUCCUAGGUUAGAUUGGGAAUCCGUGGGUUGUUCUUGUGUUUUGAGUCAAUUCGUGGCUAGUUUUCUCUUGUUUUCUUGGAAGUACUUGAAGUUCUUGAAUUUCUUGGCUAGAAUCUUGAAUUUCUUGAACACUUUCUUGGGAAUCUUGAAGUUCUUGAGGUGUAUAUUUGGGUUUCUUCAAAAUCUUGAAUCAAAGUUUCCAAAUCUUGAACUUUUGAAAACCUUAGUUUAUCUUCUUGAACAUUGGAGUCGCAGCUGUCUUGUUUCUUGAAUUGGUGAAGUGAAAAAUAAAAGAAGAAGAAGAGAAUCUCAUUCGUGGUUAAAAAAAAAGGGGACAAGUUCAUUGAAACGGAUCAUAGCUUGAGAAACCAAAGUUGACUUGGAUUGUUUCCAAAAUCUAGACACAUAAUCCUUGUUCGAUUUGAUUUGUGUUACCUGCUUGAACACCCUUAGGAAAGCUCCAUAAAACAGCAUCUUGCUUUCCAAAGUCAAUCCAAGAAACACUCGAGCCAAGUUUCCAAAUUCCAGCAACAUGCAAUCAGAUAGAGCAUCUUUCUAGGUUCCUAAAAAUUUCAGCCGACUUGUUUGUUGUUCCAGAUUUCGUAUGUACACUGUCCAGCCACACUUUAGGCUGUCUUUGAGUCCUUAUUUCCAGUUUUAAUCGAGUCUAGUUAUAGUCCAAAGAGUCCAAAUCAGUUUUGGGUUAUAAAGAGUCACUAGUAUCCUAAUUUGAGUCCUAGGUUUCCUAACUUGAGUCCCCUUGAUUGUAUCUUUCACUUCGUAGGCUUGCUCCCAAACGAUAUGGAUUUCUUCUACAUGAGCAUGAUGAUAUAUUCAUCAUAGAAGAUGAUGAACCUACUUCUUACGAAGAUGUCUUGUUUAGUGUAGACAAAGAUAAAUGGCUUAAAGCCAUGAACUCCGAAAUGGAAUCCAUGUAUGAGAAUAAGGUUUGGACUUUAAUUGAUCUACUUGAAGGGUAAACCCCAUAGGGUGUAAAUGGGUUUUCAAAAAGAAACAGACAUGGAUGGUAAAGUGAUUAUCGAUAAAGCUAGAUUGGUAGCAAAAGGUUACAAACAAAAACAAGAUGUUGACUUUGACGAAACCUUUUCACCGGUCGCUAUGCUUAAAUGCAUUAGGAUCAUGCUUGCUAUAGCAACACACUAUGACUAUGAGAUAUGGCAAAUGGAUGUAAAAACUGCAUUCCUUAAUGGAAAUUUAAUUGAACAUGUGUUUAUGGUAAAACCUGAUGGCUUUACAUCCAAAGAAGCAAAUAAAGUGUGCAAGUUUCAAAGAUCCAUUUAUGGAUUUAAACAAGCAUCAAGGAGUUGGAAUAUUUAUUUUGAUUAGAUAAUCAAAGAGUUUGAUUUUUUUAAAAAAAAUGAAGACAAAACCUUGUGUAUACAAAAAAGUUAGUAGGAGUGCAAGAGUUUUCGUAGUACUCUAUGCUGAUGAUAUAUUACUAAUGGGAAAUGACAUAUCUAUACUCCAAUUAGUGAAGGUAUGGUUAUCCAAGAAAUUCUCCAUGAAAAAUUUAGGAGAGGCAACCUAUAUUUUGAAAAUUAUGACCUAUAGAGAUAGAUCAAGGAGGUUGCUUGGUCUUUCACAAUCUAUGUACAUAGAUAAAGUGCUAAAGAGGUUUAGCAUGGUUCAAUCCAAGAGUGGUUAUUUACCAAUCAGUCAUAGAAUACACCUUUCUAAAGACAUGUCUCCUAAGAUAGACGUCGAUAAGGAUUACAUGCAAAAGAUCCCUUAUGUCUCGGCUAUUGGAUCUAUAAUGUAUGUGAUGCUAUGUAUAAGACUCGAUAUCUCCUAUACAAGUGUUAUGAGCAGAUAUCAAGCCAAUCUAGAUGAGAGUCACUGGACGGCUGCUAAGAACAUCCUUAAGUACUUAAGAAGAAUUAAGGAUUUAUUCUUAGUUUAUGGUGAGUCCAAUUUAGAAGUUCAGGGAUAUUCAGAUGCAAGCUUUCAAACUGACAAUGAUGAUAGCAAAUCACAAUUUGAAUAUGUUUUUACCCUAAGUGUUGGUGGAAAUGUUUGGAAGAGUUCUAAACAAGGCACUAUUGUUGAUUCUACAAUAGAAGCUGAAUACAUUGCUGCUUCAGAAGUUGUAUGGAUCAAGAAGUUCAUUUCUGAACUUGAUGUGAUUCCUUCCAUUGCCAAUCUGAUAGCUCUAUUUGUGAUAAUAAUGGAGCAAUUGCACAAGCAAAGGAGCCAAGGUCUCAUCAAUGAACCAAGCAUGUAUUGAGAUGUUUCCAUUUGAUUAGAGAGAUCAUUGAUAGAAAUGAUGUGAAGAUAGAAAAGAUCCCUAUGGAUGAUAACAUUGCUGAUCCAUACACUAAAGCACUAUCCUAGAAGAAACAUGAAUGUCAUGUAAAUUCACUUGGCCUGAAAUGCAUAAGUGAUUGGCCUUAGUGCAAGUGGAAGUUUGUUAGCGUUAUGCCUAAAUCCAAUUACUUUGGGGCUCUAAAGACACUUUUAUAUUUAUGCAUAUUAAUUCGUGGAAAUCUUUAUUUUUUAUUCCUAUUGUUAUUCCUUACUACAACUUAAAUUAUAAAGCCCUUAGAAUUAAUAACCUUGAGAAGAAAUCAUAAGAGUUAUGAUGGUGAGAUUCUUCUCUUCCCCAUGGUCACUAAUCUUAGAUAUCCCUAACCAUAGUAUUAGUGAGAAAGGCAUCACUAAUGCGGAUAGGUUAGCAUAUAUACUAAGUUUCUUCCUUUCAAAGGAAGUAGUAGAUCACAUCAACUAUGAUGUGGUAACAUCUAAACUAGUAUAUGGAUGCUUGUGGAUGACAAGUACAGUGGAUUGACCAAUUGAGAGUUUCAUAGUGUCAAUGAAAAUUUCUCUAUGUGAUAGUAAGUGUUAGUUGUGACAGCCCCACCUCCCCCUAAGGCGAACCGAAGAGUUCGGCGGACCGCCUGCCCAACUCUCACUAAGACUCACUCACUCACUACAGUUCUCAAUUAAAUUACAAUGCGCCUCUCAAAUAUAUUACCUCAAAUACUCUACAAAUUUACAUAUCAUAAGCGUGGAACGUGUAGACACCAAAAUUUCAUCAUUUUUUUAUUUAUAUUUUUGUUUAUUUUAUUUAUUUUUAAUUUAUUUUUUUUCAUUUUAUAUUUCUUGAGGAAAAUCAUUUUAGAAAAUUGGGAAAGAAAGAAAGAAAAAAAGAAAAAAAGAGAAAAGAAAAAUCAAAUCAAAAAAAAAGAGAGAAAAAUAUUCCACGCGCGCGUACUCGCCAUUUUCUUCUUCAUUCGUGCAGAAGCCAGGAGAAAGCUCAAAAUUGUAGCGGUCAUUUGCCCAUUUUGAUUGCUUUUGCAUUUUUUCUUUUAUCCCUCCAAAUCCAGUACAGGCCACCUCACCCCAACAAAGGUGAUUCCAGAAGAAAGAACGAUCUAGGGGCUCAAAAUAAUCGUGAGAAAUGGCAGCAAACUAGCACCAUUGGAUGCUAGGGUAAGGAAGAUUCUGGUAGUUAUAAAAGCUGAGAAGAACAACCAGUAAAGGGGGGAGGAUAGGAUUGACGGCUAGGUUUUAGAAAAAGCAACAAAAGAAAAAGGGCUGAGGGAAUAAGGAGAGGAAAAGAGUUGGCGGCCGGAAAGGGAUUGAGGGAGGUCUUCGGCCGAACAAAGAGAGAGAAUUGGAGUGGCGGCUGGGGUUGGAAGAAGAAAGUGAGAGAAAACUGAGAGAAUUGAGAAAAGAAAAAGAGUGAGCAAGAGGGAGUGUGUGUGUGACGGAGCCAAAAGAAAACAGCAAAGGAAGAAAAACGGAGAGGAGAGCAGAAGAGCAAAGGAGGAAGACGAAAUCUGGUGCUACCUCCUCGGCGAGCCAAGAAGCUAUUGAAGCUGCUGACCUCCUAAGAAGAGGUCAUCAUUCCACCACGCCAUUUUCAGUCUGAAUCUUCGACAAAAGAGUGGCCACUGUAAGCUAUUCUCUCCUUUGAACCCCGAAUUUUCUUCAGGUGCUGAUUCUUUAAAGCUUUCCAAGCAUGUAUGUGUGUGAUUGGAACUUUAUGAACCUAAAUCUGUUAGCUCGUGUUUCCUUGUGUUUGUCUAUAGCAUUAAAGUUGUCGUCUUUUGCUGUUACCUUGCAUGUUCAGUGUUGUAGAGUUUGAGGUCCAUUUGGUGUUGUUCGUAGGUUGCAGUUUAGUAUCAAGAUGUUAGCUUUGAAAAGGGAGGACACUUACAUGGUCUGUCCUUUUGAAAUAUUGGAUAGGUUGUGAAGAAAAAUGGCUUGCACUGUUUUACUUUGAAUCUGUCUGCAUUUGUUCGAAUGUUGGAAUUUUAAUUGAAAUCUGGGGUUUUGGUUUCUUCCCUGUGUUGUUGAUUUCUAGUGCAAGAACAAGAGAACCACGCCUGUGAAAUUUGUAUGGAAAUUCUUACAAGAAUUGCAUUUUUAAAGAGGUGUUUGGCCAUGAUUCUAAUCGAAGCUGGUUCAUGAAUUAUGCUCACAGCAAGCUCACUCCGUCUUUGCUGCAUUUUUUAUUAUCCCGUUGCUUUGGUUGAAUUUCCUGGGAUAGUUUGGGGGGGGGGAGGUAACCAUGAUUGAUCAGUGAUAGAUGGAGGUUUGGAGAUGUGUGUGAGUUUAGUGAAUAAAUGGUCAGUUUAAUGCAAUGUUUUCAGCAUUUAACCUACGCGAGCUUGAAGCUGCGAAAUUCGCAGCAAAGGAAAAAGCUGCUACAUUUUUCUGUGUUGUUUUCUUCGCCGUGGUUGCUCUUUGAGUUUUCGCACUUAAGUUGCAUGCUUAAUCUUGUGUUGAAGGGAAGAAAUGGAAAGUUUGGUGCUGAGUUUGUGUGUUUCGGUUUAAAAGACACUUGAAUUAUGUCCAAGUACUUGCUGGAAAACGCAUUUUAGCUUCCCGAACCAGAAACUCAUAGCCUUGUCCUCUUGUUUUUCUUUCUUUUCGGUUCCAAGCUCUGGUAUUUUGUCUAGAUAACAAUUCAAUCAUGUCUUUUUCUUGGUUUGCUUGCAUGAAUGCGUCUAAAUUGCAUAAGAAUAGACGCGGAAGAAAAGAAAAUUUUUUGAAGUAAUUGCAGAGGUCUAUUUCUCAGUUAACUUGCAUGAAAGACUUCUAAGAAUUGCCUUGCCAUGAGGUGUUUAGUCAUGUUUCGAUUAGAGUUAGUUCAAAGUUUUGCUUGCCGAAGGUUUAUGGAACGAAGGUUGCGGGUGGAGCACUGGAAGUUGUUCAUUUGUUGUUGCAGAGAGUAUUUCGUAGCUUUGCAUGCACAUUUGCAUGGAAACUGUUCUAGAAGUUACAUUUUACCCCUUUGAUUUGUGUUUAAUGCCACUGUGGCUCAAAAAUUGAAAAAAUUUGAUCAAUUCUACCCCUUUAACAUGUUAUUUUUUCCUUGGUAUGUUUUCAUUUGAUUUGUGGAUAGAUUUUCCGUGAAUUUUGGGAUGAAAUUUGAUUUGGAUUUUUCUUUUAUGAUUUGGAUUUUGGUUUGUUUUAAUUUCUUGAAUGUAGAUUGUUUGCAUGACUUAAUUGAUUCAAUUUCAUGUUUAUUUGCAUCUUUUAUGAUUAUUUGUUAAUCAAAGUGAUGCCUUGACCUUUUUUUUAUUUUGGAGGAUAAAUAAGUAAUUUCACUCCAUUAGGGCCCCAACUCAAGGGAGGUACACCCUAUCCCUUAUUUCUUAUUUUAUUUGACCCUACGUGCCCUAUGUGACUUUACGUGUUUAAUUGCAUGCCUCUUGGAUGUUUAUUUAUUUAUUUAUUUGCUUUAUUGGCUUUAGCUUUGUAUAUUUAUCAUUUGAAAGGCACUUGAAUGCCAAAUUUGUAAUAGUUAGGUAUUUAUUUUUAUUAUUUAUCUUAUUUCCCCUUUUAGAUUGUAGUAGGGCCCCCCCUAAAAUGUAAUAGUUAGGUUUUUUUUAUUUGCUUUAUUUUUGCUUGUGUGAUUUGCAUACUUACGUGCUAUGUGUUACUGCUUUCUUAGGGCCUUGCAUCUAGAUAUUAUGAUUAUGUGUUAUGUGUUUAUUUGAUAUUAUGUGUUUACAUGCUUUUAUUAGAUUGUACAUGAUUAAUUUAGUUAUAAUUAAUGUGUGACGUGUUAUCACACUAGUCCAAUGCUAGUUGUAAUCCAUUUUCUCGAUAUCACACUAGUCCAACGCUAGUUGUGGUUCCCUUGUCCAAUUUCUCAUUAGUCCAAUGCUAGUGAGGAUAUAGAAAUAAGGGCUAGUCCAAUGCUAGACCCAAUAGGGCCGCCCCUCGCUAGUACAUACUCGCAUGCCUUCACUACAUUUAAUUCAUUUUUCCUUUUUUAGUAUUUUACAUUUUUGUAUGAACCUCUACCCUUUUCCCGCAUUUGAAACACGAUCUUUAGGACUUUGCAUUUCAUUCUAGUUACUAGGGUCAUCUGCUUGAUUAGGUUAGGGAGUCACCCUUCUGGUAAGGGAAAUGGACGAGUUUGGCUACAUGUAGCCUUAGCACGCUUGUUUUCUUUCUAACCAAAAGGCAAAUCAAAAGUCAUGAUUUAGGGUCUCCCCAUACUCGUCUUGCUUGCAUUCCUCUAGGGUUCAUGCAUUUCCAAGGCACAUUACACAUUUUCACUUUUCACACUUACCACUUCUCACAUUUUUACUUCAUGUGAGACCCCGGUCAGUUCUUAAGUUUGAUAUUAGGUGAUAUUCAUUAUUUGUGCGGUAAAAUUUGGGGUUUUAGGGUUAAUUAGAAAACCCUGAGUUGGGGUUAGGAUUGAAACCCUAGUUUUUGUAUUAAUCAUAAGUUCAAGUUGUAAUUAAAGUUAGUUAUGCUAGUGUGCGUUUUAGUAUAGGUAAGUAUAGGAUUUGAUCCAUUUUAUAUAGGUUAAAUAAGUUUAAGAAGGUUAGAAACCCUAAAUGAGUAAAACCUCUAGUGUUAUGAUUUAUUAGAAGUUUUAAAUUGGGUUUAAACCCUAAUUUUGCCCUUGACAAAAAGGUUAUUGUUUAAUUGCUUUUAUGUGGGAUAAAGUAUGUUUAAGUAUAGGUGAUUAAUAUAGGAGGGUGAUUAGUGAAGUAAUUAAGUGUGGUCAAGUGUUUUAGAUUAGAUUAAGUUGGUAACCUAUGGAGUAAAUUGAAAGCUUUUCAAAUGUUUAAGGGCAAGAGUUGAUCAAAUGCAAAGUUGAAGGUGUGAGGGCUUGAGAGCAAAAAUGAAGCUUUUGUGUGAUUGGUGGAAGUAGAAAUAUCUUCCAAGGCUUUGACCAUCUUAUACAUAUCAUAGGAUUUCCAUAAAAAGCAAAACAAAAUAAGAAAGAAGAGAGAGAGAGAGGUGGCCGAGAGCAAGAGCAAAGAGUGAAACAACUUGGGGUUUAAGGGAAACAACUUGGGCCUUGUUUGUGGUAGCUUUCUUAAUUUACAAAGCUUUCUUGAAGGUAAAAUUAUCUCUCUCUUGGAAGUUAAAGUUGGGGAAUUAAUUUUGAAGCCAUGAAAGUGAAGUUUUGUUGUGAUUAUGAACUUGUAUGAUUCAUGUGGUGUUUAUGGUGUUGAUUGAUGGUUUAUUUUAGUGGUUUAUUGCUGCCCAAAUUUCAGUUAAGCUUAUGAAAGAAUUAGGGUUUCUUGCUUCAUAGUUAUUCAAGUUGAUUUGGAUGAUUGUUUGGCUUGUAUAUGGAGCCUAUGAUGUGUUAAUUUCACUUGUGUGGUUAAUUGUUAGUAAAAUCAGAUUUUGACCAUGAAACCCUAGACUCCAUUAGGUUAGUUUAGCUUGGCUAGAGUUUAGUUGGUUAGGGUUUGGUUAGUAGAUUGUUGGAAUAAGUUCAAUGGUGCCAAUGAGUGAGGAUAGGGAUUUUGGUUAGUGUUUGGUAAUUUUAUGGUCUUAGAGGGAAAGUUUUGGCCCAUUAGUAGGCCAUGUAGAAGUUAGUAUAUGUGUGCUUAUUUGGUAGGAAUUGGGUUAGAAAGCUUGCAUAAGAACCAUACAACGGACCGUGCGGUUACGGCGCGCAAAAAAACCGGCAAACUGGAAACCAGGGCAGUUCAGUAUCUGAACUUUGGCUCCAUGUUUCUUGAUGUUACGUACGGAUUCAGGGUUUUCCCAAAACAUGAAAGUUGUAGCCCAUUAAGUCCUUGUUGUGCCUACAAAAUUUCAGUCCAAUCUGAUCAGUAGAUCCUAAGUUAUGGCUAAAACCUUCACUUCUGUUCUAAACCCAGGAUUUUGCUACGUUUCUGGAUUUUGCCUCUGACCGUGUUUAGUUCACUUCGAUAACGUGCGAACUGGGUGUUGAUACCUUCAUAAGAAAUGUAGAUGUUGGUCUUAGCUUUGAAAUGGUAUAAAUUUCAUCCGAAUUUGAGUUCCGUAACUUCAGUUAUGACCAAAACAAGAUCGGUUGUCAGAACUGCCUUCGAAUUUGGACCGUUCUGACAGGAACUUUGAACCGCUUUCCCUAUGCUCCAUACUGAUUCAGCUUUUGGUCAAAACACAAAAGUUAUAGCCUUAUAAAUAAUAUUUCUAACGCCUCUGGAAUUUCUUGAUUCCGAUUUCUGAGUCGUGAGUUAUGGUCUUUCAAACAGGGCCUGUUCGGUAACCCGAAAUGAAAUGGCUGGAACUGUUUUGCACAUUUUUGUCCUAGUUCCAUUGAGAUCUGACUUGAGGUGCCUUUAUGAAAGUUGUAGCCCUUCUUCUUAGCUUCGCAACAGUACCUCAUGCACUUCGAUCCGAUAACCGUAGUCUGAAAUUUGAUCAAAACGGUUUUAGGUGCCAAAUCUGCCGUUUCCGUUGCCGGCCGUUGACGUUUUCGUUUGCCGUUUCCGCACUUGCAUGUGCCAAUUUUGCCGUUUUGCUUGUUUUAGGCAUGUUAGUAGCCGUUUGUGAUAUUAUGUGAUGCUAUCUUUUAUUUCAGACGGUGGUGAGUUAGGCGGAGCCGGUGGGGCCUACUACUAGCUACUCUACGUGACAUAAAUUGAACACCUUUUGAUAUCUUUGUUUUGAAGUAAGUAUUCGGGCCGUUUUGUAUAUAUGACUUGCUUAUGUGUCUAAGGUGAAUUAAAGGGUACCUAGGCGAGGGUGUACUUCAUCGCACUCGACCUAAACCCUAAUUUACAUGCAUAUUUAUACAUGACAUGUUUAAAUGAAUUAUUUUGGGUUUGAACCUCUUGAGCUUGUAGCUCGGGGUGACGUUUGUGAGUUGGGGUCGAUCUUCCGACCUAGACGGACUAUUCGAGCCAGCCGGGGCUUGGUCAAAGCCAGUCCAACUUAGUCUGAGGUCACCAAGUUUGUGAAUCCAGUUCACCGAGAAUGUGAACCAAGUUUGUGAACCGAGCUUGUGAACCAAGCUCAAUUUCGUUCGCUCGAGCAAGUUUGUGAGGUGACUGGCCAGUGAGGGUGAUAAGGUGUUAGGUGGGAGUACAAGUGGAGUUCUAUAGACCUUAUUUGUGGUCGACGGAGUAUCGGCAGGAGGUCACGCAUGGCAAACGACUUGGCUUUAGAGCCAACCUGUAUCCUUCAUUUGUAUUGUUACUUUUGCACUUGACUUGACAUUUUGUGAAAUAGUUGUUUAUCUAAAUGUGCAAUUUACGAUUUUACCCCAGUUUACUUACUAAGCACAUAGCUUACCCCGUUUCUUUUGUUUUCCUUAGCAGGGGACGACACGGGGAACUCCUUGGCACAUUCACUAGUAUAGUUAGGUUUGCUUGUAAUAGUUGGACAAUUAAGAUGGUUGUUUUUAUUUUGGUGGUUUGUAUAAGGACCCUCAUUAGGGCCUACUUUCUGCUGGUUGUUAUCAUAAUGUAAUAUAGUGGUUUGACUAGCUGCUUUUGGGGAUGUAAAUAGUACUCUUUUGGAGUUGGCUAUAUUGUGAAUAGUACGCUUUUGGUUUAUCUAGUUUUAUUGUUUUGAAAUUUCGAGUCCUGGCGCGAGCUAGGCAGGCAUCCCGCCGAUACCCUAGGGUUCGCCCUUGGGAGAAGCGGGGGCGUCACACUUCACACACUACCACUUUUCACUUUUCACUUCACACACUACCACUUUUCACAUUUUCACUUCACACACUAUCACUUUAUACAUUCUCACUCUUCACACUAUCACUUUACACUCUCUCACAUUUGUACACGUGCAUUUUUACAUACUCAUUUGCACCCUUGUACUCUGCACACCCAUUUGCGCACUUGCACUUUGCACACUUGCACCUGGCACUCGUUUUUACACUCAAAGACAUUUUUCGCACACACUCAUUUUUCCUCAUUAUUACUCGAGCAUUCAUUUGCAUUUAUUCGUGACCUCUUUGAGGGUUCACCAUUGGCUAUCACAAUUCAUGUGAUUAGGUCCAAUCGAGCCUCUAAAGAGACAUUUUAUCCCUUUCAAACCACUCAUUAGAUUUAGGUUUGCAUUCAUGUUAGAUGCAUCCAAAAUGCAAUACAUCUUUUGGGUAAAAAUUAGGAAAAUUUUCACUAAAUCACGGAACUAGCUUAGGCUAGGGUAAAAGGGUGCCUUAGACUUCGUCUUUGCCUUCCCUUUUAUCAACCGUGACCCCCGAACUCGUCUCUUUGAUUUUCGUAGACUGGAAGUCAUCUAAAAAAGUUUUUACUUCCUUUUUUCAAAAACUACUUUUGGGUGACUUGGUACACCCCAACUCGAUACCAAGUGGCGACUCCUACUUUUCUGUUUAAAAAUCUUUUUAGAUUAUCGUUUUGGCCAAACCGUUGCAGUUAAAAGUCCCAUGGCCUUUCCCUUAUUUCUCACAUUCACACACUUCACAUAUUUCAUGCACACUACGCAUCAUGAUUUCAAAUAACUUUACUUUACUAUUUUCUCUUUUUCUCAAAAAUGGGGCGCGACAGCUUGGCGACUCCAUUGGAGAUUUCCUAAGUGGGUCCGAGCACUUGAUUUAGUUAUUCUUUUACUUUUCUACCCUUUUCAUGUAUCGCAUUUGGAUGUUUAGGGUUGCAUUUUUUCUUUUUAGGAUUUUUUUUUGCAUUUUGCGCGAAUCAACUCACUUCCUCACCCAUUCGCAUACGAUUAAUUUGAUGGAUGGAUGGUUUAUUUAUGUGAUCCCGCGCUUUGCAUUGCAUUUGGGGGGGGGAAUAUUACCCUAGAGCCUCGCGUUGAUUCUCGAUCCCUCCCCUCCGAACGAAGCACUAGCAUACGUGCAUACGUUUUAUUUUUUUAUCCCUCAUUUAUUUUUCUUUUAGUGGCUUGUCACGCCACUCUUCCCUAUUAGGAUUAGGCGACCCACUUGGACGUGUGAUCGCGACACGACGUGUGCGUAGCAUGGUCCGAGGGGUCACUCAAUCUUCCAUUUUAAGCUUUGGGUUGAUAGCCUUCAGCUUUUAGUCGAAGAUUGAGGAUUUUUUUGAUAGAUUCGCUCAGACAUUGGCCGUGACACGACGUGUGCGUAGCAGUGUCUGGGGAAUCGCUCGAGCCACCGACAAAGAACUUUGGGAUUGAUGACCUUUGGUUUUCAAGUCUGAAGGCUCGAGUAUUACCUUUGUAGGUUGGUGGAGGUUGGUGGAAAAUGAUGCAAUUUCAAAUGAAAAAAAAAAGGAAAUGACAGGAGAACGAGCGUAUCUUUUCAUGAAUGUUACUAUCGCUUUCCAUUGUACAUGUUUCUUGAAUUAUUGAUACUCCAUAUUUAAUGUUUUGUAAAUGUUGUAAUUGUUUCUGGACUUAUCAUUUGAUUUAUGACAUCAUUGAAAAGAAAUAUUGUUAAACCGAUUCGAUUACUGAUUUUCUGGUUACUCGCUGAGCUUCUAGCUCACCCCAAAAAUAUUUUAUUCCCCUCCACAGGGCUCAAAGCGAAGGAAGGCUUGUAGUACUUGUCCGCGUGAUUGGUUGGAUGGCCUUUAUGUUGUAUAGUUUGGAUUUGGAAUCAUUUUAUGUAUAGUUGGGAAUUGUUUCCGCUUUGCUUUUGACAUGUAAUUAUUGGAGAAUGUGAUGUAAUAUUUGAGAUUUAUCUUGUAAUCUGUUUGAGGAAUGUAGUGAACGACUGAGUCCCGGCGAGAGUUGGGCAGGCGGCCCGCCGAACCCUCUGGUUCGCCUUAGGGGGAGGUGGGGCUGUCACAGUUGGUAUCAGAGCUUAGGCUUCAGAUCUCUGUAGUGUAUCCUAGGCUUGAAGUUUAGGAUGCCGGACUGUGGGUUUGGUUUUUAGUGAUUCUUGCGGGAUGUCUCGACUUGAUUGGUAUAAGAUGGAAUGUCGAGGACGACAUUCUUUUAAUGAGCUCAACUGUGACGCCCCGAAAAGUAUAAGUGUGAGAACCCGAAAAUUUUCUAAUUUUCUAGGGUUUAUUUUAUUUAAUCGCCCGCCUUUUCUACGUUUUCUUUAUUAGAAAAAUUCCCCAGAUAAAGUUUAUGGGCAAAAAUAGUUUUAAAAUAAUUUUUCUAGUAUCGGUUAGUUUUUGAGAAAUUAAAAGCGUAUUUUGGACGUGGGACCCGCAAGUGCGGUAAAUGCAUUAUAUUUUUGACAACUUGUUGGAAUGUUGUAUUAAGUGAUAUUAUUUUACAAAGUGUUAAGAUAUUUGUAUUGGAGAGACAAAAAGAUAAGUUUUGAACCAAAAGGUGACAAGUGUCACCAUAAGAUUAAGUCUUGGACUUUGACCAUUUGACUUUACCUUAUCUUUACCAAAUAAAUACCAAAAAAUUGCCAAAAAUCAUCCUUAUUUCUAAAGCUUCAUAGCCGGAUCUCUCUCAAAGGAAAAGAAAGAAAAUCUCUCAAUUUCUUCCUUCUAUUUCUUGCUCAAUCUUCAAAUCCAACCAAUAAAACUCCAAAUCAUUCCAUAAAAUCUCUUUGCUAAGUGGUCUUGAGGUGUUUUGUGGAGUUGUUUGGAAAGCUAAGGUGACUAGUUGCUCUAUCUCUUGUAUUGCUAAGGUGAGUUGUGAAUGACCCCUCUCCUUGCUCUAAUGAUGUUCAAUUCAUGAUUAGUGGUGAUAUAAGGUGCAACUUUAUGGAUUAUAUCUUGAUUUUGGUUGAAUUGGUGAAGUUUUAUAAUUAUUGGGGAUUUUUCUGUUUUCAUAUGAAUAUGAUUAUGGGGUCAUGUAUGAUGAUUGGAAAUGAUGUUUAAUGACUCUAGGAGGUGGAAAAAGUGAUUAAUUGCAACCAAUUUCUGUUUUGGACCAAAAAUUGAAAAGUGAGGGUUUUGUGAUGAACAUUCUGUCCGAAUUUUUAGGUCAUAGAUAGAGGCCGAAUUGGCCUUGGCUUAAAACAUGAAAGUUGUAGGGAAUGAUAUUUUAAAGGUGUCUACAAAAUUUCAGGUCAAUCGGAGUAGUGUGGAAUGAGAUAAGUCGAAAUUACUAUUACUGUCCUGGUUUUACCCGAAUGUAAGAAUUGCGCCUGUAAUUGGUUGUUUUGGCUGGAAUUGCUUCCGAAUUGGUUGUUGAGGCCUUUUGAUGAAAUUUAUCCCUGUUUCUUAGCUUUCAUCUGGUUUUGGAAUUUCUGGUUUUGGACUUGUAGAGCCUGAGUUAUGAUGUUUCCGCUAGAAUGCGUUCUGUGAAUCUGUUUUUGUGAUUCUGGUAUGGUAUCUUGCAUUUUUGACCUGGUUACACUCGAAACUGGGUUGAGUGACCUUCUGCAAUAUUGUAGCCCUAUCUCUUAGCUUCGAAACGGUGUAUCUUGUACCUUCAUCCGACAAUCGUAGCGCCUUUGGUACCAUUACCGCAAAAUGACGUCCAAAACUAUUUUUCUGGUUUUGAGCUUAACUUUCAUUUCCGGACUUUUCCAUAGCUUGACUUGUACUAGUACUCCUUGGAGCUUGCUGAAUGGCUAUUGGAUGAACUUGUUGUUGUGUGUGUACCUUUGGGUUGGAAUGAGGAAAUAAUGAAGCCAUGAUGGCUGGAAAAGUUAGUAAAUUCAGGGGAAGUGCUGUCCGAACUUUGAAGGGAUUUGUUUGCAUUGAGUUUGUGAUCUAAGACUUGGAUUUGAGCAAGGCAAUGUUAUAUGCUGGAUGAUUUCGGAGCCGUGGAGGUGAGUGACCCUAAACUAUUUCCAAAGUACUUGUGAAAUGUUUCUUACAUUAUUUACUUUUGAACUGUUUCCAAAGCUACUUUUGAACUGUUUUCUUGCAUAUCAUGCGUGCUUAUAUGAAAGUGUUCCUUGUUUGAUAUAUUUCCUUGACUUCAUGACUUGUGUUAUUGAUUGAUAACGUGUUACGUGCUUUGAAUGAUUUCCAAAAUGAGCUUUCUAGGCGAGUGUGUAUUUUAUCGCACUCGACCUAAAUCAAUGUGAAAUUUUCAUGAUAAAUGAUUAAAUGCCACUUGUGCAUGAAUGUAACCCUUUUGGGCUGAACUGGCCAUUGCCCCUUGUUACCGGUCGUCUCGAGCCUGAAACGGACUCGGUCAGGCGAUUAGGGACCUGGGUGAACGUUUGGUAUACUCGAGUAUUACCUUUGUAGGUUGGUGGAGGUUGGUGGAAAUUGAUGCAAUUUCAAAUGAAAAAAAAAGGAAAUGACAGGAGAACGAACGUAUCUUUUCAUGAAUGUUACUAUCGCUUUCCAUUGUACAUGUUUCUUGAAUUAUUGAUACUCCAUAUUUAAUGUUUUGUAAAUGUUGUAAUUGUUUCUGGACUUAUCAUUUGAUUUAUGACAUCAUUGAAAAGAAAUAUUGUUAAACCGAUUCGAUUACUGAUUUUCUGGUUACUCGCUGAGCUUCUAGCUCACCCCAAAAAUAUUUUAUUCCCCUCCACAGGGCUCAAAGCGAAGGAAGGCUUGUAGUACUUGUCCGCGUGAUUGGUUGGAUGGCCUUUAUGUUGUAUAGUUUGGAUUUGGAAUCAUUUUAUGUAUAGUUGGGAAUUGUUUCCGCUUUGCUUUUGACAUGUAAUUAUUGGAGAAUGUGAUGUAAUAUUUGAGAUUUAUCUUGUAAUCUGUUUGAGGAAUGUAGUGAACGACUGAGUCCCGGCGAGAGUUGGGCAGGCGGCCCGCCGAACCCUCUGGUUCGCCUUAGGGGGAGGUGGGGCUGUCACAGUUGGUAUCAGAGCUUAGGCUUCAGAUCUCUGUAGUGUAUCCUAGGCUUGAAGUUUAGGAUGCCGGACUGUGGGUUUGGUUUUUAGUGAUUCUUGCGGGAUGUCUCGACUUGAUUGGUAUAAGAUGGAAUGUCGAGGACGACAUUCUUUUAAUGAGCUCAACUGUGACGCCCCGAAAAGUAUAAGUGUGAGAACCCGAAAAUUUUCUAAUUUUCUAGGGUUUAUUUUAUUUAAUCGCCCGCCUUUUCUACGUUUUCUUUAUUAGAAAAAUUCCCCAGAUAAAGUUUAUGGGCAAAAAUAGUUUUAAAAUAAUUUUUCUAGUAUCGGUUAGUUUUUGAGAAAUUAAAAGCGUAUUUUGGACGUGGGACCCGCAAGUGCGGUAAAUGCAUUAUAUUUUUGACAACUUGUUGGAAUGUUGUAUUAAGUGAUAUUAUUUUACAAAGUGUUAAGAUAUUUGUAUUGGAGAGACAAAAAGAUAAGUUUUGAACCAAAAGGUGACAAGUGUCACCAUAAGAUUAAGUCUUGGACUUUGACCAUUUGACUUUACCUUAUCUUUACCAAAUAAAUACCAAAAAAUUGCCAAAAAUCAUCCUUAUUUCUAAAGCUUCAUAGCCGGAUCUCUCUCAAAGGAAAAGAAAGAAAAUCUCUCAAUUUCUUCCUUCUAUUUCUUGCUCAAUCUUCAAAUCCAACCAAUAAAACUCCAAAUCAUUCCAUAAAAUCUCUUUGCUAAGUGGUCUUGAGGUGUUUUGUGGAGUUGUUUGGAAAGCUAAGGUGACUAGUUGCUCUAUCUCUUGUAUUGCUAAGGUGAGUUGUGAAUGACCCCUCUCCUUGCUCUAAUGAUGUUCAAUUCAUGAUUAGUGGUGAUAUAAGGUGCAACUUUAUGGAUUAUAUCUUGAUUUUGGUUGAAUUGGUGAAGUUUUAUAAUUAUUGGGGAUUUUUCUGUUUUCAUAUGGAUAUGAUUAUGGGGUCAUGUAUGAUGAUUGGAAAUGAUGUUUAAUGACUCUAGGAGGUGGAAAAAGUGAUUAAUUGCAACCAAUUUCUGUUUUGGACCAAAAAUUGAAAAGUGAGGGUUUUGUGAUGAACAUUCUGUCCGAAUUUUUAGGUCAUAGAUAGAGGCCGAAUUGGCCUUGGCUUAAAACAUGAAAGUUGUAGGGAAUGAUAUUUUAAAGGUGUCUACAAAAUUUCAGGUCAAUCGGAGUAGUGUGGAAUGAGAUAAGUCGAAAUUACUAUUACUGUCCUGGUUUUACCCGAAUGUAAGAAUUGCGCCUGUAAUUGGUUGUUUUGGCUGGAAUUGCUUCCGAAUUGGUUGUUGAGGCCUUUUGAUGAAAUUUAUCCCUGUUUCUUAGCUUUCAUCUGGUUUUGGAAUUUCUGGUUUUGGACUUGUAGAGCCUGAGUUAUGAUGUUUCCGCUAGAAUGCGUUCUGUGAAUCUGUUUUUGUGAUUCUGGUAUGGUAUCUUGCAUUUUUGACCUGGUUACACUCGCAACUGGGUUGAGUGACCUUCUGCAAUAUUGUAGCCCUAUCUCUUAGCUUCGAAACGGUGUAUCUUGUAACUUCAUCCGACAAUCGUAACGCCUUUGGUACCAUUACCGCAAAAUGACGUCCAAAACUAUUUUUCUGGUUUUGAGCUUAACUUUCAUUUCCGGACUUUUCCAUAGCUUGACUUGUACUAGUACUCCUUGGAGCUUGCUGAAUGGCUAUUGGAUGAACUUGUUGUUGUUUGUGUACCUUUGGGUUGGAAUGAGGAAAUAAUGAAGCCAUGAUGGCUGGAAAAGUUAGUAAAUUCAGGGGAAGUGCUGUCCGAACUUUGAAGGGAUUUGUUUGCAUUGAGUUUGUGAUCUAAGACUUGGAUUUGAGCAAGGCAAUGUUAUAUGCUGGAUGAUUUCGGAGCCGUGGAGGUGAGUGACCCUAAACUAUUUCCAAAGUACUUGUGAAAUGUUUCUUACAUUAUUUACUUUUGAACUGUUUCCAAUUUAAUUAUUGCCACUUUGCUCAUACGUUGGACGACUGGUAAGAAAACCGUGAAGAGCUGCUAUUUUUAUGAAUGAUAACUUUUCCCGUAAAUAGCCUGCUCUUUAUGGCUUUCCUUUGUUAUAUGUCAAGGUACCUGCUUUUGACGAGCAUUUUACAUCUAAUUUAUUUGGUACUUUAAACAAUGAUAUUCAGAUGUUUCUUUCCCUUUUAGACCAACUAUUUUGACUUGUGGAUUUUUUGUGCUUUGGGAAAAAAGAUUUUCGCUUACUUUUUUUUUUAACUGCAAAAGAAAAAUUUUUUCCCUAUAAAUUCCAAAAAUACUUAUUUAUUUCCAUACGAUCAAGUAUGUAUACAAGUAUAUUAACAAUACUUACUAAGUAAGGUACUCAGUUUUAAUCAUUAAUAAUACAUUUUAGUGUUAAUUCAAAUAACACAAAAAAAUACGGGCUUGGUAUAAGUUUUUUUAGCAUAAUAGAAUAUUUUUGCCAUAAAUUAGCAUGUUUCUGUCAUUAAUCAAAUUUACUAUGUUAUAAGUAAAAAUCACUAUUUAUGUAUAAAAACAUACUUUUAGUUCAAAUAAACUUACUUUCCUCAAAAGUAUAUUUGAGAUAUAAAAUUGCAAUUUAUCUCUUUAAAAAGUAUGUUUCAUAUUACUUUCAAUUUACCUUUUCGACUGCAAAGUUACUAAUUUAUUACGUUAACUUACUAUUUUAGAUGAGUACUCGAGUAUUACCAAAAGCUACUGAUUGGAGUGCGGGCCCGGUUGGGGUAUGUUUGGUGGAAGGAAUGAGAGUGAAGUGGGUUCUACGGUUGGUACUCAUAAACGUUGACGGAGAGUCAAUGAGAUUGGAUCAAGAAUAUAAGCGUGGAAAUGGGCUCUUGAGAGCCAUCCGUAUCCUUUUACUGAUUUGUUUUAUUCCUUAAUUGUGUACUUGAAAUGAAAGGUUAUGCUUAAGUGAUCUUUGUUGCUUAUGUGGUAGUAACUCACUGAGCUUUAGCUCACUCCGUUCCAUUUGUUUUCCUUACAGGAAAAUGACUAUUUUGAGAAAGGUUGUGCUAGUUGGUUGUCAAGUUGAGCUCAUGUAAAUGACUUUUGAAUAGCUCCUUGAGGGUGAAAACCCUAAGUGUUUUGUUUCAACCAAUGGUUGGUUGUAAUUGGCUAAUUGCACAUGUAUGAACUUAUGGGAUAUUUUGGUAUCUCGCUUUGGCUUGUAAAUGUUGAAUUUCACUGUAUUUAUGUUUGGUUGAUGUUUGGAUGGAUUUCGGAUCAAUUCGGCUUUCAAACGGCAAAAGGAAAUUUUUCGACUGAAGGGCACUGGAUUGAAUCCGGCCAGGAAUCCGGCCAGUUUCUGGCCGGAUUGUCGGCCGGAUUGCUUGGGAAAAAUUUUGAAUCCGGAAGUUAGCCACUGGACAGUAUCCGGCCAAGAAUCCGGCCGGAUUCCACUGUUCCAGGCACAUUCUUCGUUUUCGUUUUUUUUAAAAUUUUGUUAUUUGGUUACCUGUGGCUUGUUUGAGCGCGCUUUUACUUUCCCGAAAUGUUUGAGAUCGCGUGUAUCUGCUCGUUAGUCCUGGCGAGAGCUGGGCAGGCAGUCCGCUAACCCCUUUGGUUCGCCUUAGGGGAAGGUGGGGCUGUUACAAAUCCAGUUUAGUUAUGAAACCCCAGGUUAAGGGGAAGUUAGUUUGGUUUAGUUAAAACUUGGAUGGUUAGGGUUUGAUGGGUUAAGUUUUGAAGUAGCUAGAGUUGGUGAGAUUAGAAUCUUUAUUAUGGUUAGUGUUUGGUAAGUUUUGGGACUAAAUUGGGAAAGGAAUUUUGGGUCUUUUGUGGAGCAAAUAGGAGAUGGUAUAUGUGUGUUUAUUUGGUAUGAAAUUGGUUGGAAAACCUUGCAUGAGAACCAUAGAAACGGACCAUGCGUUUGCGGCACGCGAAACCGUUCAAAUCUGGAAAACAGGGCAGUCCCGAAUCUGAACUUUGGUCACAUUUUUAUUUGUGCUACAUAUUGAUUCAGGCUCUACCCAAAACAUGAAAGUUGUAGUUUCUUAAGUCCUUGUUGUGCCUGCAAAAUUUCAGCCCAAUCCGAUCAGUGUAGCCUGAGUUAGGACCAAAACACUAAUGACUAUGUGAAAUGUUGGAUUUGGUGACGUUUGUGGUUUUUGCUUCUGACCGUGCUCAGUUCACAUUGAUAAUGAAGGAACUGGGUGUUGAGGUCUUCAUAAUACUUGUAAAUCUUUGUUUCAUAUUUUAAACGGUAUAAAGUGCGUCCAAAUCUGAGUUCCGUAGCUCUAGUUAUACCCAAAACAAGAUCGGGUGUCAGAACUGCCUUUGAAGUUGGACAGUUCUAACAGGAACUUUGGACCCGUUUUUCCCUAUGCUCUGUACUGAUUCAGCUUUUGGUCAAAACACAAAUGUUAUAGCCUUAUACAUAAUCUUUCCAAUCCCUCUGGAAUUUCUUGAUUCCGAUCUCUGAGUUAUGAGUUAUAGUCAUUCAAACAGGGCCUACUUGGUAACCUGAAUUGAAACGGCUGGGCCUGUCUUGUGCAUUUUUGUCCUAGUUCCAUUGAGAUCUGGCUUGAAGUGUCUUCAUGAAAGUUGCAGCCCUUCUUCUUAGCUUCGCAACGGUACCUCAUUCACUUUGAUCCGAUAACCGUAGCCUGAAAUUUGAUCAAACUAGUUCUAGGUGCCAAAUCUGCCCGUUUCCGUUUGCCGGCCGUUUUCGUUUUCGUCGCAGUUUCCGCGCGUGCAUGUGCCCGUUUUACAGUUUUGCUUGAUUUAUGCACUUUAGUAGUGGUUUGUGUAAUAAUGUGGUGCAAUGUUCUAUUUCAGACGGUGGUGAGCUAGACGGAGCCAGUGGGGCCUACUAGCUAUCACACGCGAAGUGAUUUUCGCCCUUGUGCUAUUUUGUACUUUGUGUAAGUAUUCAGGCCGUUUUUGUGUAUAACUUGCUUAUGUGCUUUGGUGUGGAUGAGAGGGUACUUAGGCGAGGGUGUACUUUAUCGCACUCGACCUAAACCCUAAUAUGUGCAUAUAAUUUUACAUGAUAUAUGUAUAUGACUUGCUUUGGGACUGAACCCCGUGAGCUUGUAGCUCGGGGUGACUUUUGUGAAAUUUGUUAAAUAUGAUGAAGUUGUGGGCCCGAUCUCAAGACCUAGACAGACUAUUCGAGCCGGUCCGGGCUUGGUCGAAGCCAGUCCAACCUAGUCUUAAGGUCACCAAGUUUGUGGUUCUGUGAACCAAGUUUGUGAACCGAGCUUGUGAAUCAAGUUCAAUUUUGUUUCGUUUGCUUGAGCCAUUUUGUGAGGUGACUGGCCAGUGUGGGUGAUAAGGUGUACGGUGGGAGUAAGUGGAGUUCUACGGACCUUUAUUUGUGGUCGACGGAGUGUCGACAAGAGGUUACACAUGGCACAUGAUGUGGCUUUGAAGCCAACCUGUAUCCUUAACUUGUGUUGUUACUUUUAUAUUUUCGAUUUGACAUCUUGUGACGUAAUUGUUCGUAUUACUGUGAAAUUUACGUUUUUAUCACUGUUUACUUACUAAGCAUAUAGCUUACCCCUUUCCCUUUGUUUUCCUUAACAGGGGCCGACGCGGGGAACUUUUGGCACUAUCACUAGUAUAGUUAGGCUUGGUUUGUAAUAGCCGGAGAACUAAGAUGUUUUUUCUUGUUUUAGUGACCUGUAUAAGGACCCCUCUUUGGGUCUACUUUAUAUUUUGGUUAUUAGCAUAAGAUAAUGUAGUAGUCUGGAUAACUCCUUUUGAGGAUGUAAAUACUCUUUUGGGAUUGAAUAUAUUAUGAACAGUACUCUUUUGGUUUAUCUAGUUUUAUUUGCUUUGUGUUUUGAGUCCUAGCACGAGCUAGGCAGGCGUCCCGCCGAUACCCUCGGGUUCUCCCUUGGAAGAAGUGGGGGCGUCACAUUGUAGCACUAUCUUCAAGUGUCGGGCAUGAUCUUCUCGGGAUUUAGAAUACACCAAUAUGUCAUCUAUAAACACCACUACAAACUGAUCCAAAUAUGGCUUAAAGACUCGCUGCAUUAAGUCCAUAAAUGCGGCAGGAGUAUUAGUCAAUCCGAAGGGCAUCACCACAAACUCAAAGUACCCAUACCUUGAGUUAAAAGUAGUUCUCGGUACAUCUUCCUUCCUAAUUCUUAACAGAUAAUACCCUUGCUGAAGUCUAACUUAGAAAAUAAUACCGACCCUUGCAACUGAUCAAAUAGUUCAUCAAUAAGCGAUUAAGGAUAUUUGUUCUUUAUUGUCACAUUAGUUAGCCCUCGGUAGUUUAUGUAUAACCUCAAACUCCCAUCUUUUUUCUUGACAAAUAAUACGGGCGCUCCCCAAGACGAAUCGCUUUCCCUAAUGAAUUCCCGCUCUAACAAAUCUUGUAGUUGAAUCUUUAACUCUUUAAGUUCCACAGGGGCUAUCCGAUAUGGGGUUUUAGAAAUGGGAGCUGUUCCUGACACUAAAUCAAUCUUAAACUCCACCUCUCGCUCGGGAGAUAAGGAUUCUAACUCCUCAGGAAAAACGUUGGGAUAAUCUCUCACUAUUGGCAUAUCUUCCAAUUUCAUUUUAUUAGUUGGAGGGUUUAUUAGAAAAGUCAAAUAACCUUGAGCUCCCUUACUUAUUAAUUUUCUAACCCGAAAUCCCAAAAUGAGGGCAGACAAAACUAAUCUUCCAUUCAUAUCCAAUCUUAACGUUGCUUCCCCCGAAAUGCAAAAUUCCACAAUUUUUGUUCUACAGUUCAAGUUAGCAUGAUAUCGGGCUAAACUGUGACGCUCCCAUUUCUCCCAAGGGCGAACCCAAGGGUAUCCGCGAAACGCUUGCCCAACUCUUGCCAGGACUCAAGACAAUUCAAUUCAAACUUAACAGUACAUACCAAAAUGAUACCAGUCUAAAAUAAAGAAAAUUCACUUCUUUAACUGAAUAUCCAAAUCUUACAUCACGUUCUCAAAAGAUACAUCAAGUCCCAAAACACAACUAUUAACAGUCGACUAAACAUUUACAGCCCAGAUUCCAAACAAAAAUAUAACCUAGUCGGUUUUUUCAAAAUCUUCCAAUCCACCUGUUAAGGAAAACAAAUCCAUGGGGUGAGCGAUUGCUCGUGAGGCCAAGAAACACACAUGCAGGCACAUAGUUCAAAUAGCAAUCCCAAUUUAGCAAGUAAAACAGUAAUAUUCAAGUAAUUACAAUUCGAGUGAGAAAAGUAAACAGAAAUAAUUCAAGGAUAUGGGAGCUCUCAGGAGCUAAUUUCCACUUGCUUUGUCAAUGUACGAUCAAUUACCUCCCCGCGAUGACACUCCGUCAACCGGGUCGGUAUUUAGUCUGUAGAAACUCCACUUACCCAUUCUCCGUCCACCAUACAUAUCCCACCAGACCCGAACUUCUAUAAAGGCGCUACUGCACAAAUAGGCCAAGCAAGAUCUCUCCAAUAGAUCAGGCUUAUACAGGUUUUCUCAUGGCUCACCAAGGUUCUCGACCAAACCCGUGUUGGCUCGAGACCAAGGUCGGCCGAUGAGAUUUGGGUGUCCCCCGGAUCAGGUGUGAAUCGAGAAGUUUCACUCCAGCGACAUAUGCAGCCAUAGCAUAUAAUUCAAUUCAAUUCAGGUCAAGUAAUUCAAUUCAAUUCAGGUCAGGUAAUCCAAUUCAAUUCAGGAAAUUCAAUGACGAGUCAUUUAAAUGAGAACGAGUGCGAUAAAGUACACACUCGAUUCAGCAAUUAUCAAUUUCAGUUCAUGAGAAGCAAUUCACAUAAUUGCAACAAAACAAGCACUUGACACUCACCUAGUUAAAAUAAGAGUGGUGCACAAUCAAGUAUUUAGGCAUCCCUUGUGAGAUCCUCUUGAAGGUCUCCUUGAGUGCCUGAGCAAUUAAUAAUUAACUACCAUACACCAUUGUUUAAAAACCCCUAGUUAACAAGGGAGAUUGUACACUUGUACAAUCUAAGAAAAUAUCAUGAAAGAGAGCCUUAAUUACUCGUAAAUAGAGACUCAAAAGUGGGGUUUAAUAAUACAAGGAAAAACUGAUUUUCAUCUUUGAAAUCAAGUGUAAAAUGGUCAAGCAAUAUCGAAGGGUAAUGGAGAGUUUCUAAAAACUCAAUUCCCUUCAAGUUCAGAAAUUCCAGAUUUGAGGUGCAAUUUUUGAAAAAUCAUAUCUCACUCUCUGUAAGUCCAAAAUUGGAAAACUUGGUACCGUUGGAAACUACAUCCCAAGUACUAAAAGUUCCUCGAAGACACUUUUCCAUGAUUAUAAAUGAAUGACACUCAAAUUUCGGCUUAAAUUUGCUAACUUACACUUCCAAGACAGAUUCGGGGUUGGUUUUUGGCAAAUUUUGGAAAUUUGGCAAAAUUCAUAGAAUGUGAACUAGCCUCUAAAAUGUGAAACUCAAUUAGAGUUACAAUCAAAGUUUAAAACACAACUAACAGAACUAAGAUCGGAGUUUCAAGCAUCAAGAUAUAGCAGCCCAAAGUUAGCUAAAAAUAAUGACAGAUUGCACAUUUUCCAGAUUUGGAAAAACGAUUUUGGACCAUCAUUUGGGUAUCGAAAUGGUCUUGGAUUGACACCAAAAUUGGUAAAACUCAACUUCCAUAUGAGGACUACUCCUCUACCAAAUUUCAUUUGAAAAUUCACACGGGAAGGUAGUGUAUCAAACUACCAAAAUUCAAGAAAUCCCAAGACCAAUCUGUCUUUUGCUUUCUUCUCCCUUUUUCAAAUAUUUUGUCCAAUUAAAACGACUUAAAUCUGGCUCAUUUAUGAAACAAAAGUCUAAGAAACAUCUAAUAUACAUUUGGUGGGUGAUUGACAUCAAAAUUUGCAAAACAACAAGUCCCAAGUCAAGCUAGGCCAUUCGGCUAGCCAAAAUUAGGGUUUUCUAUCACUAGUGCAGUUCUGUAAUUUGGCCAUAACUCAGUCAAUUCAACUUGAAAUUGAGCAUGGUCAGUGGCAUUGGAAAAUAUAUUCAUAAGGCUACAAUUCCUCAGAAGAAAGAAUUUUGAAAUUCAGUUCAUAGCUAGCUCAAAUUCAAGCAACAAUUCCCAGCACAUCACUGACUCUCGAGCAGAGUAACAAAACAGAACGGGUAAUUUUGGUGAACUAGUACAGCUCACUCACUUUGAAUCAGGGGAUGCAUUUUAUACCUUUAUAAAAAUGGAUGUGUCUAGUUUCAAAUACGUCAAACGGCACUGGAUUUCGACAUUGGACCAAAGAGUUAUGAUCGUUCAAAUUUCACUGCCAGAGAACCCCUGAUACGCGAAUUUCCAGUUUGUUCUUGUUCAAAACUCAACUUUUUCUUAACCAAAUCAAGUAAUUUUUUGUGGAAACUUUCCACACAACCUAUAAAACAUAUCUACAACAAAUUCAAGGUCAUUUGAUCACAAAAAAAAUCAAACCAAGGGCUCUGUAAAAACAGGGCAGAAUCGGCUAAGCUUCUCAUGCAACUUUCCUUUUAUUUUCUUUCCACUUUUUCAACUUAUAUCUACUUGUUUAACACUUAAUCAACAUAAAUAACACCCAUAAUCAUCAUAUCAUUCGAACAUGUCCAUUGUGGGAUUUCAUAGAGCCCACUCAAAUGAUUUUCAACCAAAUAAAGAUACCCACAUGAAACUACAAGCUUCCAAGUCACAUUUAACUCACUAGAACCAAGUUUAAAAGGUUAGAUAGUUACCACCUCUUGGGUGAUGAAAACUCAGAAAUUUUGGUUACUAAGAGCUCCAAGAAACCGUGAGAAAGGUACUCUCUUCCUGGUCCAAGUGAGUCUCCAAGUUGUGGGUUUGUGUGAUGAUUUUGGAGUGAAAUGGUUGGAUGAUUUGAAGUGAAAUGAGAUGAACUUGCUCCUUCUUCCUCCUUUGGAUUUUCGACCAGCAUAGGAGAGAAAAGAGAGAGGGUUUGUUAAUGGUGAAGCUUCUCUUGGAAGCUUGGUAGUUGUAGUUCAAAUUUUGGCACAAAAGUCAACUCUCAAUAGUGCCCGUACGCGUGCGUUUCAUGCCCGUUUCCUCUCGGGUUUGUUUCACUUGUGCACUAAACCUCUAAUGCACUUCCUUUAACACUAUUAUUAUCCACUCUUAGUAGUCUGACAAUAAUUUUCUAAAGUCUUUCAAUUAGUCGCGCGCGCGAAAAUGCGAACUUCCGACUUAUGCGCGAUAAAGUGCAAUUUCUAAGAAAUUCUUGUAACGAUGAUAUGACUAACUAAUACUAGGGUUAUUAAUCAUAAAAAUACCUAUUUUAAGACUAACACUUGAGUUCUCAAAUUUCCAAGGUCACUGUACUCUCAAAUCGACUAUUGCCUCCAAAUGUGUAUUCACUAAAUCUCGCUAAACGAGCUUCCAAAAAUGAAAUUUAUUAACGGGACAUGUUUAAAAUAUAUGCACGUCAUAGUUCCAUGUAAAUGGUUCCAAAAGGAUUGAAAUAAAUUAUUCGGAGAAAAUGGGCAAUUAAUUAUUUAAAUAAGCCAAUAAUAUGAGUUUAAAAUAAGUAAAUUUUUGGGUCAUCCUCUCCUCCUUAAGAAAAUUUCGUCCUCGAAAUUAUACCUUGAUUUGAGAACAUGUCUGGAUAUUUUCCUCGAAUUUCUUUUUCAACUUCCUCGGUUGCUUCCUCUAGUCCGUGGUUCCUUCAGAGAACUUUCACCAACGGAAUCCAUUUGUUUCUCAAUUCUUUCACCUUACGAUCUAGACGCUUGAUCGGUUUCUCCUCAUAAGUGUCAUAAGUUAGCGUCUCAUCAAUUUCAAUACUCUUUGGUUGUAGAAUGUGAGACGGAUCCGGAUGAUAUUUCUUAAGCACCAAUACGUGGAAAACAUUGUGGAUCAGAGAUAAACUUGGUGGCAAUUCCAACUUAUAGGCUACAUUUCCUACACGUUGGAUAAUCUUGUACGGCCCUACGAAUCUCGGUUGUAACUUCUUUCCUUUUCCAAACAUUAAACUUGCUUUCAGAGGGGUAAUCUUAAGAAAUACUAGAUCUCCAACCACAAAUUCCAAGUCCUUCCUACGGUUAUCUGCAUAACUCUUCUGACGACUUUGUGCGGUCUGAAUCCUCUGGCGUGCCAACUUCACUUUUUCGUUCACCUCCUCAAUCCAAGGCACUGUAGUCGGGUCUAAGAUUUUUCGUUCACCUAUUUCAUCCCAACAAAUUGGAGACCUACACUUCCGACCAUAAAGUGCUUCGUACGGGGCCAUUUGAAUAGAAGGAUGAAAGCUAUUGUUAUAGGCGAAUUCCACCAAUGUCAAAAACUUACUCCAACUCUCUACAAAAUCCAAAACACAAGUUCUCAACAUGUCCUCAAGGGUUUGAAUCGUCCUCUCAGACUGUCUAUCGGUCUGGGGAUAGUAAGUAGUAUUAAAAUUCAAUUUAGUCCCCAACACUUCUUGCAUUUUUUUGCUAGAAUCUUGAAACAAACCUAGGGUCUCUAUCGGACACAAUUCUUACAGGUAUCCCAUGUAACCUGAUAAUCUCAUCCAAGUAUAACUUAGCUAACUUCUCCAAUGGGUACUUCAUAUUAAUCGGCAGAAAAUGAGCCGAUUUGGUCAACCUAUCCACUAUUACCCAAAUGGCAUCAUGACCUCUUUGUGUCCUAGGUAACCCUGAUACAAAAUCCAUGGUGAUGUUUUCCCAUUUCCACUCGGGUAUCUCCAGAGGUUGCAAAAGUCCUGAUGGUUUUGAUGUUCAGCUUUAACUUGUUGAUAAAUCAAACAGGUUUGGACAAAUUGAGCAAUCUCCUUUUUCAUGCUCUCCCACCAAUACAAACUUUUCAAGUCUUGUUACAUUUUAUUCCCUCCAGAGUGUACCGUAAACUUCGAUCGGUGUGCCUCUUCCAAAAUUUCCUUCUUAAGUCCUUCAUCCUUUGGCACUACGAUCCGAUUCUGAAACCUCAAUACACCAUUUAAUCCCAAUUUAAAAUCUAACUUCUCUCCCUUUUUGACUUUUUCCAACCACUUUUGUACUUCACUGUCUUUUUCCCGAGUCUCUUUGAUGCGUUCUAACAAAGCAGAAUUCACUAUAAUAUUCCCAAGAAUUACUUUCCUCGGUUCAAGUCUAGGGUUCCAUAUACUAACCUCCUCCAACAGGUGCAUUUAUUUAAUCAUCAAUCCUGCCACUUGCACUUGACGACUUAAAGCAUCAGCCACUACAUUGGCCUUCCUGGAUAGUACUUUAUCAUGCAAUCAUAGUCUUCCAAAAAUUCCAUCCACCUACGUUGUCUCAAAUUUAGCUCCUUUUGAGAAAAUAAAUACUUAAGGCUCUUGUGGUCAGUAAAAACCUCAAACGUUAUUCCAUAAAGGUAAUGCCUCCAUUCUUUAAAGCAAACAGUACAACCGCUAAUUCCAAAUCAUGAGUUGGGUAAUUUCUUUCAUGCGAUUUUAACUUCCUAGAGGCAUACGCUAUCACUUUCUCAUUUUGCAUUAAUACACAUCUCAAGCCUUCCUUGGAAGCAUCUGUGUAGACCACAAAAUUAUCUUUUCCAUUCGGUAGAGCUAAUACGGGUGCCCUUGUCAAGCGUCUUUUCAACUCUUGAAAACUCUCUUCACACUUAGGACUCCAUAUAAACUUUCCACUCUUCUUGGUUAACUCAGUCAUGGGUCCAGCAAUUUUAGAAAAAUUCUUGAUAAAUCUCCGAUAAUACCCUGCCAACCCUAUAAAACUUCGAACUUCAGUAGGGUUUUCCGGUCGCUUCCAUUUAGAAACCGCUUCAACUUUGGCUGGAUCCACUUUAAUCCCAUCCUUAGAAAUUAUAUGACCCAAAAAUGUCACUUCUUUCAACCAAAAUUCACACUUGCUAAACUUAGCAUACAAUUGAUGUUCCCUCAGGGUUUGUAAAACAAUUCUCAAGUGCUUCUCGUGAUCCUCCGUGUGAGGACUUGUAAUAUCCCUUAUAUUUUUCUUAAAAUUCCCUUUAAUUUGGAAAUUAGUACCUUACAAUAGCUUUACUACACAUUCACUUCCCCAAUAGCUACAAAUAAUCAUAGAACCAAGGGUUUCCCUUUUACUUUCAUCGUUAAGAUAAACUAGGAUUUUUACGUCUUUUCGUAGUGUGAGUAAUCGGUAUGGAGUGUGUACUAAAUUUAGUGAUUAAGAGUGAAUUUUAAAUGAUAUUAAAUGUGUGAUUAAAAGUAAUAAUAAUAAGUUAGUGAAUUAUAAGUGAAAACCCUAGUACGUGCGAGUUAGGAAAAAACGGUGUGAACCGACGUGUAUCGUUCACUACCGAUUGAACACACCACUUGACCACCACUUUAUUAACUUAAUCUAAUUGUCAUUAGUGCCAAAAUAUCAGCCCUAAUUAUCCUAGUGAGAGAGCCGAAAUUCUUGACUAAAAAAAGAAAGGAAAAGAAAAAAAUUCAAGAUGAAAUCUUGUGGUGACAAGUGGAAGGCAUCCAACCAUCUUUGACCCAAACUAAGACCAAGCUUCUUAACCUUUCUUGGACUUCAUUCUUUCUUCAUUUUACAUCCAUGGUGGCCGAACUUCUGCUGCAAUAAUUCAUCUAAAAAACUUGUAUCUCCUCAAAUCUGGUAGGUUCCCAAAUGCCUAUGUUGAACACGUUGUACAAUUCACCAAUGUCUAUCCAACUUCGUAUCACCAAUAUAGAAGACUUGUUGGACUUGAUUUGGUAAAACAAAUGGAUCAUUUUGAUACCAACGUGAUCUAAUAUCGAUGGUCACAAAGUGCCUAUCAGUCUUUAUUGUGUUUGUGCUACCUGUGUUAUACUAUUCACAUUGAAGCAAGACACCUUAUAUGCAUGAAAAAGGUCAGCUCAACCACAGCCUUAACAAAGCCAUAAAAGUCAAUGUGUUUUCCUUUAUGGUCACCCUCAACAACUAAGCCACUAUUCUGUGUUGUACGGCAAUCAUCCCGAUCUCUUGUGUGGAAACGAACUUCAUUUACAAUGCACCCUGAGUAAUGCUUUGUCAUGAAAGGUAUAGGACCAUUUGCUAAUGCCCACAGCUCUUCAGAAACAUCAUGAUUUAUCAAAUGCAACUGAUUUAUCUAUAAAAUAGAAAACGAGUCUCUAUUAGUCAGUUUUCAAUAACUAAUAAACUCAUUUUUGUAAUGUUAUAACUUGCAUGAUCUUUGAACCACUUUUGAAUUGAUCUUCAUGUCUGCUGUCAACAUUUUCAGGAUGAAUCCUUUGCAGCAUCUCUUUAUGCUUACUGAAAUUGAGAUUGUAUUAUCAAUAUAAAGUAAAAUAAACCACAGAAGUAAUAUUUAAAAUAUAAAAUUGAAAUACAUAUUGCACUUACAUUCUGUACUCUUCUAUUUCAUCACAGUUAUUCAAUAUAAAUUUAUGAGCCACAUCUAGUUCAACUUGAGAUAAUUUAGUAGGAGGUUUAACAAGUCCAAAUGGGCGAACAUUUAGUGAGAAAACCACCAGCUUCUCUGCCUUGUCCUGAUUACAGUCAUAGUUGCGUCCCUUACGUGUGAAUUUUGUUUCAAUGCCAUGGAGAUAUUUGGACAUGAAUGUUAGGCACUCAUUUGCAAUAUAUCCUUCUGCAAUCGAGCCUUCAGGACGAGCACGACUGCGGACAUACUUUUUAAGGGAUCCAAGAUACCUUUUCAAAAGCAAGAGUUAAUUUUCUACCAAACAGAAUGUUACAUAAAUAACAAAAUUUUUAGUCAAACAAAUAAGGAAAAAGUACCUUUCAAAUGGAAACAUCCACCUAGGAUGUACUGGCCCACCAAGUUUUGCUUCCUUUGGCAAGUGAACAAUCAAAUGGAUCAUAAUGUCAAAGAAGGCAGGGGAAAGAUUUUUUCCAGCUUACAUAAUAUUAAUGGAGCAUUUUUCUCCAACCUUUCCAAGUCAUUCAUCUUAAGGGUUUUAGAACACAAAUCUCGAAAAACUACUUAACUCAAAAAUUGCCUCAUUGACUUCUUUGCACAAAUACGCACGAAUACCGCUGGAAUAAGUCGUUGCAAGAGGACAUGGUAGUCAUGUGUUUUAAGUCCCAUCAGUUUACCAUCUUUAACACACUUGGAAAUGUUUGCAACAUACCCAUCAGGAAACUUAAUUGAACUAAAAAAAACACAAAAUCCUUUUCUUUCACUUGAAGACAUCACAUACAAGGCUGGAGGCUUUGUUUUCCUUUUACCAUCAUCAUGUAAGUGUAGUUCAUGCCUUAUUCCCAUGUCAAGUAGAUCAUCACGAGCUUUAUUAGUAUCUUUUGUCUUGUCAGGAAUGUUCAACAAUGUUGCUACUAAACUUUCACAUGUAUUUUUAAGGAUAUGCAUCACAUCCAAACAAUGCCUCAUGGUGAGUUUUUCCCAAUACGGUAACUCAAAAAUAUACUUUUUUUCCUCCAAUUACUCUAAAUUUUAUCAACUCCUUUUUUCCAAGUAACUGGAUUCUUACCAAACUCACCAAAGAUACCAGCCAACCAAUUUAAAUGUCUUAAAACAUGUUCUCCGGAAAAUUCCUUUGGCUUGGAGCGUGUUUCAAUAGUUCCAUCAAAUUGAGCUUUUUGCUUUCGCCAAGGUGGUCAUGGUUCAAAAAACGACGAUGUCCCAUGAAACAUAUUUUGCCUCUUAGUCUUUGUGAAGCAGCAUCAUUAAGACAACAUGGACAUGCUUUAUACCCACUGGUGCUCCAUCCAGACAAAUAGCCAUAUGCAGGGAAAUUUGAUAUAGUCCAUAAAAUUGCUGCACGCAUUUGAAAGUUUUGUCCACUAUAUGCAUCAUAAGUGCUGAUCCAUGAAAUAAAUCUUUCAAAUCAUCUAUUACUGGCCUUAAGAACACAUCUAACUCCUUUCCAGGGGCACGUGGACCAGGAAUAAGAAGUGAUAACAUAAGAUAUUCCUUUCUCAUAAAUUUAUAUGCAGGCAAAUUGUAAGGUACAAGAAUAACUGGCCACAUGCUAUAUGAGUUGCUCAUGUUACCAAAUGGAUUGAAUCCGUCUGUGGCCAAUCCAAGUCUUACAUUUCGAGAAUCUUUAGCAAAAUCAGGAUAUUGCUUAUCAAAAUCCUUCCAAGCAGUAGAAUCAGCCGGAUGUCUCAUGAUACCUUCCUCUUUAACCCGUUUCUCCUCAUGCCAUCUCAUGUCUUCAGUAGUUUUAGAAGACAUAAAAAGUCUUUGCAGCCUAGCUUUUAAUGGAAAGUACCACAUCAUCUUUUGUGAAACUUUCUUUUUCUUGCCAUUAUUGACUUUCCAUCGUGAUUCUUUACAAACAGGACACUUGUCCAUCUUUUCAUUUUCUUUCCAAAAUAAUGAACAAUCAAAUUUGCAGACAUCAAUUUUUUGAUACCCCAAACCUAUACCAAUAGAAUUUUCAUGGCCCCAUAAAAACUGGAGGAAGUAUUUCUCCUUCUGGUAACACAUCUUUUAAAAAUUCCAGCAUCAUGUCAAAUGCCUUGUUAGUCACAUGGUUCAUCACUUUGAUAUGGAGAAAGGAAACAAUGAAACGCAGCAGGGAGUACUUUUUGCAUCCCGGGUAAAGUUCUCUUUGUGCAUCAUUUAACAAUUUGUCAAAAUUUUUUGAAUCACAUUCACUCGAUGUCCCUGAUUCAUGUGCAUUUCUUAUCUCAUCCAAUAAAUCAGGUAACUCAUGAGAUUCACCAUUUUCAUUCAUAUCAAAGUCAUUAUAUACAGCUUCAUUGAGGAAAUCUAUCUCACCUGCAACACCAUUCUCAUCAAGGUUAUUGUUCUUUCCACUUGACAUAUAAGAGUGUGCAGAAAAUGGUUCCCCAUGGAAGACCCAAUUUUUAUAAUACAUACAAAAGCCUUUUUCUGACAAAUCUGAUUCAACUUGAGAAAUGCUUUUUCUCUUUGAAUUCCUACAUCUCCUACAUGGACAAAAUAAUUUUCCAUCCAAUCCCAUACCAUUGGUCUUAGCAAAUUCAAUAAAAUCCUUAAGACCAGACUUAUAAUGACUUGACAAAAUAUUUGGAUAAUUUAUCUAGCUCUUAUCCAGUUCCGAUACCUAGAAUAAGAAAAGUCUUAACUUACUAAACUCAAGGCAUUGUCAAGAUGAACAACUCAAAAAGGAGGAAAGACAAUUUCUAGAUAUAAAAAGAUAAAGAAGGCAAAAAAACAUAGUAUUCACAAUGUACCUACUUUUUAUGGCUUAGUUAUGAAUUCCAAGCUACUUAGAUUAUUCAAUGAUUACACCAAAGGGUAUACUACUCAAUUAAACUGAAAACACAUUCCUAAUUGUACUAUUCUCCUAUUGUUUAAUUGUAUAUGUUGUUGUAUAGUAUAUAAGAAAGCAUUAAACAUCAUAACCCAUAACUUGAUUUACACAAAUAAGGAUGUAAACCAUAACAUAAUUUGCAAGAAACUAGCAGUCAUGAUAAACACUUUUCAUUCUUUAUGGUAAGCUACCAAAUAACCACGUACCUCAAAUUAUGCAAUCUUUUUUCUGGUUGUUCCAUUUCUUCUCUAUCAAGGUAGUGAGAAUGCAGGUCUGCUCUGCUGAAUAUGAAGAAAUGCGAAAUUAGAUAUUUUAAGAAAAUCAUCAUACAUAAUCAACAACAAUCAAAAAUCUUUUUUUGUAACAUAAAAAAUAACAAAAUUACCUUCCUAAAGCCUGAUUAGAAUUGUAACUAUCCCAUUGAUCUUCUAUUCGAACCAAUCCCUUUCUAGACAAAAAAAAAAAGAGGGAAAGAGAGGGCAAAACACAGAUCAACUUAUGGAGUAAAGAUUGGUAAUGUAUAUAACUAAAAUUGUGAAAAGAGCAAAAGAUGGUACAACUAUUAUUUUCACCCAAAAAUUUAAUAGUGGUAUAAUUUGUUGUAAGUCCCGUGUGGAGUAUGUUAAAAAUCAAUGUACAUUUUGUAAUAUUGAGCCAUGCAACUUUUUUCCAGACCAAUCAAGUCCAAUAACAGAUUAACAGUUCAGGAACCGUGGCUGCCCCAAAUUCUUGAUUGUCGUACAUGGCUGCGAGCCACCUUUAGACACUCGGUAUGAUGGAUAGGCUGUGAUAAAUAGUUUUUGCACUAUGAUAUCCUAAUGAAGAAGUCCUGCAAAAAACCAAACGAUCCUCGACAACUUUCCUCUUACAGCAAUAUAGGUCAUAUCCCAUUAGUUUAUUCCUUCAAGGAAUAGACAAUACUUUUCGCGAGAGUCUUACCAUAACUUUUGCAAAAUGCAUCGUUAAGGCUCUGAAUUUGUCAAAUUUCUGAAUUAAUGUAAGGUGCCUAUAAGUGAUUAGUGAGCUGGAAAGCAAGGAAAAAACCACACAAGAUUUAAUGGUCUAGACUACAGAGGAUCAUUGGCUUGUAUUACUAGAGCAUUUACUAGGCAAAUGAGAAGAACUAUGGCACAUCAACAUAAUGCCAAGAAUUGUGACAGUAGAAAUUUGUCCUUUAAACCCCGCCAUUCCACCUUUAAUCUGAAAAUGGAGAACAACAGAAUCUGAAGUCGCACAUCCAGUAUAGAUAAUCAUAGUAGCAACUAGCAUCGCUGUCAUAAUUCUCACAUCUCAACUCUGUUAGUAAGCUGGAUUCAAGCAAUGAGAUUUAGGCCGUGGUAAGUCGCUAACAGGCUCCAUUUUUUGUUGCAACAUUGGGAUUUCUCCACACCAAAUUAUCCUGGGCCAUCUUCAUUUUUUUCUAUAUUGGUGAUGCAUAGGAAAAAGUGUCAAUAGUGUUCGAAGACUAUCCUUGCAGUAAGUAGCAAGGAUGCAGCCACUGAGAACACAUUGCUGGUUUCCCAUAGCCAGUCUUAAAAUUUCUUUCAGUGUUCCAUGCUGACCUGAAAUUUAUCUAUUAUCUUCACCCAAAACAAAAUACAACUACCUCAUAUAAAAGCCACUCAAAUGUAGUUCAAACAAAGUAGACAUACGUAUAAAAAGAUUAGACAACAGUACACCCAUUUUGACUAAGCAAGUCGAAAUUUCCUCUUUUUUGGCCGUGAAAUCCAAACAACAUUACCACACUUCUAAUCCAAUAACCAAUAUUUGCACCAGGACAUAUAACCCAAGGAAAUAUUUAGAAACUUAAUUGUAAUUUAAGUACAUAUUCUUAAUCUACAGCUGCAUUGUAUAAAAAAUAAUGCCAUUUCAUGAAAUAUCGAUCUUUCAUCAAAAAGGUAAGCUAAAAAUUGUAACUUUUCUAUUAAAUAGCGAAGUAACAAAACUGAAAAAUUGAGCUGACUGCAAAUUCAUAGUCAGACCUGAAAAAUUGAAUUGACUCACCAGUCAGAGCCGACUGCCAAUUCCACAAUUGUACUUUUAGUACCUUGAGCAGAGCUGAAAAAUUGAUAACUUGGAAAUAGGAGGAGCAACCAAAACAGGAUACCAACCGGGUCAAUUUUCAAAGGAUCUCUGUCGAGCAAGCGAGCAUCAGCAGGAAUGAUAUCAACAAGUUUUAUACUGAUUAUAUCCCCGGGCACAAGAAUUGAAACAUCUUCCUACGUUUUGACGAACAGAGAAAGGGAGAGAUGAAUAAAAUACCCACUGUAAAAAUAAAAAAGGAACCAAUUAAGGACAAAAUUGAAGGGUGAUUUGGAGAAAAGGAACUGAUUCAAGACAAAAUUGAAGGAUUAUUUGAUUUUUACAUCACCUUAGACAAUCGUGUUGUCUCUCUUGUUGAAAGAGAUGAAGACAAUUUCAGAGUUCGUUGUUGUUCUUUGUUGUUGGAGAUAUGAAGACAAGUUACAGAUUUGGAGAAAGUGUUUCUUUGUCGUUGUUGUUCCAAAAGUAAGAGAUAUGGGAAAAGUGUCUCUUUGUUUCCGGUUUCUAUGUCAUAAGUCUGAUGUCCUUCUAAAUUCUUUUUUGGUCCAAAACGGGGGAAAAAACUGGUGGGAAAAAAAUGGAGGGAGAAUGAAAGCUUUUUCUGACGAAUUGAUGUGAGGAAAGUAACUUUAGACAAUGAAAUAAAUAGAAAAACAUGUUUGCCUUUUGAAGGACAUUUGCCUGAUGGGUUGUCAUAAAAAGUAUUGUUUUUGUAAUGAAUAGGUUGGUUGUCAUGAAAAAUUUGUCACGAAAGAAAUAAUUUUUUGUAGUGACUUUUGAUUGAUUUGUAACAAAUUUCUUGAGUGAAAGGAAUAGUUCCUUCCUCUACGAAUUCCUCUACCAUCUUUACAUUUCUUCCUCUCCACCUUUAUUUACAUCUUCAUUUCUGUCCCCUCAAGUUGAAUCCCGAUACUUCUGCCAAGAAGCCAUUGGGAACAGCUUGGUUGGUGACAAUUGGGAUCAGAGCAAGUUGAUCCUGCGGCAAUGGUAGAAACUAGAAGUAAAACUUUAGAAGAGACAUCAAGAGAUUGGAUAGAGAAGUCACAGAUCUGGGAGCAGCGGUUAAGAACUUGGAGGGUCAGUAGGUGAUUUGCAUGCUAAGUAUGACAGUCUGAUGAGCAUGAUGGCUCAACUGUCACAGGACUUUAAGAAUUUCGCCAUGGAAAAACAACCCUUGGGAAACUCUCAAAGGCUUGGGAACGGUCAAGGCUCUUAGUCACAAGGAUCUGGAGUGAAUUUGGGGGGAAAUUCGAGCGGAAGUUUAAAUGGAAGCCCAGGAGGAAGCUUGAAUAGGAGUGAUGGAUGGAGUGGACAAAGACUGCCCAAGAUCGAUUUUCCAAGCUUUGAAGGCGAAAGACCCUGGGAAUGGGUGAGGAAGGCUUAGAAAUACUUCCACAUUCAUCAGAUCCCAAAGGACCAAAAGGUCCCUAUCGCUGAAAUGUACUUGAAGGGGAGAGCGGAUAUAUGGUUCCACGGAUUUCAAGUAGGGAGGAACGACCUUCCAUGGGGGGAGUUAGCCACUAAAAUUUGUAGAAGAUUUGGAGAAGGAACCCCAGGGGAUGUUGUGGAAGAAUUUAUGUGGAAAGGUUUGAAGAGCUCAAAGCCUUGGUACUGGCUUCUCUCCUUACAUGUCUGAAUCAUAUUAUGUUGCUAAUUUCACUAGUGGAUUAAAAGCGGAAAUUAAGUCCAUGGUGAAGAUGCUAAAACCAAAUACCUUGACCUCGGCCAUAGAAAUUGCAACCCAACAAGAAAUCACUAUCACUGCCAUUAACCGAUACUCCAAACCAAUGACCAAGCCAUCUUCCAGUACACUUCCUACCCAGAAAAACACAACUCACUCAACCUCAAACUCCAACAAAUGGAACUCGUUCCCUUCUUCUUCUGUUUCUUCAAAAACUCCAGAACUACCAAAAAGCCAACCAGCCAAUCCUAACUACAAAAAAAAAACCAAUUCAAUUCCAAAAAAUUUGCCAAAGGACUUUCAGACUAAGAGGGAGCUUGGGCUGUGCUACAAAUGCGAUGAGAAAUAUACCCUAGUCAUGUUUGCCAAUUUGGACAUAUUAAUUUCAUCUUAGCUGAUGAAUCUUACUCUGAAGAGUACUUGAUACAAGAUGUAGAGAAGGAAGGUCUAGAUGACCAGGGUCAACUGUUGGAGAAUGAUGAACAAAUCAAAAUUUCCUUGAAUGCUUGUCUGGUAAUGUGAGCUUCAAAACUAUUAGGAUCAAGGGUUUUAUUAAGAAUAGGGAAGUAUCUAUGCUCAUCGAUAGUGGUAGCACUCACAGUUUCAUUGAUGAAGGACUUGCAAAGCAAUUACAGUGCAAACUGAUGCCUACUAACCCCUGGGAGUAACUGUGGCUGAUGGCACAAAGCUAUAUAGUAGGUUCAUUUGUAGCCCUUUGAUUUGGAGAAUGGACGGAUUGGAGUUCCAGCACUAGUGAGGAUAUUGAAGCUAGGGGGAAGUGAUAUGGUGAUUGGAGUAGACUAGUUAAAGAAAUAUAGCCCAGUAGUUUUUGACUUCAACUCACUAUUCAUUCAGUUCAACAGGAAUGGUCAGAUAGUAACGCUAAGUAGUGGUAGUUGUGAUGGGGAAGUGAGCUUGUUGAAAGGUAGAAGGUAAAACAGUGGUUCAGGAAUCACACUUAUGGGGUUUUGUGGUGUAUAUGUGUGACUUCAGAGAGUCAACCACGGGAAGAGGAACCAGUCCCUAAUGAAGUUGUUGAAUUGCUAGCUGAAUUGGAAGAUGUCUUUGCAGAACCUAAGGGUCUACCCCACCAAGAUCCCAUGACCAUCAGAUCAUUCUCAAAGAGGGUGCUCAACCGUUCAAGUUGAGACCAUAUAGGAUCCCUUACAUUCAGAAAGCAGAAGUUGAGAGACUAGUUAAGGAAAUGUUGGAAAAUGGGAUUACGACAUCAAAGGAAGCUUUUGAACUACUCAAACUAGCUAUGAGUUCAACUCCUGUGCUAGCACUUCCAGAUUUCACCAAGCCAUUUGUGGUGGAAAUAGAUGCUUGUUAUGGGGUUAUUGGGGCAGUUCUAAUGCAGAAAAGAAGACCACUGGCUUAUCUAAGCAAAGCUCUAGGACUAAGGCACCUAGGCAUGUCCAUAUAUGAGAAAGAAUUACUAGCUGUGGUAACUGCUAUUAACAAAUGGAAGCAUUAUCUAGAGGGCCAUCACUUUGUCCUAAAAACUGAUCACUAGAGUUUGAAGUUCUUAUUGGAGCAACGGAUCACUACUCCCUUGCAGCAAAAAUGGCUUACUAAAUUGCUUGGGUUGAGUUACGAGAUACAGUUUAAGAAGGGAGCUGAGAAUGUAGUGGCUGACGCAUUGUCUAGGAGAGGGGUGGAUCAAACGGAAUGUGUAGCAUUAACCACCGCAACACCAGCUUGGUUGUAAGAAGUUAUUGAUAGCUACAGCGAGGAUGCAGAUGUACAAGCUAAAAUUCAAAGCUUAUUGUUGGCACCUGCUGAGAACUCUGAGUAUAGCUACUAAAAUGGUAUAUUGAAGUAUAAUGGAAAAAUCUAUAUUAGAGGAGGAGGAGACUGUCGCGCCCUAUUUUUAAUGAAAAAUAAAUAAAUUUACAAGUUAUCAAACUGAAUUUUUUGAGGGAAAAAUGAGUUUUUGAUUUUUAGAAAAUAAAUAAAGAAAACGAGCCUUAAUGGGACUUUAAAAUGCGACGAUUUUGGCCCAAAUUAAUAGUUUAAAAAGGGUUUUUAAGGAAAAAAUAGGAGUUGCCACUUGGUAUUGAGUGAAGGUGUACCAAGUCACCUAAAAUAAAUUUUUAAAGAAAAAGUAGAGAAAACUCUUUUUAAACGAUUCCAAAUCUGCAAAAAUCAAGAGAAAAGGGGUCGGGAGUCACAUUUGAAGAAAGGGAAGGCAAGGAUAAAAUCCAAGGCACCCUUUCAACCUAGCCAAGACUGUGCUGCGUGAUUUAGUAAAAAUUUUCUUAAUUUAACCUAAAAACUUAUCACAUUUGGAUGUUUACUAUAUGAAUGCAAAACCUAAAUCUAGGAGGAUAUUGGGGGUCAAACUAUCUCUUCAAACUUAAUUGGUGCAAAUCACAUUAAUUGUGAUGUCCAAGCUGACUCUUUGAAGAAGUCACGAAUAUGCAAAAAUAUGAGACUCGAAGGAAAGAAAAGAAAAUAAUAAUUAUACAAAUAUACAUGAUCUAAAGGAAUGCAUCAUAAUGGGUGUGGGGGGCUAAAAUUCGUGACUUUAAUUUUCCCUUUAAUAGAGGGAAUACGAGUGUGUUAAGGCUAGAGAGCCAUACUCGUCUAUAUCCCAUAUUCGAGGGGUAUUUCUCUUAUCUAAUCAAGCAAAUGAUCUAACCUAAUUUGAAUUUUCUUAAAUGGAAUGCAAGUCUACAUGUCAUGUUUCACACAUAGUGGUUUGUAAUAUACAUAUAGGGGAAAUAUGGGAUAACGGAUAUAAUAUAGUGGGAAUAUGGGAUAAGGGAUACACAUAUAGGGGGAAUAUGGGAUAAGAGUUAAACAUAUAAGGGAAAUGUCAUGCAAAAAUGAAAAACCCUAAAAAGUAGAAAAUAUGCAUGAAAAUGUAGUGAUUGUCACAUAAACAUGAUUGAGCGCGUGAAUGGUCCCUAAGGGUCUAGUAUUAGACUAACUCAUGUUUAUAAGUUCUCACUAGCAUUGAACUAGUGAAAAAUCGAAAAAAAUGGGCCAUAACUAGCAUUGGACUAGUGUGGAAUCGGAAAAAAGGACCACAACUAGCGUUAGACUAGUGUGGUGACGUCAUGCAUUUAUCAUAAUCAAAUAAAAUAUAUAAAAUAUAAUAAAGCAAAUAAACACAUAAAUCACAUAUAGCACAUAGCACAUAAACAUGAUAUCUAAAUGCAAAGGUCCUAGAAAAAGCGAGUAAACACGUAAGCGCACAUAAGCAUGCAAACACAUAAAGCAAAUAAGAGCAAAUGGAGACCUAACUAUUAUAUUUGGGAACCCUAAUUACAAUCUAAAAGGGUAAAGAAUAAAAUAAAAUAAUAAUCUAACUCUUACAAUUUUGGCAUUUAAUUGCCUUCCAAAUAAUUAAAAAUUUAAUUAAAAUAAAUACACAAAAUUAAAACCAAUAAAGUGAAUAAAUAAAUAAAUAAAAUAAACAUUCAAAAAAAAUGCAAUUACACACAUAAAAUUACAUAGAAGCACAUAGGAUCAAGUAAAAUCAAUAUAAAGGAGUAGGGUGUACCUCCCUUGAUUGGUGAUCUAAUGAAACAAAAUUUCCCUUUCUACCCUCCAAUCACAAAAGAAUGAUUAAGGUACCACUUUAAUUAACAAAUAAUCAUAAGAGAUGAAAAUAAUCAUGAAAUUGAACAAUUAAAACAUUUAAAUGAAAGUAAACAACCCAUAUUCAAGAAAUUAAAACAAGUAGGGACCUAAUUGAAAUAAUUUAGAAGUUUGAGAGGUUAAUUUAUUAUUAUUACAAAUAUUAAGGGGCGAAUUUAAAAAAAUCAUUUAAGGAUUUAAGAUGAAAUCUACAAAACCAAAUGCUAAAAUUCACAAAAAUAAAUCAAACCCUCUCACCAAACCCAAACAAAAAAUAUUACCAAAUCUAAACCAUUUUUACAAAAAUCCAAAUCAAAAACUAUAAAUCUAUCAAAAAUUUGUUAAACCUUCAAAUUUCAACCUAAAACUCACAAUAAUCUAUCUAAAAAUCACAUUAAAACAUACCAAAGAAAAUUAACAUUUUGAAAGGACAAAAUUGAUUAUAUUUUUCCAAUUUUUGGGCCAACGUAGCAUGAUAUCAAAAUAUAGGGGUUAAGUUAUAAUUUUGAAAAUUUUUCAUGCAAAGGGUUGAAGUUUCCUUCUUCAUUUCAUCUUCUGUAACUUUGCCCGGUUCAUUCACGAACGAUUUCCCAUAAAUUUCUAGAUUUUAGUGCAAUCUUCUCUUUGAAAACAUGAUAAAGUCUCAACUAGCACUAGAAUUUGGAUCUGAUGCAUCAAAAUCACAGAUACUCAACAUACAAACGUGCAAAUCUUUUGCCAGAAAAGAAAAUUCUGCAAUCUUCUAGGUUUCAGUCCAGCAAACACAUGAAGCAAAUCAUCACACCAACAAGAUCAUGUACUUCAUGCAUUUUAUUUCCAUACUCCAACACAUCAAAGAUUCAUCAACCAAACAAAGAAUAUUCAGCAAGAAAAUUUUCUAAACAACAUGAUAGAGAGACGGGACAAGCUCAUCAAACUGAAAACAAACAUUCCAAAGUUUCAUGUUCAUUUGAUCCGAAUUUCCAUGAAAGUUGUGUAAAAAACUGAUAAGAGGAAAGGCAAAAGUUACCUGAGAACGCUGGAACUGUUAAACGCACGUGAAAUGCAGAAGAAACCGAGCUGUUCUGGAAAAACGUAACUCAGGAACUUGCAUGACAGAAGAUUUCAGCGCUGACAAAGUUGUUACUUUGAGCCUCGAUUCUACUAUCUUAGAGUUGUUUUUUCCUGAAAAUUUGCGAACAAGAUUUCUUCUAUGGUCUCCAAGAGUGCGCAGAAACCAAAGAUCCUACAAAAAACUAUAAUCAAAGAAGAAUCUAGCCCAAAACAAGCUAAUUCGUCAGCCUGGUUAAGAUUUUCACAGAAAAUUUUUUGGUACUUUUCCUGAAUUUCUCCUCUCUUUUCUUUCUGUUUUUCUUUCCCUUUGAUCUCUCCGCCACCCCCUUUCACUUUUCAGACUCUCUCCUUCCUUUUCUGGUUUCUCUUCUCCUUUUCUCUCUUCUUUCUUUUCUCCGGUUUCCUCUUCUCCUUCCCCCGCAAAAAACCCUUUUUUUCUGUUUCUUUUUCUUGCCUGCCAGCUCUUUUCCCUCUCCCCAAAAUCUCUUCUCUUGCUCUCAGCUCCCUUUUUUAUUCAUCCCUUCCCCUCCUCUUGCUCGCAGCUCCACUCCUUUCUUUCUCCUUUUCUUGUUCUAUUCCUUGCAGAAACCCUUAGUUUCUUCUUUUUUUCCUCACUGUCCGAAGUCCUCAGCUCCCUCUUGGUUCCAGAUUUUUCUCCCGCCCCCAGUUCUUCUCUCUCUCUCAGUUCCUUUCUCCCCUUGUCCCCGUAGCUUUCUUUCAUUUUUUUCUCCCUUUUUCUUUCAUUCUUUUUUCCAGAUUUUUCAAGAUCCACCUAUCCUAGCCACCUCUCCCUUUCCAUGUUGUGGUGUCACAAAAUAAGGACACUUGUCUAACCCUUACCUAUUCCAUUUAGUUAGUUUACAUGGCCUCCACCUAUCUAUUAUGCAUGUGUUUUACAUAUUUUUCCUUUUUAAUUUUUGUUUUUCAAAACAAAUUUAGAAUAAAUAACAAAUGUUACAUUCCUUUUUUUAAUUUUUUACCUUGCAAAAUUCAUUUUAUAUUUAUUUUGAAAAAAAUUUAAAAGAUAAAAAGAUUGAAAUUUUAUAAGAAUUUUUUUUUUUCCGAAAUUUAAUGCAAAAAUGUUUUAAAAGAAAAACGAUGAACUUAAUUUACUCAAAUAAAUUAAAUAAAAAGACCUAACUAUCAUCUUGGCAAACUUAGUCAACUAAAAUAAAAUUAAAAUAAAAACAAGAAUAAUAAUAAAAAAUAAAGCUAAUAAUUGAAUUAAAUAAAAUUGAAAUUUUGGUGUCUACAUCUUACCCCUCUUUGUCGGAGUUUCGAAGAGACUCGAGACAAAGACGUAGACAUUAAAUACUUACCUGUAACUAUUCUGCCGCGAACUGAAACCUGUAAAUAUAAAAAGGUCUGUGAGAUAAAAUCCGAUCCUACCAUAGCAUCGGUCAGUGGGAUAAAACCCAAUCCUGUCGAGAUUGGUGGGAUAAAAUCCAAAUCCAACGAGAUAUAAACGGUUAGUGGAUAAAAUCCAAUCCUGUCGAGAUUGGUGGGAUAAAAUCCCAACCCAACGAGAUAUAAACGUCAGUGGGAUAAACCCAAUCCUGUUGAGAUUCGUGAGAUAAAACCAAAUCCACGUGAUAUAAACAGUUAGUGAGAUAAAACCCAAUCCUAUCAAAAUUGGUAGGAUAAAAUCUAAACCAACGAGAUAUAAACGGUCAGUGGAACAAAUCCAAUCCUGCCGAGAUUGGUGGGAUAAAACCCAAACCCAACGAGAUAUAAACGGUCAGUGGGAUAAAAUCCAAUCCUACCGAGAUUGGUAGGAUAAAAUCCAAACCCAACAAGAUAUAACGGUCAGUGGGAUAAAACCCAAUCCUGCCGAAGUUGGUUGCAACGAGAUAUAAACGGUCAGUGGGAUAAAAAUUUAAUCCUGCCGAGAAUUGGUGGGAUAAAAUCCAAAUCCAAUGAGAUAUAAACGGUCAGUGGGAUAUAAUCCAAUCCUACCGAGGUUGAUUAGAUAAACCCAAACCUACCAUAACACACCAACUGGAAAUUAAAUUGCCAAAAAGGAGACAGAAGGGUGCGCAGCGGACCUUGAGAUUCAUCAACAGGAAAUUAAUUGCCAAGAAGGGAGGUAGAAGGGUACGUGGCAGACGCUGAGAGAAUCUUUUCAAAACAUUUUGCCCAGUUUCAACCAAUUAUUGUGCAACCGAUCAUUUCGUUUUGCAUUAUGGUAUUGUUGCUCCUCCUUAAGACUUUGAUUCACACAUUUUUUCUCUGUCUGAAUCAUAAAUAUCAAUUUUUGGGCGACAUUUCACAAUUAUAUAUAAAAAAUUUACCCCAAUUUUGUUAUUUGAAAACACAUAUGGACCUGCAAGAGAAAGAACAAAUAAUGCCACCACCAUUCGACCCGUCUAACUUUCAAGAAACGUGUAAAAAUGAGUAUUUUGAUGUUUUCCCUUCGAUGCUCGCAAAACCCAAUUUUGUACCGCAAACCCAUCUAAGCUGCCUUAGAUUCCAAUGCUAACUCAACAUGAAAAUUUAUACAUAUGCAUUUUGAUAAAACCGUGGAAAUUGUUAUUUGAUAAAAUUCAACGAGACAAAUGAAACAUGUAACACCUAAAAAUUUUCUUUUAGAUAAAAUCAUAAAAGUCAAUGCAAUGCCAAAAUAACCAUCAACUUGUAUUGAAGGAAAAUAAUUUUAGAGAGAUGAAUCACAAACUCAACAAUCUAUGUUUGAUGACUAAAAUACUUUGGCCUCUAACAAAUUGUCCCGUUUGAUCCUUUGGAUAUCGUCCAUUGGGAAUUCAAUGCUGACAAAAAAUUACAAUGUGAAGAGGAAUCCAAACAAAUUGAGUCGCCAGUUAUUACCUUCCAAGCUCACCCUUCCUCAUAAAACCCUACUUAGCACCCUUUCGGGCUUUCACUAAAGUUAACCCCCCUUCUAUUUUCUUUUUCUUCAUUUUCAUUUUCUCUUCCCUUUUCUUCUUUUUCUUUUUCUUCUCUUUUUUUCUUUUCUUCUUUUUUUCUCUUUUUUUUUCUUUUGUUUUUUGAAAAGCGCCCUUUCUGGUUUUUCACCUAAUGAAACAAAUCUUGUUGAUUGCCUUUAUCAACUCAGAAAUGUAAUUUUUAAAGAUGAUGGCAUCAGUACGACAAUCCUUCCCUUAUAAAAUUGGUGAAGGUGUUUGAUAUCAUUUUGCCAUUUGAUUAGAAAAUUUCCUAAAAAAGGUGAUACAAAGAACGGAAGUCAGAACUUUCAAUUUUUCGUGAUGUGGUCAGGUGAGGUGCUGAGAAAAGGUUAAGACUUGAAGGCAGAUUUUAUAAGUGUUUAAAUCACCUGAGAUCGCAUUUUCAUAUAACCCUACUAAAGAUUAAACUAAAAUUACCCUAGUUUAUUUUCAACCGAAAUUCUUUUUUUAAUUUCUUUUCCUUUGUUUCUCUAUCACUUUUCACCUCUUGAAACUUUUUUUUUUUUCUUUUUCAACUCAAACUUGCCCUAGUGUGGGUUUGCGAUCCUCAUGGGUUGCCAAACGAAAUAAUUUAUUCUGAAGGUUCAAAAGGGAUAACUCGGGAUAGAAUAUUUAAUUGGAAAUGAAGAAAGUUUGACUUUCAUUCCAUUCUUCACAUUAACCCUAAAAGGAAAUUUUCAUUUAUUAGAUGAAAAAUUUCUUACACAUAACCGAAUUGAUCGGUUGAGAAAAACUUGUCCAUCCAUUUCUGCCUCCUCCAGACAAUACCUUCUUGACAAUAAAAGGACCCUGCCAACUUGGGACAAAACUUGCCUUUGGUCUCCUCUUACACUAGCAAAAUUCGUUUCAACACUUUGUCUCCUUCUUUGAAUAGUCAUGAUUUGAUCCUUUUACGGUAAGUACGGGUCAAUCCUUUUGAUAAUAUUGACCAUGACAAAUUGCAUUUAACUCUUUCUUAUCAAGUGAUCACUGAUUUCUAUUUCCUUAAUCUUGAUCCUGAUUCGGUUUGAGUUUCUCUUUCUACCAUUCGGGUCUCUUUGAAACAUUUUCAGAUGUCUCUUCGCACUCCUCUCAUUUUGAAAUCCAAAUUUACAUUCGCGAGAUAUCGAGAUUGCUGCCAUCAAAUUUCAGAACAGUGAUAGUGUGAGGACUUGUAAACUUCCUUAUAUUUUUCUUAAAAUUUCCUUUAAAUUGGAAUUUAUUACUUUACAAUAAUUUUACUACACAUUCACUUCCCCAAUAGCUAUAAAUAAUCAUAGAAACAAGGGUUUCCUUUUUACUUUCAUUGUUACGAUAAAUUAGGAUUUUUACGUCUUUUCGUAGUAUGAGUAAUCGGUAUGGUGUGUGUAUUAAAUUUAGCGAUUAAGAGUGAGUUUUAGAUGAUAUUAAAUGUGUGAUUAGAAGUGCUAACACUAAGUGAGUGAAUCAUACAUUAAAACACUAGUAUACGCGAUUUAAGGAAAAACAGUUGGAACUGGGUACCGUUCUCUACUGAUGGAAUACACCACUUGACCAUCACUUUAUUACCUUAAUCCCCUUGUUUUUUACUUGACUAAUCAGCCCUAAAUUACCCCUUAAUCCAGCCAUCUUUGUUGAAUAAGGAAAAGGAAAGAAAAGAAAAAAAAAUGAGAUUGAAUCCUAAGGUGACAAGUGGCAACCAUCCAAUGGUUGUUUGACCAAUUAAUUUCCUAUCAUCUUAUAACCAAAUUAACCUCAUUUCUUCACCAUUUCUAGCUUGUUGGACGAAAUUUUGAGGGGAGAAAAACAAGAGAGAAAACUCCAACUUUCACCUUGAAUCCAUUGUUUGAGUGAAAAAUCAAUAAAUUAAACCGAUUAAUCCUUUCUUUGAGCACUUGGGAAGCUUGGUGUGCUAAAACUUUACAAGGAGGGUGGUGGAUAUCUCUUACAAGCAUCUUAGUGAGGUAUAUUGGCUAUCCAUCAUCUUUACUUCCCUUAAUCUUGCUUAAGUUGCUACACAACUCAUAUUCUUGGUUAAUUGAUAGCUAUGCAAGUAGUGUUGAUGAUUAUGGAGAAUUGUAAGUUAGGGUUUUGACUUGUUCAGCUAUAUUUCUUCUUGUUUAGAUAUAAUAUGAUGUGAAUAAGCUUAGAUAAGGAGGUGAAGUAGUGUUUCAAGCUAGAAUUGUGAGGAUUAGCACUUGAAUGCAUGAAUUCCAGUUUUUCGGUUUUGUAUUACCCUGUUCUGACCAUGAUCAGUCGGCCAUGAAGGAGGCCGAAUCAGCCUUAGGUUAAAACAUGAAAGUUGUAGUAAAUGAUGUUUUAUAACUUCCUGUAAAAUUUCAGCUCAAUCCAAGCACUCUAGCAUGUGAAAUGACAAAAUUACCCUUGCUGCCAUAGGUAUAGUUUUUGUGGACAGUUUUGACAUUUCCCCAUUUUGGCUGCAUUUUUUCAACUUGAUCCGUAUCAAAUUAGCAUUUGACCAAAAAAUAAAACUUGUAGCCUUAUGUUUCAGCUUUCUAACGCAAUGAAAACACCUCAAACGGAAUUGUGUAGCCUGAGUUAUUGUCAGAUACAUGCAAGAAAUUUCACAUUAAUGAAAGUUUCCUUUUAGGGUCGAUGUGAGGAAUGGAACGAAAGUCAGGCCGUCUUCCUUUCCAAUCAAACAUUUUAUCCCUAGUUAUCCCUUUUGAACCUUCAGAAUAAACUAUUUCGUUUGGCAACCCCUGAGAAUCGCAAACUCCACAUUGGGUAAAUUGAGUUUUUUUAAAAAAAAAGGGAAAAGAAAAUCCCAAACUGGGGCAAAUUUAAUUUUGAAGGAGGGCCAAAAUCAAAAGAAGAAAAAGAAAAGAGAACCUCGGUUGAGCAUAAACUGGGGCAAAUUUUCAAAGAAUGGCAGAAGGCCGAAAAAGAGAACGAAAUGAAAAAGAAAAAGCCUCAAUGGAGAAUGAACUUGGGCAAGUUUUGAUUUAACCCUAAGAUAGGGUUGGCGCAACAAUGCGAUCUCAGAUUACUUAAACCACUCUUGAAAUCUGCCUUCAAGCCUUAACUUUUCUAAACACCCCACCAGACCCCCAUUACAAAAGCCGAAAGUCCUGACUUCUGUUCUUUGCAAUGGCCCUGUCAAGAAAAUUUCUGAUGCCAGAAAAUUUUAGCUGUAUUUCUGAAUUGCUUGGGUAUGGGGUUGACAAUACUCACCAUGUGAAAACCCACCAGGACGAGAAAAGGAAAAGAAGCAAAAAGCAAAGCAAGAAAAAUAAAUGCAAGAAAAAUGCAAAAAAACUCGACGCUGAAGUCCCUGGUGAAUGCUGAGAAAAAUGCAAACAAAGUCCGAGAUCUUUGAGUACGAAGUGAGAGCAAUUUUGAGAAAAAUGCGAUCUUCGGUAAAAUACCCUCGAAUUUUUUUUUCUUUAACUAUCAUUUUCCAGCCGCAUUACAAGCUCAUAAAGUCCAUCGCUGACUUAUCCCUCAUGACAACUCAAAGCAAGGGUUACGCUCCUGAUCAUAAGGUUAUAACCUGUUUCCGCAUGUUUUGGUAUCGUUUCUACCCCUCUGUUACAAGCUUACAAAGCUUAUGUGUUGACUAAGUUUUCUUAAGAAAUAAGGGUGACAAACUAUUUGCUUUCACUAAGAUGUGAUAUCGAAUGGGCACAAAAAUAAGACAAAAUCUUGACCUCCCAUUUCCUUUAGCCACUUUCAAAUCAGAAAUAACGUCCACUUGAUUGGUCCUGAAAGAUGAGCCAGCAAUAAGUGGUGACCUGUUACCCUAAGCACCGAUGCUAAAAGUGAAGAAGAAAUCUUCUUGAAUUUGGUGUUACACUGAAGGAUUCAUCAUGAAAUUUCUGCAUGAGUUUAAAUUUCUUCACAUUGUAUAUAUGAUUAUUUUCUACAUUUUAGAAAAGUGCAAUUUCUCCUUGUUCAAAUAAAUGGGAAUCAUCUGAACAAAUUUUUGCAAUCAAAUGGGCCCACUGGGGCAAAUUUUUAUUUGUGAGAUUUCGCGAAAUAAGCCCACACAAGGGCAAAUUUUUGUAACACAUUUGAGGAUUUCGCCCAAGAGUCAAGUAAUAUACUUUUGAUUUCAAUAACACUGCUUUUUUUUAAUGAGGAAUAGUUGCAUGUUAUACUUUGGUAAGCCCCCUGCGCAGGUGUUUAUAACUGAAAAUUGAUGAAGAAGCGUGAGAGUGCUACUUAUGAACUUCACCCCUGGCACAAAGAAGUGUCACAAGAUUCCCAAGGUCUUCAAAAUAUUAGUAUGGUGGAGAUUAGGUGGGCUAAAGCAGCAAAUUGACUUGUUGACAAGGUCGAAGAUGAUGUGAGAUUGAUGAUGGAUCACUAGUGUUUAACACCAAAAGAAGGCUUGUCUUGACAAUACAGCUUAUGCAAAAAAUUACUUCGCCUUCCACCAGUAGCAAUACUAUCUGUGGAUGCUAAUUUAGGAUAUGAGAGUGUGGGUUACUCAGAUUAGCACUAGGUGAUAACAUCACGAAGCAUUAAAGAUCAGCUUCUGUUGAAAGUCAUGGAUGAUUUCACAGCAAGAGCAAGAAAGUUUGGAGAUGAAUUUUUGCGGCUGGACAAAAGAGUAUUAGUUUUGGACUUGGUAAUGGAAUGUCAAAAUCUAGAGAAGUUUUCAGUGAUCAUUCGUUUUGCUAAAUUCCAUGAUCAAAGGCAUUUGGAUCUGUUCAUCCCUUGAAAAGUACGAUGAAACAACGAACAGUUGACCAUCUUGAUUCCAGACAGAGAGGUUUACCUCAAUGGAAUGUUAGAAAUCGAAAGUCUCAACGUGGCUUGAUGUCAAAACAGCUUGCCGAACAAAAAUGGACAUCACGGAUGAUAAGAUUUGGAAAGGUCACAUGAAGACUCAUGAUUGCACGAUUUUCGAAGGAAAGUUUCAAGUGAAAAUGGCAACACAUCACACUGGGCAAAUUUUUGGAUAAUUUUCCAAGCUUCACAAUAUGGAAAAAUGCAUACCUGAAAAAUUUCAUGCAUGAAUGAAAAAAAAAUCAGACCUUGCGCUGGAAUCGGUAUCAAAAGAGUUCUCCAGUGAACAAAGGCGAAUCGAAAAUGUUGCAAGCAAGUUUGAUCAAAAGGUACAACAACAUGGCAAUGCAGAAUCAACUAUAGGCUCAGAUGCAAAAACUUAACCUCUACUGGGGCAAAACUUUGAGCUCUUUUUCAGGUAAGUAUAUUGGAAUGUCAUGAUUUAAAGUUUGUUCGGGUCAGUCCCAUGAUUUAAUUUUGUUCGGGUCAGUCCCAUGAUUUAAAUUUUGUUCGGGCCAGUCCCAUGAUUUUAAAGUUUGUUCGAAUCAGUCCCAUGAUUUAAAUUUUUGUUCAGGUCAGUCCCAUGAUUUUUAAAUUUGUUCGGGUCAGUCCCAUGAUUUAAAGGUUUGUUCGGGUCAGUCCCAUGAUUUAAAUUUUGUUCGGGUCAGUCCCAUGAUUUUAAAUUUUGUUCGGGUCAGUCCCAUGAUUUAAUUUUGUUCGGGUCAGUCCCAUGAUUUAAAUUUUGUUCGGGUCAGUCCCAUGAUUUUAAAUUUUGUUCGGGUCAGUCCCAUGAUUUAAAAGUUUGUUCGGGUCAGUCCCAUGAUUUAAAUUUUUGUUCAGGUCAGUCCCAUGAUUUAAAGUUUGUUCGGGUCAGUCCCAUGAUUUAAGAUUUUGUUCGGGUCAGUCCCAUGAUUAAAAGUUUUUUCGGGUCAGUCCUAUGAUUUUUAAUUUUAUUCGAGUCAGUCCUGUUUUUAGUUACCUGUUCGGGUCAAUCCCGUUUAAAUUUCCAGUUCGGGUCAGUCCCGUUUAAAUUUUCUAUUCAUGUCAAUCCCGUUUUAAAUUUCCUGUUCGGGUCAGUCCCGUUUAAAUUUCCUGUUCGGGUCAGUCCUGUUUUAAAUUUCUUAUUCGGGUCAGUCCCGUUUUAAAUUUUCUGUUCGGGUCAGUCCCGUUUUAAAUUUCCUGUUCGGGUCAGUCCCGUUUUAAAUUUCAUGUUCGGGUUAGUCCCGUUUUAAAUUUCUCGUCUGGGUCAAUCCCAUUUUUGAAAGUUUUGUUAAAGAGGUCAGUCCUCAUUUCAAAAGCGUCAGUCGUUUGAGUCGUUCGCAGCCGAAUAACACAGGUAAGUAUUUGGUGUCUACUUCUUUGUCUCAAGUUUUUCCAAAACUUAGACAAAGAGGGGCAAACUGUAGACACCAAAUUUUUUAUUUUUAGACUUAUUUGAUUCAAUUUUAGGUUUUUAUUUUAUUUUAUUUUGUUUUAUUUCAUUUUGUUUAUGUUUCGUGUCUCUCAUUUUAUUUUAAUCGAUUUAAGAGCAUUUUACACUAAAUUUUAGAAAAAGGAGGAAAAAAAGAAAAAAAGGAAAAAGAAAAGGAAAAAAAACAAUAAAAAUGGCAAGUGGGAGGCAUGCAUUGGGACAAGUGUCCCUUUUUGUCUUAGACAACACAUUACCUAAAUGGUGAGGUGUCUAGACAUUUGUAGUGUUAGGAUCAAUUGGGAAAUAAAAGAAAAAUCAAAAGGAAAAAGAAAAGGAAGGGACGGCUAGGGGUUUUGAGGGGUAGUAAAAGAAAAGAAAAAAAGGAGAAGGCCGCAAAAAGAAGAUGGCAGAGAAAAAACAGAGGGAAGGGGGGCGGCUAAGGGGAAAAAGCUGAGGGCAACAAGGGUUCUUGGCAAGAAAGCUUCGGGAAAGUAUGGGAAAAGAAAAGAGGCAAAGGGCGGCGGGACAGGGAGUAAAAAGAAAAGGAAAAAAUGCAAGGGAAGGUCGAGGGAGGUCUGGGUGCUUCGAGAGGAAAAAGAUAGGGGCAAGAAUUAACGGCUGAAAAAAAAAGGGUAAGAAGAAAAGCCUCAGAGGCGGCCGAGGGGAGUAAAAUUAGAAAGGGUUUUCCGGACGGGCUAAGGUCUGGAAAGAGAGUGUGCGAGAGAGAGGAGAUCACGGCUGGAGAGCUGAGGAAAGAACGACAGGGAGAGCGAGAAAGAGCAAGAGAGAAGGGAGAAAGAGCUUCAGGUGACGAGCUGGGGGAGAAAGAGUAGGAAGUCAAAGAAAGAAACUGGAAAAGAGCGACGGGCAACAACAAAAAGAGCCGAGAGAGAAACUGCCGAGUGAGGAAGAAACGGGCAACUCAACAAGAAGAGAGGUGGUGCAGAAUCUGGAAGGGCAGUCGCAGCAAAAAGAUGAAACUUUUCCCAGCUUCGUUCGGCUUGCGUUGAGGUUCAUUGUUCCUCCAUCCCGACGCCGUCCUUCUGCAAUUCAAGGGAGCGAAGGUAACCUUUCAUUCUCUGUUCUCUCGUUCACAAAGCACCAGGCCAUUCAUCUGGGUGUUAAAUGGAUUUGUGGCUAAACUUGCUGUGAGCUUUCUUCCUUCAUGUUAUUAUUAUCUUUUGUGCAUCUUGGGAGAUGAUGGAUCUGUGUCAUGGAUGUCCUCUUGGUUUUCUGAUGAUGAAGCUGUAAACUUUCAGUCGGUUUCCGAUGAUAUCGUCAUGGGUCUCCUCAGAAAGCAAGCCAACUGUUUUUUCCCAGUGCAUCCUUUAUGUUUUUCCCUUGUUUUGAUCAAACAAUGGUCUGAAACGUCAUUUGUUAUGGUUGUUAGGACCCUUAAGAGUCAGUUUUAGAGUCUGCUGCCACAAACUUGAAGUGCUGGGCUUUGUUGCAGCAAAUGUUGAUAAACUAUCUUUUGGGUUGGUUAAAGUUCUUACUUGGCGUCAUUUUUCCUUUCUUUCUGGGUUUAUUUUUCUAUGUGAUGGUGAUGCCAUGCGUAUGUUUGCUGCAAUUCAAAGGCAUUUGUUUGUUGCAGCAACAGGCAUUGUCUACAACUUUUGAAAUAGUUAGUUGUUUUUUUCUGUAUUGGUUAUCAUUUGUUUGGCCGCAAGGUCUGAUCCGCUGAAAUUUUGUGCUUAUAGCCAAUAACUCUAGGUUCAUUUGAAGUGUUCAGUGCUAAGGGGCGUUCGGGUGAUAGUUUAGUUGGUUUUGGUUGGAAGCUUCACAUGAGUUUUUUGCAUCAGAAAUUGCGGAGAGUAUUUGUUAUUCAAAAAAAUAAAGUUUCUUCGUGGCUUUGUUAUGGGUUUUCUUUUUCCAAAAGAAUUCUGCACUUUGCUCGUGGUUUGCAUGUGAACGGCUUGAUUCAUAUCAGAUUUCCUUUAGAAGAACAGGCUUGCAGUUUGCCAUUGUUGUUCAAGUCUGCAUUUUUGAAUGAAAGUUGUCAGUUUGUCCCAUCCGAAAAUCUGGAGAGAUGUUACUGUGAAUGCUAAGUCUUCUGUUUGUUUUUAAGUACGAGAUUAUGGUGGGAAUCUUAAGUUCUUAUCUUGUGAUUUUGUCUUGGCAGAGGUUUAGGGCAUUUUAGUUGUUUGAUAAGCUAUAGGUUAGUAGCAGAGAAAGCAUUGCAGAAACAAAUGAAAGCUUCAAACAGUUAGUAGCCUUCGUAUGCAUGCAUGAAAGAACAAAAGAAAAUUACACUUUGGUCCCUGUGAUUUGAAGCAAUGCUACAAAGGCCCAAUUAUGUUCUAACUUCUUGCAAUUAGGUCUUAGAGUAAUUGCAAUUUGAAUCUUUACUUGACCUUUUCAUUACUUAUGGACCUUUGAAGUUCCCAAAAUAUUUUAAUUGGACUUUAAUGACUUGUUAAUGGUUGCCAUUGGGUCCUUAGUAGUUUUCUAUUUUAGAAAUUUGAUCUAUAAUUUACUUUCUUUGAAAUUAUGCACUAUUUGAUUCCAUUUAAGUUGCAAUUGGGAGGGAUUUGAUGAUUUUACUUAUAUUGUACUAUUUAAUUGGUGCCUUGACCUUGUUAUUGUUUUGAAGCUAAUUCUUCCUUCAUUUGAUUACCAUUGCAAGGGAGGUACACUCUCAUCCCUUACUCUUGCCUUUAUUUGACCUUACGUGCCCUAUGUGACUUUACGUGUUUAAUUGCAUGCCUCUUGAAUGUUUAUUUAUUUCACUUAUUUAUUUAUUUACUUUAUUUGGCUUUAGCUUUGUAUAUUUAUUUUAGUUCAAUUUUGAUCAUUCGAAAGGCACUUGAAUGCCAAAUUUGUAAUAGUUAGGUAUUUAUUUUAAUUAUUUAUUUCCCCUUUUUAGAUUGUAGUAGGCCCCCCUCAAAUGUAAUAGUUAGGGUUUAUAUUCGCUUUAUUGCUUGCUUGUGUGUUUUGCAUGUCUAUGUGCUAUGUGUUACUGCUUUCUUAGGGUCUUGCAUCUAGAUAUCAUGCUUAUGUGUUACGUGCAAUGUGUGUAUUUAUGUGUUUACAUGCUUUUAUUAGGUCUUACAUGAUUUGUUUGAUUGUAACCAAUGUGUGACGUCACCACACUAGUCCAAUGCUAGUUGUGGUCAAUUUCUCGAAUCCACACUAGUCGAACGCUAGUUGUGGCCCUUUGUUCCGACUUUUCUCACUAAUCCAAUGCUAGUGGGAAUUGUAGACAUGGGCUAGUCCAACACUAGCUCCUUAGGAGCCCUUCGCGCAUUAGAUCAUGAUUGUAUGACAAAAACACUUCAUCUCAUGCAUAUCUUUACUUUCUAGGGCCUCUUUCACCAUGUUGCAUGACAAUUUCCUUAUAUAUGUAUACCCUUUCCCUCAUAUUUUCCCUUAUUUGUAUAUUACUUGCCCCUUUUGUAUGAAACAUGACAUUAGACUUGCAUUUCAUAUAAGCAUUUAGAAUUAAAUCAUUUGCUUGAUUAGAUUAGGGACACCCCUUGGAUAUGGGAUAUGGACGAGUUUGGCUUUUCUGGCCUUAGCACGCUCGUAUUCCCUCUAUUAAAGGGAAAAUUGAGUCACGAACAUUAGUCCCCCGUACCCGACAAGAUGCAUUCCCUUAGGUCACAUAUUUUGUGUUUAUAUAAUUAUCUUAUUCCUUUUCCUUUUUUUAGAGUCUCAUAUUUUGGCAUUAUUCGUGACAUCUUCGAAGAAUCUUUAUUGGACGUCACAAUUAAUGUGAUUGGUACCAAUUAACUUCGAAGGGAUAUUUUGACCCCCCGAUGCCCUCCUAGGUCUAGGGUAUGCAUUCAUAUAGUACAUCCAAAUGUGAUGACUCUUAAGUUAAAACGAGAAAAUCUUUGACUAAAUCACGCAACUAGCCGGUUUAGGUCGAAGGGGUGCCUUGGAUUUUUAUCCUUGCCUUCCCCUUCGUCAAAUGUGACUCCCGAACCUUUUUCGUUGGUUUACGUAGACUAGGAGUCGUUUAAAAGGGGUUUCUUUCUACCUUUUCUUUUAAAAAAUUCAUUUUAGGUGACUUGGUACACCUUAACUCUAUACCAAGUGGCGACUCCGAUUUUUAUUUCAAAAACCCUUUUUAAACUAUAAUUUGGGCCCAAAUCGUCGCAUUACAAACCCCAUUUAGGCACAUUUUCUUUAAAUCUGCUGGCCGGAUUCAAGGCAGUGAGUAACCCAAAAUUUUUUUAACAACCCCUGCUAAUCAGGCCAGAUAUCCGGCCAAGAACUGGCCGAUACAUGGCCGGAUUCGGUGAACAGUCCCCACCAGAAAUUUCUUUCCUUGUUCAAACACCGCGCUCGUUCGAUCACCCAAUGGUUACAAGUAGCAACUCAACAGAUCCAAAGGUACCAUCUCAAACGAAUACACUUAAUCUAAAUAAUUAAACACUUAAAUACAUAUAUUGAAGACUUUACAAAUCAAAGCGUGAUACCUGAUUAAAACACUGUGACACCCCCACUUCUCCUAAUGCGAACCAAAGGGUAUCCGCGGGACGCCUGCCCAGCUCUCGCCAGGACUCGAUACAAUUUUCAUUCAAACUUAAUACGAUACUAGCCAUUACCACGAUGUAAAGUAAGCAAUGCGAAACGUUCAAACUUAACAAUAUAUAACAAUCAUCCAAUCCUUAGAUCGGGUUCUCAAAAGAUACAUCAUUUCCCAAAAUAUACAACAGCCAAGAUGUCUAGUCAAUUACAUUGAAACCCUAAUACAAAAGUACAUCCCAAGGGUUUUUUCGAGUCUUACUCCAUGCCCAUUCCUGUUAAGGAAAACAAAUCUACGGCGUGAGCAAUCGCUCGUGAGGCCAAGAACACACAUGCAAGCACAUUGUCCAAGUAACAAUCCCAAUUAACGAGUAAAACAAUAAUAUUCAAGUAAAUGACAAUUCGAGCAAGAAAAGUAAACAGAAACAAUUCAAGGAUAUAGGAGCUCUCAGGAGCUAUUUUCCACCUGCUCGAUCAAGAACCUUCACGAAUUGACACUCCGUCAAUCGGGUAGGUUAUAGUCCGUAGAACCACCCUUAUCAUGUCCCCAUUCACCAUUACAUACCCCUGCAUCAGGCCCGCCUGUCAUUUAUUUGAGACGAUACUGCUCGAGUAUGCCAAGCAAAACCUCUCAAUAGGUCAAGCUUACGUAUUCUCAUGGUUCACCAAGGAGCCCGACUAAGCCUUUGCCGGCUCGAGUCCAAGGUUGGCCAGUGAGAGUUGGGCGUCCCCCAUGUACAAUUGUGAGUCGAGGAGAUUCACUCCAGCAACGUAUGUAGCCAUAGCAUAUCAUUUCAUUUCAUUCAAACAUUCAACAUAUUUCAAUCUUUCAAUUCAUUGAAUCAAGUCAUUCAUGGUUCAUUCAUUUCAAAUGAGAACGAGUCCGGUAAAGUACACACUCGACUCCAUUUUCAAAAUCUCUAAUCAUCUAUAACAGUUAAGCAUGUAUCAAGUACUCAUACACUUGACACUCACCAAUACAAGAAAACAAGGAAGUGUGUCCACUUGAAGGUUCAGGCGUCCAUCGUGGGAUCCUCUUGAAGGUUCUCUUGGGUGCCUGAGUAAUUGAUUAUAAACUAUCACUUAUAAACCUCAAGUAUCACGGAAGAUCGCACACUUGUACAAUCUAGAAAAUAUUGUGAAGACGAGCCUAAAAUUUCUUGUAAAUCAAGGCUUUAAAGUGGGGUUCAAGAACACAAGAAAAUCUGAUUUUCGUUCUUAACAUCAUCGGAUGGAAGUAAGUAGGUAUGAAAUCAUGUAAAUCAUUUUCCAAACGAACGAUCGAAGCCAAACUGGACGUGACACGUCACAAUCCGGCCAGAUUUCUGGCCGGAUUUGUGGCAGAGAGCAUCCCAAUUUUUUUUUUUCAAUUUUGACCACCAAUCCGGCCAACUAUCUGGCCAAGAACUGGCCGGAUAUACGGCUGGAUUCUUUGAAAUUGUUCCCGCGUGAAAAAUUUUCAAAAGGUCAAGAAUUAUCGAAUUUAGAGGCAUUCUUGGAAAAAUCAUAACUCACUCUCUGAAAAUCCAAAAUUAGAAAAUUGGUACCGUUGGAAAGUACUUCCAAAGAACUAAAAGUUCCUAGAAAACACUUUUCCAUGAUUCCAAAUGGAUGACAUUCAAAAUGUGGCUCAAAGUGGCUGUUUUGGAAUGCCAAGACAGAUUUGGGUUGAUUUUCGGCAAAGUUCCAAAAUUCGGCAAAAUUCACACAAUGCAAACUGGCCUCUAAAAUUUGGAACUCAAUUAGAGUUACAAUCAAAGUUUUCAACACAACAAGUGGAACAAGAAUUGGAGUUUUGAGCACCAAGAUAUAGUGGCUCAAAGUCACUGAAAUUUCCUCCUCAAACAGGGGUUUUCCAGGUUUAAAGCUUGAGAUUUGGUGCUUUAGUUGAGCAGCUAAAGGAACUUGGAAUGGCACCAAAGUUAGUAGUAUUACACUACCAUCUAAGGGCUAUUCCUCUGCAAAAACUCACGCGGGAAGUCAGUUAACAAAAUCAUUGAAGUUCCAAGAAUUUCCAAGUCAAAUCUGCCUUGUACUUUAGUUUUCCUUUUCUCAAACAUUUGGCCCAUGAAAGUUCCUUGAACACGAUUCAUUUUAAGGAAAAAGUCUAGGUAAUAUCCAAAAUAUGUUUGAUAGGUGAUUAACACCAAGGAUUUUGAAUAACAGGUCCCAAAUCAAGAUUAGCUAUAGAUCAGUCCAGAAUUAGGGUUUUCUUUAACGAAGACAGUUCUGAAAUUCGGCCACAUCUCACUCAAUUCAACUCGGAAUUGAGAGUGGUCACUGGAGUUGAAUACUACAUUCAUAAGGCUACAAUUUCAUAUAAGGAAUCAUUUUAAAAUUCUGUCCACAACUAGCCCAUAUUUGAGCAUCAAAUCGCGGCUUGGAAUAGGGCUUCCAGUACAGAAGAGAAACAGAACAGAAAACUUUACAAGGUUGGUAUGGAUCACUCAGGUGGAAUCAGGGCAUACAUUUUAUACCAUUGGAAAACUGGAAAUGUCUAGUUUCUAGUGCCACAAAUGGCACUCGAUUUUGACAUCGGAGCAAAACGUUAUGGCCGAAACAAAAACACUGCCAGAGCAUUCUGGACACCCGUUUCCAGCUUUGGCAAAUUUUUGAAAUCUCAACAUUCACUCAUCCAAAUCACGUAAGUUUUUGAGGAAAAUUUAUACACAACCUAUAUUACACAUUUACAUAAAAUACAAGUCAAUUGGACCACAAAAAAGUGCACCAAAGUGCACGGCAAUGGCAAGGGCAGAAACGGUAAAAUUUUCCUUUUCACUUCCUUUGAGCUAUCUUUCACAACACCACUUAUUUUCACUAGAUUAAGCACUAAUCCAACAUAAAUAACAUCAAAUCUCAUCAAAUCAGUUCAUCAAGCCAUUGUGGGAUUUCAUAGAGCCCACUCACAAGAUUUCGAACAAUAUAAAGCUCCCUAUGUGAAUCUAUGAGCUCAUAAGUGCAAUAUAACUUCCAUAAAUCAAGAAUUAAGAAGUUGAUCGUUGUAUACCUUCUUAGAUGAUUAAGGUAGAAAAUUUCGGUCACUUUAAGCUCAAGAAAAACCAUGAGAUGAAGCUCCUUUCCUAGCUUAGGUUGAUCACCAAUUGAUUUGCAAGUUGUGUGUGAAUUUUGAGAUGAUUUGAAUGAGUUUUGAGAGGUGAAAUGAAGAAGAAAUGUUGGUUCUUUUUCUUCCUUGGAUGGCUGGCUGUUUGAGUGAAGAGAGAGAGAGAGUUGUGCUGAAAAUGAAGCUUCCUUGAGAAGCUUAAGUGUGUGGUUCAAAUUGCCUCAAAAGUCAACUCUCUCCUCGCACGCCGCGCGCGUUUCUAGCUUGAUUCCUUUCGAGUUUGUUUCACUUGUGCACUAAACCUCUAAUGCACUUCCAAUCAUAUUAUUAUUAUUCACUCUUAAUGGUCUAAAAAUAAAGGUCUAAAGUCCCUCAAUUAAUCACGCGCGCGAAAACACGUACCUCCGAUUUGUGCGCGAUAAAGUGAAAUUUCCAAGAAAUUCUUAUAAUGAUAGUAUCACUAACUAAUAAUGGAACACUUAAACAUAAAAAUAUCUAUUUCAAGACUAAUGUACAGGUCUCCAAUUUUCCAAGCUUAUUGUAUCAUCGAAUCGAUUAUUGUUUCCAAACGCGUAUCCACUAUUCUCACUUAACGAGCUUUCAAAAAUUAAAUUUUGAAACGAGUCAUUUUAAAAAUUUAAGUAAGCCAUACUUCCAUUUAAUUAGGUCUAAAAAGGUUGAAAUAAAAUAUUCGGAGUAAACGGAUAAUUAAAUAUUUAAAUAAGUUAGCAAUAGGAAUUUAAAAUAAAGAAAAUUUUGUGAGUCCUCAUCUUCUUCCACUUAAGAAAAUUUCGUCCUCGAAAUUUACCUUGAUCUGCGAGCAGGUCUAGAUACUUUUCUCGAAUUGCUUCUUCGACUUCCCAAGUCGCUUCCUCUAGCCGUAGUUCCUCUAAAGAACUUUUACCAAUGGUAUCCGCUUAUUUCUCAAUUCCUUCAUCUUAUGAUCCAGAAGCUUUACCGGUUUCUCCUCGUAGGUCAAUGUCUUAUCAAUUUCAAUACUUUCCGGUUACAAAAUAUGAGAAGGGUCUGGAUGGUAUUUCUUAAGCAUAAAAACAUGGAAAACAUUGUGAAUUUGAGACAAUUUCGGUGGCAACUCCAACUUAUAGGCCACAUUUCCUACACGUUGGAUAAUCUUGUACGGCCCUACAAAUCUCGGUUGUAACUUCUUUCCUUUUCCAGACAUUAAACUUGCUUUCAGAGGUGUAAUCUUAAGAAACACUAGAUCUCCAACCGCAAAUUCUAUGUGCUUCCUCCGAUUAUCUGCAUAACUCUUUUGACGACUUUGUGCGGUCUGAAUCCUCUGGCGUACUAAUUUCACUUUUUCAUUUGCUUCUUCAAUCCAAGGCACUGUAGUCGGGUCUAAGAUUUUGCGUUCACCUACUUCAUCCCAACAAAUCGGGGAUCUACACUUCUGACCAUAAAGUGCUUCAUACGGAGCCAUUUGAAUAGAAGAGUGAAAGCUAUUGUUAUAGGCAAAUUCCACCAGUGUUAAAAAUUUACUCCAACUCUCCCCAAAAUCCAAAACACAAGUCCUCAACAUAUCCUCAAGGGUUUGAAUCGUUCUCUCAGACUGUCCAUCGGUCUGGGGAUGGUAAGUAGUACUAAAAUUCAAUUUAGUCCCAACACUUCCUGCAUCUUUUGCCAAAACCUCGAAACAAAUCUUGGCUCUCUAUCUGACACAAUACUUAUCGGUAUUCCAUGCAACCUGAUAAUCUCAUCCAAAUACAACUUAGCCAACUUCUCCAAUGGGUACUUCGUAUGAAUCGGUAGAAAAUGAGCUGAUUUGGUCAGUCGAUCACUAUUACCCAAAUAGCAUCAUGGCCUCUUUGUGUCCUGGGUAACCCCGAUACAAAAUCCAUAGUGAUGUUCUCCCAUUUUCACUUGGGUAUUUCCAAAGGUUUCAAAAGUCCUGAUGGUUUCUGAUGUUCAACUUUAACCUGUUGACAAAUCAAACAGGUCUGGGCAAAUUGGGCUAUCCCCUUCUUCAUGGUUUCCCACCAGUACAAACUUUUCAAGUCUUGGUAUAUUUUAUUCCCUCCAGGGUGUACCGUAAACUUCAAUCGGUGUGCCUCUUCCAAAAUUUCCUUCUUAAGCUCUUCAUCCUUUGGCACUACUAUCCGAUUCUGAAACCUCAAUAUACCAUUCAAUCUCAAGUUAAAAUCCGACUUUUCUCCCUUUUUGACUUUCUUCAACCACUUUUGCACUUCAGGGUCCUUUUCCUGAGUCUCUUUAAUACGUUCCAUCAAAGUGAAAUUCACUACUAUAUUCCCAAAAAUUACUUUCCUCGACUCAAGUCUAGGGUUCCAAUAACUAACUUCCUCUAACAAGUGCAAUUCCUUAAUCAUCAAUCCGGCCACUUGUACUUGGCGACUUAGAGAUCGGCCACUACAUUGGCCUUCCCUGGAUGGUACUUUAUCGUGCAAUCAUAAUCUUCCAGAAAUUCCAUCCACCUACGUUGCCUUAAAUUCAGCUCCUUUUGAGAAAAUAAGUACUUAAGGCUUUUGUGAUCAGUAAAAACCUCAAAUGUCACUCCAUAUAGGUAAUGCCUUCAUUUCUUUAAAGCAAACACUACAGCUGCCAACUCCAAAUCAUGUGUCGGUAGUUUCUUUCAUGAGGUGUCAACUUCCUAGAGGCAUACGCUAUUACUUUCUCAUUUUGCAUUAAAACACAUCCCAAGCCUUCAUUGGAAGCAUCUGUGUAGACCACAAAGCUAUCUUUUCCAUUCGGUAGAGCUAACACAGGCGCUCUCGUCAAACGUCUUUCUAACUCUUGGAAACUCUCUUCACACUUAGGACUCCAUAUAAACUUUUCACUUUUCUUGGUCAACUCAGUCAUAGGUCCAGCAAUUCUAGAAAAUCUUGGAUAAAUCUCCGAUAAUACCCUGCUAACCCUAUAAAACUUCGAAGCUCAGUAGGGUUUUCUGGUCGUUUCCAUUUUGAAACAGCUUCAACAUUGGCUGGAUCCACUUUUAUCCCAUCCUUAGAAAUUACGUGCCCCAAGAAUGUUACUUCUUUCAACCAAAAUUCACACUUGCUAAACUUAGCAUACAAUUGGUGUCCCCUCAGGGUUUGCAAAACAAUUCUUAGGUGCUUCUCAUGAUCCUCCACAUUCUUAGAGUAUACCAAAAUAUCAUCAAUAAAGACCACCACACAUUGGUCCAGAUAAGCCUUAAAGACCCUGUGCAUCAAAUCCAUAAAAGCAGCAGGUGCAUUUGUUAACCCAAAUGGCAUUACGACAAACUCAAAGUGCCCAUAUCUCGAGUUAAAAGCAGUCUCGGGUAUGUCUUUCUCCAAAAUCCUCAAUUGAUAAUAAUUCUGUCUCAAAUCCAACUUGGAGAAUACCACCGCCCCUUGCAAUUGGUCAAACAAUUCAUCAAUGUGGGGCAACGGGUACUUAUUCUUAAUGGUGACAUCAUUCAAGUCUUGGUAGUCCAUACACAACCUUAGACUCCCAUCUUUCUUUUUAACAAACAGGACCUGGGCUCCCUACGGUGAAUCACUCUCUUUUAUAAAACUCCGUUCCAACAAGUCCUGCAGUUGCAAUUUCAAUUCCUUCAGUUCGGCUGGAGCCAUCCGAUAUGGCGUCUUAGAGAUAGGUGCUACUCCCGGAGUCAAAUCAAUCUUAAAAGCUAUUUCUCUUUCUGGGAUAAGGACUCUAACUCUUCAGGAAAAACAUCCGAGAACUCUUUCACUACAGGCAUAUCCUCCAAUCUCACUUUAUUACUGGGAGUGUUGAUUAGAAAAGCCAAAUAUCCCGGAACUCCCUUACUUAACAUUUUCCUAGCUCAGAUUCCUGAGAUAAGUGCAGAUGAGGCUAAUCUAUCCCUUACAUCCAAUUUCAGGGUUGCCUCUUCCGGAAUACACAAUUCUACUAUCUGCGUCUUACAAUUCAACUAGGCAUUGUAAUGGGCUAACCAGUCCAUUUCUAGGAUCACAUCAUACCCUUUAAUUGCUAAGCCUAUCAAAUCGGCCAGUAAUUUACGUUCUCCAACCCAGAUCUCACAAUUCCUAUAUACCAAAUUAGCAAUUAGAUUUUGGUCCCCAGUAGGCGUUCUAACCUCCAAGUCAUAAGGUAACUUAAUUGGUUUCAAGUCUAUUCCGCUCAUGAAAUUAGGGUUUACAAAAGAAUGUGUCGCACCCGAAUCAAUUAAAAUCUUAGCUAAAAUGUGGAAGACAGGAACUGUACCUUCAACUACCUCAGUCGCAUCAGGUAUCUGUUAAUGAUCCAGUGCAUAAACUCUAGCCGGUAUCUUGGGUCGGUUUCCUCCAGCACUGGUCUGCUUUGAGGUUGACUUUUCUGGCCUUUGAAUAUUACCUCCUAUUUUUGGCGCCUUCGAGCAACACGCGACUUGGUGUUCAGCGCUACCACAAAAUAGACAUUUUCCAGACUUCCUCCAACAGUCAUUCUCAGAAUGGUUGGAUUUACCACAGUACCCAUAAGUAACUUGAGGGGUCACUGCCGAACCACUAGAAGGCACUUCCCUAGCUUGAAGCGGCCCACUGCAACCUCCUCGGAUAAAGCUCCCCUAAAAGCUCCAGCAGUCCUUAUUCCUCCCAUUUCUCUUCCAAUUUUGGAAGGCUAUGAACUCUUACUAGUCUAUCCAGAAGUACGACUAGAAAAGUUCCUCUUCCUAUUAUGAAAGUCCUUAACUUGCAUUCUCGCACUUUCAACCCGUUGCGCUUUCUCUAAAGCCUCAGUAAAUGUAGAGAUUUGGGCUGCGGCCAAGCCCUCCUGGAUUUCCACAUUAAGCUCCUGUACGAACCAUUUUAUCCUCCUCUGUUCAUUAAUCACCAAUUCAGGAGCGUACUUGGAAAACUUAGUAAAUUUCCCCUCAUACUCCGUGCUACACUAAGGGUUCCUUGUUUUAACUUGAUAAACUCGUCCUCCCUCUUUUCUUGGAUUAAGGGCGGAAGAAACUUUUCAUUAAAUUCGCUCCUAAAAUUCUCCCAAGUCCAAGGGGUUUGGGCUCUCUCCCACUUUCCCCUUAUCAUAUCCCACUAAGCAUGUGCCACUCCAUCAAAUUGGAAUGCAGCAAUAUCCUCGGUAUAGUCUAAGGCGGCGAAUAUAUUGGUCAUUCUCUCCAACCAAUUCUCGCUACCUCAGGAUCGGGUUCACUAAUAAAUUUAGGUGGAUUAAACUUAAAAAACCUUUCUAAGGCUUUAUCCUCUCCUCUAUCCUGUCCCCCAGGUUGGUUAAGUGGUCCAGGACCUUUGUCUAUCAGCCAAACGUUCUAGGAUAUCAGUCAUCCUAUUAAUGGUAGUAGCCACUUGAUUAUCCUCAAUAUUUUCUUGUCCCUGGGUCGGUCCAGUUGCUGAUCCCUGGUCAUCCCCAUGAGGUUGGGCCUGUCUAGUCCCUCGCUCACGGUCUCGACCACUCAUUCACCCUUCCAUUAUCCUUGGUAUGCCUAGGUCAAGAAAUGAAUCAAUUACGCGAGAAAAUACUUAAAACAAGAACCAAUCACGAAAGCAUUGAAAAUAACAAUAAUUUACAUUCAUUAGCAUGUCAAGAUCCAUACAAUUAGCAAGUCAUGGGGGAAAUCACAAAAAUAUAGCACACAGGUGCCACAAGAAUACUUUCAGUCAUGUAAGACUAAAGCAGAAUCAAGUGCGUCAAAAGUGGGCCACACAGUCAUGCAAAAAACAAUGGCCACACAGGCCAAUCACGGAUCUCCUCACCUAACCUAGUGAGUUGAGCCCUAGUGUGAGGACCCGAAUUUUUCUUAUUUUAUUUUAGUUUACUGGCUUAAUCAAUUAUUUACUCACCCGCUUUCUCCUAAUAUUUUAUUCCAACCUUUUUAGAUCCAAAUACAUGAAAUUAUGGCUUACAUGUAUUUUGAAAAUGACUUGUUACAAAAAUUAAUUUUUGGUAAGCUCGUUUAGUGAGAAUAGUGAAUACGCGUUUGGAGACAAUAAUCGGAUCGAGAAUACAAUAAGAUUGAAAAAUUGAGACUUAUACAUUAGUUUUAAAAUAGGUAUUUUUAUGUUUAAGUACUCAAGUAUUAGUUAGUUAUACUAUCGUUAUAAGACAUUCUUAGAAAUUUCAUUUUAUCGUGCACAAAUUAGAAGUUCGCUUUUCGCUGCCGCGCAGGAUUAUUUGAGGAUAAGACCUUUAUUUUAGACUAUUAAGAUGAAUAAUAAUAGUGAUAAAGGAAGGUGCAUUAGAGGUUUAGUGCACAAGUGAAACGAACCCGAGAGAAAUCGGACAUGAAACCCGCGCGCGACUAGUAAGAGUUGACUUUUGCACACCACCUAAAGCUACUAUUCCAUUCUUUCUCCCCAAGUUUUAGCACACAAAACCCUCCUCUCUCUCACCUUGCAUCAGCCGACCAGCCACAAGAAAGAAAAGAAGAGAAGAAAGCUCUCCAUCCAUCUUGCUCAUUCUUGCUCCAAAUCAUCUCCCACUUUGCAACUAACCACAAAACCACUUGGAGAUUCACUUGAGCUUGGAAGGAAGCUUCAUCUUGGUGUUUUUUCUUGGGGGUUUAGUGGUAAAAAUUUCUGGUUUGUCUCAAAGCUUGGAGGUAAUCAUCCUACACCAUCCAAUCUUUUAUUCUUGGCUUUGAAGCUUGUAGCUUCAUUAUUGUUGAUAUUACUUGAUUGGAAUGGUUGAAUUGGCUCUAUGAAUUUCCACUUUGGAUAUAAGGAUUGAUAUGAUGAUUUUAGAUGUUAUAUGUGUUGUUUUAGUGCUAAACUAGUGGAUCUAAGUUGAGGAAGUGGAAAGAAAUCAAGGGAAACUUGAAAGAGGAAAGGGCCGAAUCUGCCCUGUUUGUGCAGAGGCUUUAAUUCGAAAUUUUUGUGGUUAAAUUGACUGUUUAUGAUGUAUACAUGUUUUGUGGGUUGUGUGGAAGGUUUCCACAAAAAAUUACGUGAUUUGGAUGGUUAAAUGUUGAGUUUCGAAAAUCUGUCAAAACUGGAAUUUUUCCCGAAACUGCUCUGGCAUUGUUUUCAAACAGCUAUAAUUUUUGCUCCGAUGUCAAAAUCGAGUGCUGUUUGUGGCAAUGGAAACUAGACAUUCCCAUCUUUUCAACGGUAUAAAAUGCACAUUCUGAUUCCACCUGAGUAGUCCAUACCAAUUGUUUGAACAUGACUAUUCUGUUUCGCAUCUACACUGGGAGCUCUGUUUUGAGCAUCGAAUUUGAUGCUCAAAUAUGAGCUAGCUGUGGACAGAUUUUGAAAAUGAUUUCUUCUAAGACAUUGUAACCUUAUGAAUGUAGUUUUCAACGCUACCAAUCACGCUCAAUUCUAAGUUGAAUUGAGUGAAUUAUGGCCAAAUUACAGACCUACAUCAUUGCUUGAAAACCCUCAUUUUGGACUGAUCAAUGGCCUAUGUCGUUUGGGACUUGUUAUUUUGAAAAUUUUGGUGUCAAACACUUAUCAAAUGUAUAUUAGAUGUUUCUCAGAAUUUUUUUUGAUAAAUGGACCAGAUUUUAAUCAUUUUCGUUGAGCAAAAUGUUUGAAAGAGUAGAAGAAAGCAAAAGACAGAUUGGUCUUAAGAUUUUCUUGAACUUUGGUAGUUUAGUAAACUACCUUCCCAUGUGAAUUUUAAAGUGAAAUUUGAUAGAGAAGUAGUCCUCAUAUGGAAGUAGAAUUGUACCAAUUUUGGUGUCCAUCAAAGACCAUUCCGAUAUACAAAUGAUGUGCCAAAGUUUGCUAUUCAAAUCUGGAAAACUCUUCCUUUCUCUCGGCUGAAUGGUCCAACUUGUUUGGAAUGUUUUGUUUCAAAAACUUUGAUGUCAAUUGCCUCUAAAUUUCUCAUUGGAUGUUUAUGGAACAUUGGUUUCAACAUUUGAGUUAAUUAAGGUUGAUUUGUGUGAGACAAAACUUUUAAAAGGAAAGAGAAACUUGAGUUGGCAGAAUUGCUUUGAAAGUUUCACAAACUUCAGUAGUUUUGUUAACUGCCUUUCCACGUGAAUUUUUGCGUGAAAUUUGGUAGAGAUAUAUUUAACAUAUGGAAGAUUUAGUGUACCAAAUUUGGUGUAUUUUCAAUGCCAACUCAAUGACCAAAUAAUGCCCCAAAUCUGCUCUUCAAAUCUGGAAACUUGGCCAACAGUCUUCAUUUUUAACCAACUUUGAGCUGCUAUUUCUUGACGCUCAAAACUCCGAUUUUAGUUCUGUUUCUUGUGUUUUAAACUUUGAUUGUACCUCCAAUUUAAUUCCAAAUUUCAGAGGCUAGUUCAGAUUGUGUGAAUUUUUCCGAAUUUCCAAACUUUGCCGAAAAUCAACCCAAAUCUGUCUUGGUAUUCCAAGACAACAUCUUGGACCCAAAAUUUGAAUGUCUUCCAAUUGGAAUCAUGGAAAAGUGUCUUCUAGGAACUUUUAGUAAUUUGGAAGAAGUUUCCAACGGUCCAAGUUUUCCAAUUUUGGACCUACGGACUACAAGAUAUGAUUUUUCUAAGUUUGACACACAAAGCUGAAAUUUGCCAAUUUCUUAGAAAAUGAAAAUUUGGAAACUUGACUUCUUUUCUCGAUAUCGACUGAACGUUUUUGAACUCGAUUUCAUGGAAAUACUAGUCUCCCUCUUUGGACUUUAAAACUUCACUCGUGAACCUCAAGUUAAGGGAAUUGAAGCUCUCUUUUAGGACUUUGACUUAGUCUAGAUGAGUGUACAUCCCUUCUUGGUAAAUGCAUGAUUGUGAGUGAAGUUGAUUAUUGUUUGCUCAGGUGCUCAAGGGGACCUUUAAGAGGAACUCGGAGCGGACGCCUAAACACUUGUUUGAGCACUUACUCACUUGUUUUGACUAGGUGAGUGUUCCAUAUAGGAGUACGUAAUUUGAAUAAGUCUAUGACAUGCUUAUUCCAUGAUCAUUAAGUGUUAAGUGCUACAUGUUAAGUAUUUACCACACUCAUGCAUAUUUAAGUAAGGUAUACUUGAAUUACUCGACAUGAAAUACUUGAAUUGCAUAUUUACGUGAAGUGUUUACAUGAUUAAUUAUGCUAUCGCUGCAUAAGUCGGCUGGAGUGAAUCUCCUCAACUCUUAAGUGGUAAAAGUGGGAAAUGGCCAAUGGCGGCCUAUUAAAAUGGCAAAUAUCUGCCAAUUAACCGUAAUUACUUACCGUUAACCGUUAACCGUAAUUACUUACCGUUUACCAACCUACUUGAUUACCUACCUACGUGAUUACCUGCUUACUUGAUUAUCUGCUUACUUGAUUACUUGACUAUUUGAUUACUUGAUUAUCGUAAAUUACAUGUUCAUAUGAAAUUAGCCACCGUUUUAAGGCGAGUGCGUACUUUAUCUCACUCGACCUACUAAAAUGAUAAAUUUUUACAGUACACCAAUUUACUUGAUUACUUGUGCAUGUUGUAAGCUCUAAGCUGAACUGGGCUCUGCCCUUGGUUACUGACCUACUCGAGCCAAGACUGGGCUCGGUCGGGUAGGUUGGAACCCUGGGACACCGUUUCGGUAUGCUCGAGUACUAACACUGGAGGGAUAAGGUGAUGGCCAGACAAACCGAGGGGUUCUGAAGUUAUAUGGUACAGUUGACCGAAAUGGUUCCACUAGAACACCGUAUCCUUCAAUGUGUAUUUAUUUUGCAUAAUGAUAACUGUUUCAUGCUAAUGUGCCAACGUGCAACCUAUGAGCCAUACCUGUGAUAUGCUCAAAUUACUCGUAACAUGAUAACUUUAUCAUGUUAAUGUGUCAAUGUGCAAUCGUGAACCAUAUAUGUAUCAUGCCUAACUUGUUUGAUUUAUUAGAACUGCUAGAGUGUCUUGGAACCUCACUGGGCUGUGUAGCUCAUUCCACGUUUUGUUUUCCUUAACAGGGUUCGAGACCAAGAGUGAUCAUGAAUAGUAUUUGAUUGUUUUCUUUUGAAGACUUUAAGUUGUAUUAUAGCUGAUGGCUAUAAUACAUAUUCUGUUGGAUUGUAUUUAUGCUUGAAAGCUAACUAAUUGUAAGUGUGAGAUAUUUUUGAGUACUUUAAUUAUGUAUUGAAGUUAUUUGAAGCAUUCCGAACUUUUGAAUUGUGGAUUGUAGUGAGUCCUGGCGAGAGUUGGGCAGGCGUCCCGCGGAUACCCUUUGGUUCGCCUUAGGGAGAAGUGGGGGCGUCACAGUUGGUAUCAGAGCUUAGGCUUCAGAUCUUUGUAGUGUAUUCUAGACUUAAAAGUUUAGAAUGCCGGACUGUGGAACUAGUUUGAAACUUAAGUGCCCGCUAAUAGGGAUAAAAAUUAGAGCCGCUUCGCGUGGUCUCUGCAGGGGGUGAGUUUGGGCCAAGUGGUGUUAUGGUCCUUAUUAUGUGAAUGAGUAAAGGUUUAAGUACUCUUCUUGAGCAUAAGCUGUGAAUCAUGAAUGUGAUAGGUACAAAACCUUUAUCUUGAUACUUAGAGAAAAAUUAGAUAUGUAUGUUGGUAGGAAUCUCAAAUGUGAUGAUUUACUCUUGGGACUGACCAGCUCGAGUUGUGAAUUACCUUUUUUCGGAUUCUUGUACCCGAGUACUCAAGCGUUGAGGGCAAUCCUGAGGACUUGAGAUCUCCAUUUGUGGGGAAUAAGAACGAAUUGAUAUUUCACGUGAAUAGUUACAGGAAACCAAUAAUCAUUUGGCUAAGAUGGCACAAUAAUUAAGAGCGGGAGGUGGAGAAGAACGUAGCCCAGAAGAUCCUGGUGUUGGGAUUAAAGUUGAACGUGUUAGGGAAUGGGAAUCAUCUAGUUCCAAUUAAUCCCGUGAAGCUUUACUUUUGAUCUUUUUUAAUGGGACGACGGAAAUAGGACUUAAGAGUUUGUACCUUGAAGAUGCAUGUACUUUUGUUAAUCACUUGUUUACUUUUGUUUACUAACCUUGACUUGGUAUGUACUUUACUUCACUGUAACUUGUGUUAUUGUGACAGCCCCACCUCACCCUAAGGCAAACCAAAGGGUUCGACGGACCGCCUGCCCAGCUCUCGCCAAGACUACGGAGUCGAUUCACACAAAUCCAACAUAGUACGCGCGAUAGGACCCAAAGAAAAUGAAUAAUCGGAAACUACUAAGGUGAGAACAUGCCUACCAAACCAUAAAAUCAUAGUCUCAACGAAAUACAUUUAAUAGACAAGGUUAAACACUUAUACAUAUAUUUACAUUGAAGUCUUGAACAAAUUAACCUACAGUGCGAUCCGAGGUACUCAUACUACAGAAAAAACAAUUAGGGCUUCGUUUUCAAAAGAGUUUAACAACAUGACAUAUAUAUUAGCUUGACCCUUUUCCUCCAAAACCAUGAUUCCCAAGUUUGUCCCCUGUAAGGAAAACAAAGGCAACAGAAAAGGGUGAGCUUACGCUCAAUGAGGUACCAAACAUAUAGGGGUAAAAUCAUGGCCUUUCACGUUUAAUCAAUCAAAUACAUAUACUAGAUAUAAAGGAAAGCAUUUAGACAUAGUGAUUCAAAGAAAAGGAUACAAGUGGCUCUCAGGAGCCAGAUUUCCAUUUGCAGUACUUGAUCCGAACCCGUUGACUCUCCGUCAACGUAAAUAGAACCAACAUAUCCGUAGACCCCACUUUACACCAAUUUCCGUCCACCAAACAUACCCCUACCGUGUGACAGCCCCACCUUCCCCUAAGACGAACCAAAGGGGUUAGCGGACUGCCUGCCCAGCUCUCGCCAGGACUAACGGUGCAGUUAGAGCGAUCUUGUGACAGCCCCACCUUCCCCUAAGGCGAACCAAAGGGGUUAGCGAACUGCCUGCCCAGCUCUCGCCAGGACUAACGGAUCGGUAUAGAACGAGCUAAUACAUUCCGGAUCUUACCAACGCGGGUAAAUAAAUCAAAAUGUUAAAAUAAAAAAAAAUGAAACCGAAGUCGGCUAUGAAUAGUAAUCGACCCGUCAGAACCCAACCAAAUAUCAAGCAAACAUUCACAUCUUGAAACUUAGCAUUUACAAGCCAAAGUGGCAUACAAAAGUAUUCAAAAGUGGAUACAUGUCUGGUUUGCCAAAUCAAAAGGAAAAUGGUCCCAAAAGUACAUUUAGAGUUUUAAUACAUGAGCUAUACAAAAGAUAUGUUAAACUAGCUCAAUUUGGCAGCCAAUUGUCAAAUCCAGUCCAAAAGUAUUUAUUUUCCUGUAAGGAAAACAAAAAGGAACAGAAAGGGGUGAGCUUGCGCUCAAUGAGGUACCAGACAUAUAGCAGUAAAAUCAUGGCAUUUCACAUUUAACAAAUCAGGUACACAUGCCAGAUGUAAAGUAAAUGAACUAAUGAUUCAAAUCAGAAGGAUAUAGGUGGCUCUCAGGAGCCAAAUUCCCAUUAGCAUCAUCGGAGCUUGAUCGAAAUAAAAUUUGACACUCCGUCAAUGCUAAAGGAGUAACCAAUACCGUAGACUCCACUUUCUUCGAUUCCUUCCACCUCACAUACCCCACCGGGCCUGAAAUCCAAUCAAAUCAGAAAUGGUAAUACUCGAGUAUACCCGGAAUCAAGGGGUCUCAAUACCCAAAGAUCCCAAAACAGACUAUCGUGGUUCGUUAUCUAAUCGACCAGGCCCUUGCCGGCCCGACUCGAGUAACUGGCCACAGGUGUUGAGCUCAGAGGUCACAGAAAGGUCGUUGGAUACAAGCUUCCAAACGACGUCAGAACAGAUACAGAUCCAGAUACAGAUAACAGAUACAGAUACAUAUAGCAGAUUCAGAUACGCGUUCAAAAUUGGCAUAUGAACAGACAAGAGAACGAGUGUGAUAAAGUACACCCUCGCCUCCCUUUUAUCAAAAUGGUAUUUGGCUCCAACAGCCAUAAAUCAAGUAUUUCAAAUAUUCAGAUAUUUCACAUAACGGGUAGCAGGUAGUGGAACACUCACCGGGGUCAGUACAGAUACCUCCAAAAGAGAGCUUUAAUCACCAAGAAACCCUAAGAUAAUCCAAAGAAAACAAUUGAAGGUUCCACUUUCAAAAUCGAGUAUACAGAAUGCACAUGUGAGUCUCGACUACCAGUCGUAUGCCUCGCCAAAUAAUGAUUAAAGCAAGGGUGCAAAACAUGAAUUUUUGGAAACGAAAAGGUAAAAUGAAGACCUAGGCUCAAACAACCCAAAAGUCCUUCGCUCAAAUCACAAGUAAAUCCAACUAGCCUUCAAGUAAAAUUUCGGCAGCAUAUCCCUUGUGUUUACCUAUUUUCCAGCCAUCAUGGCUUCAUUAUUUCCUCAAAACAGUCCCAACAUCUCGUACAAAAAUAAUCUCAUUCCCAAAAGCCAUUCACUAGGCUUAAUGGCAUUCAAGUACAACAUUUAGCUAGAAAAUGACCGGAUAUGAAAGUCAAGCCCUAAACUAUUCAAAUAAACACAAUAAGACUCGAUUACAAGUCAUAAACCAAUUCUACAUACUACCAAAACAGGGUUCCCUAAGCAUACACAACAAUAGAGGAAACCAGAAAAAUCCGGAAAUGAUUUAGCUUUAGCCCUGAAAAAAAUAGUUUUUGUCCUUAUUUUACGGUAAUGGUGUCAAAGGCACUACGGUUAUCGGAUGAAGGUACAAGACCCACCGUUUCGAAGCUAAGAGAGAGGGCUACAACAUUACAGAAGGUCACUCAACCCAGUUUCCAGUGUAACCAGGUCAAAAAUGCAAGAUACCAUACCAGAAUCACAAAAACAGAUUCACAGAACGCAUUCUAGCGGAAACAUCACAACUCAGGCUCUCCAAGUCCAAAUCCAGCUGAAAGCUAAGAAACAGGGCUAAAUUUCAUCAGAAGGCCUCAACAACCAAUUCAGAAGCAAUUCCAGCCAAAACAACCAAUUACAGGCGCAAUUCUUGCAUUCGGGUAAAACCAGAAUAGCAAUAGUACUUUCGACUUUUCUCACUCUACGCUACUCCGAUUGACCUGAAAUUUUGUAGACACCUCUAAAAUGUCAUUCCCUACAACUUUAAUGUUUUAAUCCAAGACCAAUUCGGCCUCUAACUAGGAGCUAAAAAUUCGGGCAGAAUGUUCCUUCACAAAACCUAAUUUUCUGAAAUUUCUUCCAAAACAGAAAUUGAUUGCAAUUGUCCACUUUUUCCACCUUCUAGAAUCAUUAUAUACCAUUUCCAAUCAUCAUAGAUAGCCACACAACCAUACUUAUAUUAAAACAGAAAAAUCCCCAAAAAUAAUAAAACUUCAUCACUUCAACCACAAAUCAAGAAAUAAUCCAUAAACUUGCAUCUCAUACUACCACUAAUCAUGAUUUAAGCAUCAAUAAAGGGAGGAGAGUGGUUCUUCACAACUCACCUUAGAAACAAGAGAGAGAGAGCAACAAAGUAUUUAUGAAUAGUAACCGACCCGUCAGAACCCAACCAAAUAUCCAGUAAACAUUCACAUCUUGAAACUUAGCAUUUACAAGCCAAAGUGGCAUACAAAAGUAUUCAAAAGUGGAUACAUGUCUGGUUUGCCAAAUCAAAAGAGAAACGUCCCAAAAGUACAUUUAGGGUUUCAAUAAAUGAGUUAUACAAAAGAUAUGUCCAACUAGCUCAUUUCGGCAACCAAUUAUCAAUUGCAGUCCAAACGUAUUUAUUUUCCUGUAAGGAAAACAAAAGGAAUAGAGUGAGCUAAUUGCCCAGUGAGAAUACUACCCAAGCAACAAAGUUCACAUAGGCAUAAAGUUUUUCAUUUCAAUUCAUCAAAAGUAAGCCAAGGCACACGUCAAUAUUGAGGAUAAAAGGAUACGGGUGGCUCUCAAGAGCCCUUUUCCUCGUUUGCAUUCUUGAUCGGAUCUCAUUGACUCUCUGUCAAUGUUCAAAAGUAACCAACCGUAGACUCCACUUUACUUCCAUUCCAUCCACCUAACAUUCCCCUACCGGGCCCGAACUCCAAACACUUGCACUGUGGUAUUACUCGAGUAUACCGGAAUCGAGAGUCUCUCUUACUACAAGAUUCCAUAUAACACUUUCCCCAAGGAUCAUUAAUUGGCACGACCAAGCCCUCGCCGGCUCGAUUCAAUCGACUACCAAUGGGGUUGAGCUCAAAAAUAACAAUUGUAGUCGUUAGAUACUCGUCCAAUCGACACCAAAUCAAGUACUUUCAUUUCAUGUAACAUUUCAUAUAACAUUCCAAUAACAUGAUAAACAAUAAGUGAGAGUGAUAAAGUACGCUCUCACUUCAAUCAAUUAACAUUCAACUCAUCAAGUUAAAGUAUCAAAGCUAUAUAGUAACACAAGUGAGAAGUAGACUCACCAAACUUGCAAAUGGUGUUUCAUGCACUUCCAUCAAAAGAACGUCGUGAACCACCGUCACGCCCUAAAACAUGCAAACAAGUACAAUGAGACUUGAUAACGAGUCAUAAACCAAUGCCAAACAUGGCCCCAGUAGGGUUCCAUAAGCAUAUACAAGCAUUAGGGAAAACCAGAAAAUCCGGAAAUGAAACUAGUUGUAACCCUGAAAAAAAAAGUUUUCGACCUCAUUUUGCGGUAAUGGUACCAAAGACACUACGAUUAUCGGAUGAAGGUGCAAGACCCACUGUUUCGAAGCUAAGAGAUAGGGGUACAUAUUACAGAAGGUCACUCAACCCAGUUUCGAGUGUAACCAGGUCAAAAAUGCAAGAUACUACACCAGAAUCACAAAAACAGAUUCACAGAACGCAUUCUAGCGGAAACAUCAUAAAUCAGGCUAUCAAGUCCAAAUCCAGAAAUUCAAAACCAUCUGAAAGCUAAGAACAGGGUUACAUUUCAUCAGAAGGCCUCAACAACCAAUUCGGAAGCAUUCCUAACCAAAAUAACCAAUUACAGAAGCAAUUCUCCAAUUCGGGUAAAACCAGAACAGCAAGGGUAAUUUCGACUUUUCUCAAGUACGCUACUCCGAUUGACCUGAAAUUUUGUAGGCACCUCUAAAAUAUCAUUCCUACAACUUUCAUGUUUUAAGCCAAGGCCAAUUCGGCCUCUAACUAGGAGCUACAAAACCGGGCAGAAUGUUAUCAUCAUAAACCCUAACUUUCCAAGAUUUCUUCCAAAACAGAAAUUGUUUGCAAUUAACCACUUUUUCCACCUCAUAGAGUCCUUAAACAUCAUUUCCAAUCAUCAUAUAUAGCCACACAAUCAUGUUCAUAUUAAAACGGAAAAAUCCCCAAAAAUUAUAAAAUUCAUCAAUUCAACCACAAAUCAAGAAAUAAUCCAUAAUAUUGCAUCUCAUACUACCACUAAGCAUGAUUUAAGCAUCAAUAAAGGGAGAGAGUGGUUCUUCACAACUCACCUUAGAAACAAGAGAGAGAGAGCAACAAGUCCUCUUAGCUUUCCAAAUAACUCCACACAACACUUCACUAUCACUCCCUUAAGUGGUUUUAUGGAGCAAAAUCAAGGUUGGAUGGUUGAGUAAGUUGAUUGAAGCAAGAUUGAAGCCAAAAUCUUGAAGAGUUUUCUUUCUUUUGUUACUCAAGGAGCUCGGCCAAGAUGAAGAGAAAAUGGUGAAUUUUUGGUUAUUUUUUGAUUUAUUUGGUCAAUGGUAAGAAAAGGAAUAGUAGUCUUACUUAAGGACCAAUCCAAUGGUGACACUUGUCACCUCCAUUAAUGCAAGUCUAUCACUUUAUUUCCUCUCACACCAAUCCAAAUUGCAACCUCUACUUAUCUCUUAACACCCGGUAAAUUAAUUCAGUAUCCAAAACUUAACCUAGUUGGCCGAAUUUUUCCGAACUUUUCGCACUAGUGGGUCCCACGUCCGGUAUACACUCUUAAUUUCUCAAAACCUAUUCGAUACUAGAAAAAUCAUCUAAAAACUAUAUCUGCUCCUUAAAAGAUCUAGAAUUUUUCCUACUCACGAAAAUGCAGAAAACAAGCCAUGAAAGAUAAUAAAACCUAGAAAAUGGGAAAAAUUACGGGUUCUCACACUCUCUCCCCCUUAAAAGAAUUUCGCCCUCGAAAUUUCUCACCUUAACUCACGAAAAGUUCAGGGUAUUUCUUUCGCAUCUCCUCUUCCACUUCCCAGGUAGCUUCCUCUACCCCAUGGUUUCUCCAUAGUAUCUUCACUAACGGAAUCUGCUUGUUUCUGAGCUCUUUGACUUUCCGGUCAAGCACUUGGACAGGUUUUUCUUCGUAAGCAAGCGAUUCGUCCAGUCGAUCUCUUCGGGUUGUAAGAUAUGGGAUGGGUCGGGAUAGUAUUCUUGAGCAUCGAGACGUGGAAGACGUCAUGAAUUCUCGAGAGACUUGACGGCAGCUCUAGUCUAUAUGCCACCGCACCUAUCCUCUGUAGAUCUUGUAAGGUCCGACGAACCUCGGUUACAAUUUCUUUCCUCUACCCGCCGUGACACUCCGUAACGGUGUAACCUUGAGGAAAACACGGUCUCCAACUUCGAACUCCAAGUCUUUUCUUUGAUUGUCGGCGUAACUCUUUUGUCGGCUUUGAGCAGUUUGGAGUCGUUGCCGUAUCAACUUGACCUUUUCUCAAGCUCUUCCAUCCAGGAAUAGUGGUUGGAUCCAGUGCCUUCCUCUCGCCAACUUCGUCCCAGUAAAUUGGUGAUCGGCAUUUUUGUCCAUAUAGUGCUUCAUAUGGAGCCAUUUGAAUCGAUGAAUGGUAGCGUUGUUGUACGCAAACUCCACUAAGGUCAUGUGUUGACCCCAGUUGCCUCCAAAAUCGAGAAUGCAAGUCGUAGCAUGUCCUCGAGAGUUUGUAUUGUCCGCUCCGAUUGUCCAUCCGUCUGAGGGUGAUAGGUUGUGCUCAAGUUGAGUUUCGUUCCUAGAGUCUCCUGGAACUUUUGCCAAAAUCGAGAUACGAAACGUGGAUCUCGAUCGGAGACGAUGCUCACCGGAACACCGUGCAGCUUUACAAUCUCGUCCAUGUAUAGUUGAGCCAACUUGUCCUGGAAUACUUCAUGUUCACCGGCAAGAAAUGGGCCGACUUGGUUAAUCAUCGACGAUCACCCAAACGGCAUCGUGUCCUCGUUGCGUUCGCGGCAAACCUGAAACGAAGUCCAUGGUGAUGUUUUCCCACUUCCAUUAGGUAUCUCAAGGGGUUGUAACAAGCCCGACGGUUUUUGAUGCUCCACUUUAACCGUUGGAAACAAGACAUUUUUGCACGUACAACGCAAUUUCCUUCUUCAUAUUGUCCCACCAAUAGGUUCCUUUCAGGUCUUGAUACAUCUUGCUACUACCCGGAUGGAUUGUAUACUUGGACGAUGAGCUUCCUCUAGAAUUCUGUUUUUAACGACAUCUUUCGGCACCACUAUUCGGUUUCGGUAUUUUAAAAUACCCUCAGGACUAAAAUGGAAGUCAGUGGUUUCUCCUUUUCCCAUUUCUCUCCCCAUUUCUGCACCAGUGCAUCUUUCUUUUGAGCUUCUUUAAUCCUUUUCAGAAGGUGGAAGUCACUUUAAUAUUGCCAAAAAUCACCUUAUGGCUCCCAAGGCAGGGUUUCCACUCGCAAACCGACUCGAGCAAAUUCCACUCUUUAAUCAUUAAUCCUGCUACUUGCGCCUUGCGACUCAAAGCAUCAGCUACUACGUUCACCUUUCCUGGAUGGUAGUUGAUAGUACAAUCGUAAUCCUCCAGAAAUUCCAUCCACGCGCCGUUGCCUCAUGUUCAAUUCCUUCUGUGAGAAAAGGCACCUCAGGCUUUUGUGAUCGGAGUAAACCUCGAAGGUUACCCCAUAUAGGUAGUGUCUCCCACUUUUUAAGAGCGAAAACAACGGCAGCUAACUCCAGAUCGUGGGUCGGGUAGUUCUGCUCGUGAGGUUUUAACUUUCUCGAGGCAAAAGAUAUCACAUUUCGGUUUUGCAUUAACACACAACCCAACCCUUCUCGUGACGCGUCCGUAUACACGGCAAAUCCGUUACCUCCAUUUGGCAAGACGAGAACUGGAGCCAUGGUCAAUCUUUUCUUUAACUCUUGAAAACUUGUCUCGCUUCGGGCAUUCCAAAUGAAUCGCCCAUGUUUCUUCGUCAAGUCGGUUAAAGGACCGGCUAGUUUAGAAAAAUCCUUGAUGAAACGCCAGUAAUAGCCAGCCAGUCCUAGAAAGCUGCGGACCUCGGUGGGAUUUUCUGGCCUCUUCCAAUUAGUCACAGCCUCUACUUUUGCAGGGUCAACUGAAAUACCCUCUUGAGAAAUUACGUGUCCAGAAAAGCAAUUUUCUCCAGCCAAAAUUCGCACUUGCUGAACUUGGAGUACAGUUAAUGGUCUCUUAGGGUUUGUAAGACAAUCCUCAAGUGCUGCUCAUGCUCUUCACGAGUCUUGGAAUAGACCAGGAUGUCAUCGAUGAAGACUACUACAAAUCGAUCCAGGUAGGGCUUAAACACCCUAUGCAUUAAAUCCAUGAAGGCGGCAGGAGCAUUAGUUAGUCCAAAGGGCAUAACUGCGAACUCGCAAUGCCCAUAUCUCGAGUUGAAGGCAGUUUUCGGAAUAUCCUCCUUCCUGAUUAAUAACUGGUAAUACCCUUGUCGGAGGUCAAAUUCAAAUUUCAAAAAGACCACUGGGAUACUUAUUUUUCACCGUAAUAUUAUUCAGGCCCCGAUAAUCGAUACACAUCCACAACCGACCAUCCUUUUUUUCACAAAAAGUAGAGGAGCUCCCCAAGGAGACCCACUCUCUUGAAUAAAUCUCCGCUCCAGAAGGUCUUGCAAUUGCAACUUUAGCUCCUUGAGCUCAGCAGGAGCCAUUCGGUAUGGUGUUUUUGAGAUAGGUGAGGAUCCUGGUAGCAGGUCUAUUUUGAAUUCAAUCUCUCUUUCCGGAGGUAAGGCUACUAACUCAUCAGGAAACACGUCCGAAAAUUCCUUCACUAUGUGCACAUCCUCUACCUUUACUUUAUCCGAAGGGGUAUUGAUCAGAAAGGCCAAAAAUCCUUGCGCCCCUCUACUUAGCAAUUUUCUAGACCGAAUGCCCGAAAUCAAAGCAGAUGAGGCUAACCGACCCCUUAUAUGCAACCUUAAGGUCGCCUCACCAGGAAUGCGGAAUUCUACCACUUUUGUUUUACAAUCCAGUUGGGCGUUAUACUUGGCUAGCCAGUCCAUACCCAAAAUCACAUCAUACCCUCAAUGACCAGACUUAUCAAAUCCCCUAACAAUCUUUUCUCUCCUACCCACACUUCACAAUCCCUAUAAACCAUACUAGUAACCAAGCGUUGAUUCCCCGUAGGUGUACUAACUUCUAGGUCGUAUGGUAAACUAGCAGGUUUUAUAUCGAUGUCACACAUGAAAUCAGGGUUAACAAAGGAAUGAGUGGCACCAGGAUCAAUUAAAACCUUGGCAAAACGGUGGAAAAUAGGGAUCGCACCUUCUACGACCUCUGAGGAAUCUGGGACCUGUUGAGGUUCUAACGAAUAUACUCGAGCUGGCACUUUAGGUUUCGCCUCAUUCCCCUUAUUCUGUCCCGUAUUGGUCUUUGACGUGGUUUGAGUUCCCUUUCCGUCUUGCUUUAAGAGUGGGCAGGUAGCAAGCUGGUGGUCUGAGCUUCCACAUCCCAGACAUUUGCCUCCUUCUUCCAGCAAUUAUCUUCGGAAUGAUUCGGCUUUCCACAGUACCCACAAGGCCCGCGGGACGCCGAACCUGAACCCUUUUGGAAGUUUCCGCCUUGGCCUCUCCCGGCUGGGCCACCCCUAGACUGAGCCCCUCUACCGGAACCUGACUGUCGUCCACCUCCAGCUCCGCGUCCGAACUUGGAGGGGGUAUCUUUAUCCCCUUGUCCAGAGCUGCUUCCAGGAAAGCCCCGCUUUUUCGCCUGGAAGUUCCGCACUUGCAUCCUCGCGCUUUCUACCCGUUGGGCCUUCUCAACGGCCUCGCUAAAAGCAGUGAUUUGAGCCACUGCGAGGUCCUUUUGAAUUUCCACGUUUAGGCCGGAUAAAACGCCUAAUUCACCGUUGCUCUGUCACAAUCAACUCAGGGGCAAAUUUGGACAGACAGGUGAAUUGGCUUUCGUACUCCGCUACCGAUUGAUGAGCCCCUUGGCGGAGUCGGAUGAACUCGUCUUCCUUCCUCUCCUGAACUAGAGGAGAGAAAAAUUUCGCAUUAAACUCUCUCAUAAAAUUUACCCAAGUCCUGGGCGUUUGCUCCCGCUCCCAUUUUUGCUGAACGACGUUCCACCAAGAGCGGGCCGCCCCUUCCAGCUGGAAAACGGCAAAAGUCACCUGCCGUUCUUCAGUAUAGUGCAGGGCAGCGAAAAUAUCGACCAUCUUUUCAAGCCACCUCUCGGCGACAUCCGGAUCGGGUCCCCCAAUGAACUUGGGUGGAGCAAACUUUUGAAAUCGUUCGAGAGCUCUGUCUUCGCUCUCGACAUGAUUGCCAGGGUUUCCAGGAUGAGGGUUUGGGUUCUGGCCUUGUUGCUGCACCACUUGUGCUAGCAGGUUAGUCAUUUGCUGCAUAGCGGCAGCAAUUUGAACAUUGGGGUCAGAGUUAGGUCCAGAAGAGGUUUCCCCAGUACCCCUAUCCAGUGUGGGUUGUCUAUUACCGCGGCCACGCCCCUGUCCACUACGUGUGCCUUCCAUGAACUUUACUUGGUCUAGACAAAUGUACUAAACCAAUAUAAGAACAAUGCAUGUAAGUAAAAACAAAAAUUUUCCAAGCAGAUAUAUACAUUCCAAACAAGGCAAACAACACACAUAGCAACAAGCAGUCAAGUCAAAUACAAACAUGGACAAUCCCCAAGGGAAUGGCCUCAUCAAAAGAAAUAUACACAUAGCUAAUCUAGCCGUACAAAACGAUUAGCUAAGGCACUUUCCCUAUUCGCCCUAUGUACAGAAACAAAACUAUCCAAAACAAAUCCUAGGAGUCGUGACCUAGUCCGACGACGAGCUAGUAGACCCACCCGACGGGGUGGAUCCAACCCCAGCCUCGGCGAAUGAAAUGUCCAGGAAAGGGUGAAUGAAAUGAACAAAUGAAUGAACAAACGAGGGUUUAUUCACGAAAUGAAAUUUUCAAAUAAUUGGAGGAAUAAGGGGAAAUGGCAGGAGAACGAGCGAGCGCGCGAAUAUUUGGCUCCAUGUGGGCCCGUAUCCUUUUAAUGAAUGUUGCUAUCGCUUUCAUUGUAAAUGUUUCUUGAAUUAUUGAUACUCCAUCAUUGAUUUAUGACAUCAUUGAAAUGAACUAUUGUUAAACCGAUUUGAUUACUGAUUUUACUGGUUACUCGCUGAGCUUCUAGCUCACCCCAAAACUAUUUUAUUCCCCUCCACAGGGCUCGUGGCGAAGGAAGGCUUGUUGUGAUUUUAUUGUUGUGGAAUUCCUCUUGUGUAAUAAUUGGGAUCAUGGAUCAGAGUGGCGCAGCGGAAGCAUGGACUCUUCGCUUUUGGAUAGGUAUUAGUGGAGAAUUUGAUGUAAUAUUUGAGAUUUAUCUUGUAAUUCAUUUGAGUUAUAUUGAGAUUUAUCUUAUAUUUGUUUGAGGACUGUAGUGAGCGACUGAGUCCCGGCGAGAGCUGGGCAGGCGGCCCGCCGAACCCUCUGGUUCGCCUUAGGGGGAGGUGGGGCUGUCACAGAAUCUCUCAUAAAUUCUCUAACCUCUUAUGAGCUGAAACUCAAGUCCAAGGUGCAGGAGGAAGAAGAUGCAAAGUUGAGAAAGAGCAUUGCUCUAAAAGCCUCGCAAGAGGAAGAUGACUCAGUCUCCUUGGAUAGAAACGAUAUGGAAGUUGAUGACAGUGAUAUUGCACUCAUCACAAGAGGCUUCAAGAGGAUUCUCAACAAAAAGAAAUUCAGAAAAGAAGGAUCUAGCAAUUCAUUUCCAAAUCAGUUCAACAACUCACGAAACAAAGGGAAGCAAGAGUUCAACAAGAAGUAAACUGACAAAUGCUUCGAAUGUGGCCAACCUGGACACUAUGCGAAUGAGUGUCCAAUGAAGAAAAAGAAAGAAGGAAAAUUUGAACGAAAACCAAAGUUAACAACUUCCAGAUUACUUGGAAUGACUGCAACUCAGAAGGUGAAGUCGAAGAAGAAGAGGAAUCUGCCCAAAUGGCUUUCAUGGCCAUUGGUGAUAAAGAGAUAACAACAUGUAACUCUCAAACUAGUAGUGAUAAUGAAUCUGAUGAUGAUGUUAAUUCUUUUAUGGAAAGAAUGCACAACAACUUGAAAGAAUCCUAUGUUAGAAACAAGGAGCUAAAGCAAAAGAUCAACUUUCUGUUUCAAGAUAGUGCAAACCUGUUUCAACAAAACAAGAAACUGAAAAAUGAAAUGAAAACCUGAAUAGGACUAAAAUUGAGUUAUGUGCUGAACUCGAUAGAAAAAUAAACUUCUGUGACAUGCUCAAAAAUGAACAUGGAAGUUUGAAAAAAAAAUGGAAGAUCUUGAUCAGUUACUUCAGCAUAAGAAACAAAACUCUUUCAAAGGAAUGACACAAAGCCUCAUUUUGGCAUUCAUGGGAAAGGCUGAAUUCUAGUGCAAAUGAGUUUACUAUUUAUAAGAGAAGGUAAAUCAAUUUAUUAAACCUGUCCAUGCAAGUAACUCACUGACUAUGUGCAGUUUUUGUUGUCAGAUUGGUCAUAUGAAGAGUAAUUGUUAUGUGAGGAAGAAUAUGAGAAAUGGUAUGAAAUGCAUGUGGAUAGUUAAGUAUAAUGUAACUCUCAAGACCCAAAAAGUAAAGGGUACCAAAUAUUAUCAUGUGAACUUUUUUGUAGGCGAACUUGGUGAAUAUUAUCAAGGAAUCAAAAUGGUUCAUAGAUAGUGGAUGCUCAAGGCAUAUGACUGGUGAUCCAUCACAAUUCAUCAAGCUCAAACCAAAAGCAAGUGGAAAGGUAACUUUUGGAGAUGAUAACAAAGUCAAAACUGUUGGAGUUGGUGAUAUUGGUAAGAAUGGUCAAAUCUUUGUUCACAAUGUUCUUUUAGUUGACAAUCUGAACUAUAACUUGUUAAGUGUUAGUCAAUUGUGUGAUAGAAAUCUGUUGUGUGUUAUUUAAAAAGCAUGAAUGUCUUGUUCUUGAUUCAAAGUUCAAUACUAUCUUCAAGGGAAGUUAAUGACAUUUAUGUUGUAAUUUUGAAAAAUGUUGAUUCUUCUAGUUUUAAAUGUCUUAAAGUUGCAAAUGAAAACCCUUGGUUGUGACAUAGAAGGUUUUGUCAUUUCAACAUGGAUUUACUAAAAGAGAUUUUCAAAAGGAACUUGUUAGAGGAUUGCCAAAAUCAAAUUUGAAAAGGAUAAAAUCUGCGAUGCUUGUCAAUUUGGAAAACAAGUCAAGGUUUCUUUUAAACCCAAGAAAUGUAUUUCUACCACAAAACCUUUGGAACUUUUACAUCUUGACUUAUUCGGUCCCACACAAACCACUAGUUUAGGUGGUAAAAGAUAUUGCCUUGUUGUUGUUGAUGAUUAUUCUAGAUACACUUGGGUUGUUUCUUGCACACAAAGAUGAUACUUUCAAAAAAUUUGUUUCAUUAUUUGCUAAGGUUCAAAAUCUGAUUGAGUUAAAAAUCAUCAAAAUCAGAAGUGACAAUGGCACAGAAUUUUUUUUUGUGGCUUUCCAGAAUUUUGCAAUAACAAUGGCAUUACACAUGAAUUUUCAAUUGCAAGAGUUCCCCAACAAAUGGGGUUGUUGAGAGGAAGAAUAGAACACUUCAAGAGGCUGCUAAGACCAUGUUAAGUGAGUGCAACUUACCAAAAUAUUUUUGGGUUAAAACCAUAAAUACAGCCUGCUACACUAUGAAUAGAAUUCUUUUUAGACCAAUCUUGAACAAAACCUCUUAUGAGUUGAUAUUUGAUAAAAAGCCUGUUGUUGGAUACUUCAAAGUUUUUUGUUGCAAAUGUUUCAUUUUGAACAUCAAGGAACAUCUGGUAAGUUUGAUAAAAAAUCUGAUGAAGGAAUUUUUUGAGGUAUUGUGAAAAUAAGAGAGAUUUUAGAGUUUACAAUCGAAUGAUGCUGAUUAUUGAAGAAGCUAUACACAUUACUUUUGAUGAAUCUAAUGGUGAUAUUUUCAAAAGUAGUGGUGAAGAUGAUGAUGCAGGUGUUCAAGAAGAACUAAAGAAGCUCUCAAUCAAUGACCAAGACAUUGCUUCACCAGAAAAUGACUCAAAGGAAGAUGAUUCUCAAGACAUUCCAGCACCGGAAGACAGUGACAGAGAUGUGAGUACAUCUAACGAUCUUUCAAGAGUUUGAAAAUUUGCUCAAAACCAUCCUAAAGAGCUCAUCAUUGGUGAUCCAUCAGAAAAGUUCAGAACUCGUUCCUCCUCUAAACAAUUGAUGGAUAAUUUUGCAUUAGUCUCACAUUUCGAACCCAAGAAUGUUGUUGAUGCCUUGAAAGAUGAGAACUAGAUUUUAGCUAUGGAAGAUGAGCUAAAUCAAUUUGAAAGGAACAAGGUUUGGACAUUGGUUGAAAGACCUCAAAAUCAUCCUAUUAUUGGAACGAAAUGGGUUUUUAGAAAUAAAAUGAAUGACAAAGGUAAGGUUGUUAGAAAUAAGGCCAGACUUGUAGCCAAGGGAUAUGCUCAAGAAAAAGGAAUAGACUUUGAUGAAACAUUUGCACCCGUGGCUAGGUUAGAAUCAAUUAGAAUGUUUUUGGCCUUUGCAUGUUUCAAGAAUUUCAAACUAUUUCAAAUGGAUGUAAAGGCUUUAUUGAUCAAGAAGUAUAUGUUGAUCAACCUCCUGGUUUUGAAAAUGAGAUUUUUCAUAAUCAUGUGUUUAAACUCUCAAAAGCUUUUGUAUGGAUUAAAACAAGCUCCAAGGGCUUGGUAUGAACGUCUAAGUGAUUUUUUGAUUGAAAAUGGUUUUAAAAGAGGAAUUAUAGAUACCACUCUUUCCACUAAACAAAGUACGCAUGAUCUGUUAAUUGUGUAAAUAUAUGUGGAUGACAUUAUAUUUAGUGCUACUAAUGAGAGUUUGUGCAAGGUUUUCUCCACAAUAAUGCAAAAAAAGUUUGAGAUGAGUAUGAUGGGAGAAUUAAAUUUCUUCCUUGGACUCCAAGUGGUUCAAACCCGAGAAGGAACAUUCAUUAAUCAAGCAAAAUAUACCAAGGAGUUGCUCAAAAGAUUUAGAAUGGAAGAUUCAAAGCAAGUUGGAACACCCAUGUGCACCUCUACUAAGUUUGACAAGGAUGAAGAAGGUACAAAGGUUAAUGAAAAGAAUUAUAGAGGUAUAAUUGGUAGCUUGCUUUACUUAACUGCUAGUAGACCUGAUAUCAUGUUUGCUGUAUGUUUCUGUGCUCGCUUUCUGUCCUGUCCAAAGAAAUCUCACUUAAAUGCGGUAAAAAGAAUUCUUAGAUACCUAAAAGGAACUAUGAAAUUUGGCUUAUGGUAUCCUAAGUGUCUUGAAUUUCCUUUAUGUGGAUUCUCGGAUGCUAACUUCGGUGGGUGUAGGGUAGAUAGAAAAAGUACAACGGAUAUAUGUAACUUUCUUGGAAAAUGCUUAGUAUCUUGGUGUAGUAAGAAGCAAAAUGCCAUUUUCCUAUCUACAACUGAAGCAGAAUAUGUUACUGCCGGUGCUUAUUGUGCUCAAUUAUUGUGGAUGAAAAACACAUUGAAUGAUUUUGGAUUGAUGUAUGAUUGUGUGCCUAUGUAUUGUGAUAACACUAGUGCAAUAAAUUUAACAAAAAAUUCCAUCCAACAUUUUAGGACAAAGCACAUAGACAUAAAGCAUCAUUUCAUUCGCGAUCUUGUCCAUAAGGGUGAAAUUUGUGUUCAAUAUGUCUGUUCAAAAGAUCAAAUUGCUAAUAUACUCACAAAAACCUUACCACUGGAUCAAUUUGUGUCCUUGAGAACAAAAUUGGGCGUUUCAGAAAAAAUACUCUAAAAAUUCUCUGGUCACUCUUUAUCGGACGUCCGAUGUGUUAGAACGAACCGUCCGACAGUGUUCUUGAUCAUUUUUUCCAGAAUGUUCUGGUUUGAACGGCCAUGUCGGACGCUUUACUUCGUUCGGCCGUCCGACACUCAAAAAUUGCGUCUUAUAAGGAAGUCCUCUGUGCCAUUCAGUUCAUUCUCACUCCUCGUCUCGGACGUAACCCUUCAUAUUCUCUCAAUUUCACAAAAUUCAAAUUCAUCUCUCUUCGGAACAAUUUUCAAGUAAUCACUCUGACCGUCACCAUUACAUACCUAUUCCGAGUUAAUUGCACAUCAUAACUUCUCCCAACUUUCAACUGCACUAUAAAUCCCAAUUCUAACCGAAACCCUAACCACCCAAAUUUACUCUCUGUGGACGAAUUCUAACAUCCAUUGUAGUUCAUACUGCACUUUCAAAUUCUUUGACACUUAUUUGCAUUACACACCACAUCAAAAACACACUGCAUUGCAAUCAUGGUGAGGAUUAGAUGAGGGUCUGCGAGUGCCGGACGCACCUUCAGGCUUAGAGAUGAAGAGGAUGAAGAUGUUCAAGUUGUUGAACCUUCCAUCAAGUCACCCAAAAAGAACUGGAAAUCGUGGUGGAAAAACAAAGCAGUCUGCAAAGAAAAUGCAGACUGUUCAAACCACAGAACCAUCUGUUGAACCAACUAAUGAGCAGAUGGAGGAGCAACAAUCUGAAGAGCAUCCAGUCAGUGGCAAUGAAAAGGAACUGGAGCAACCCACCAGUGAAGAUGUAACCAUCACGAAAUCACCCAGAAAAGGAAAAAGGACCACCAAAAGGGAGAGCAUUGCUCAACCCAAGGAAAGGGAAACUAUUGAUCCUUCAGGGGAAUAGCAGGAUGCAGAAAAAAAUGCUGAGGAAUAGCAAACUGCUGAACCAUCUACCAGGAAGUCACCAAGGACGAGGUCUGGUGUCCAGAGUACUGUGCCAACUACUCAUCGCACUGAAAAAGAAAGCGUCCUGCAAAUGAGCAACCUGAGGCUCAAAUUGUAGAGGAAACCACUCCCUUGCCCAAGUUCAUUAAUGAUGAUGCCAGGGAGAGGUUCGAAUGGAUCUCACAGAAAGGCUUCAUCACUCAAAGGACCAUUAUCCCCUACGAAUUCCGUAAGAUUGACCUUGAACCUGUUCUCAACCUUUUGAAUUCCAAAAAUGGACCCAUCUUCUGACCAUUCCAAACACAUACUAUCCUGACAUACUUCAUCAAUUUUUGCCAAACCUUAGGAAGGGCAAGUCAUACACUGAUCUCAUCUCACGUGUCAACUGUGUUAACAUAGAACUGAAUCCUGACAUUGUUAACACUGUUUUGGAAACCAAAAUUGGAAGAUGAUUUUAAAGGAAAAAUUACAACUUCUUUUCAUACGAAAAAUUUCCUUCUGCCUACCAUGCUUUCAUGUUGCAAAAUUGAUGACCUAUUUUCAAACUCGUUUCAAUACUCCUUCUGAGGCGAGAUUGGAGGAUCUCAGUCCUCACAAAUCUGAUCAUUUUUUCAUAAUUUCAAAUCUGUUGGUGCCCACUGAUGGUCACAGGACCGACGCCAAAAAAAUGUAACUUUAUCUGUUCUACUGCUUUUUGAAAAAAUCAGAAUUGAUUUUGGCUUUGUCAUGUGCCAGUUUUUGCUCAAAAUAAGCACUGAUAGUCAUAGAAACUUUCCUAUGGAAAAUUUCUGACUAUUUUUGUUCACUUUCAAAUCCCUUUACUGGAAAAUCUCCAAAACAGGGUGCAUCAACUAUUUUCUCCAAGAUUUAUUUUGAAAGGAAAAAUCUGAAAUUUUUUUAGGAGAUUGGUGUUACAAGGAAACUGUUUCAAAGUCUAGGGGAAAGAGCCUUCAUGAAACUCCUGUUACCCCUAGGAUCCCUCGUGAUCAGUCUAUGUAUGUGUCACCCUUCACCAUCUAUCCUAGAAAGUCAGCCACCUAGUCAUCUUCAUCCAACCUUGAAGUCAUCUCUCUGCUUGGGGACCUCAAACAACACGUCCUACUCCUUGAAGAUGGUCUGAUGAUGACCAUACAUCGAUCAACAAGCCACCUUCAUUGCUAAAAGGAAUCUGCUUGUGCCUCCAAUUUCUCAAGAAAAUGAAAAUGCACACCAAAAAGAGCUCAGAACUGAGCCCACUAUUGAAACUACCCAGAGUAUCGUGCCUCCAGUUCUCAGCCAUUGAAUAAAGGAAAAGCUCAGCAACUAAAACAAAGACUGAAGAGGAUGAUGAUGAUGAUGAUGAUGACGAGGACAUUGAAGAGGAAGAAGAUCCUGCUCAGUUCGCCUAGCAAGGAGAAGACCUGGAUCCUCCAAGAUCACCUUUUAGGCACCUCUAGGCAAAUGCACUUCAUUUAGGCACUUCUAAGCUUUUGGCAUCUUUUACAUUAUAAACAAUUUGUGUUCUGUACUAAGGAUUCUACCUUGGCAUCGUUUGUGUUAUCUCUCUGUUUUGGAUGAAUGUUGCUUAACUCUGUUUAGCCUUAAAAUUCUGAUAAUGACUGCUGUUGUUAAUUACUGACUAUUGCCAAUAUUGCUGCUGUUGAUAGCAUUGCUGAUAGUAUUGACUGGAUGAGUGAUUGCUAAUUUCUGUUGUUAACAAUUGCCAAAAAAUUGUUGAUGCUGUGUUUUUGGCUUAGUAGUUUUGAAUUCUAAUAUUGAAUACUGGACUCUAAUAUUGAUGAUCAGAUUCUGGUUGUUUUAAAUGAUGACAAAAAGGGGAGAAAUGGUUGUAUAAGUAAGGGGGUCAUUCUAAGGGGGAUUGUGCCAAAUUAUUCUAAGGGGUUUUGUGUCCAUUAAUCUUAUGUGAGAGGACUGCAUCAAGUAGGGGAGAGUUGUGUCCUGAUUUUUUUUCCAUUGUUUUGUCAUCAUCAAAGAGGGAGAUUUUUAUCUCAGUUCGUAGCUUUUGAUGAUUACAAAACAAAAGGAUGAUUACUAAUGUUCUCUCAAAAGACUCUUUCAGAAAUGGAGCAAAACAGGUUCAAAAAUUAAAGCACAAAGGAUGCUAAGCUGCUAUCAGACGCGCAAGAAGACUGGAUCGGACGUCCGACAACUUUUGCAAACUUCGGACAAAUGAAGAACCUCACCCUGACAUCCGAAAAUAUUAAGUCAUUCCCUCUAAACUCACUGACCUCGAUCAGACGCAAUCCUCAAAGCACCGGACGUCCGACAAGAGUUGCGACACUUCGGACGCAAAGCCUUGAAGGGAUUGGACGUCCGAAAAGAAUUAAAGAAGAACUCCCAGUUUCACCUCCUACCGUCGGACGCAUAUAUUGAAGGUACUGGACGUCCAAUAUAAUUCAAGAGGAUUUCUUGAACUCACUGCCUACGUUCGGACGCAAGAAGUUGAUCUACCGGACGUCUGACACUACCAACGGCUAGUUCACUCUUCAACUACCUUCUAUCCGUUGGAAGUAUUAAUUGAGGAACUUUUUGGUCCCAUAUAAAUAGAACAAAGUCAACCACUUCAAAGGAACUUUCCACAUUGAGACUACAUCAAUCAAGAGUGAUUCAAGUGUGAGAAUACUCUUCAAAAAGAAGAUUUGUACUCUUAGUUGUGUAACUUUCAAUAAGUUUUUCUAGUGUGAGUCAACUACUUCAAUAGUGUAGCUUUGUGAGGGUUAUCCGAGUGAUUGUAAAACUUCAUUGCUUGACCAAGUGUGGCUUGGGGCAAGGAGGAAGUGAUCCUUCCCUUAUACACAAAAGAUUGGUUGUAAGUUGAUCAACUUGAAAAAGCUUGCUCUAUAAAGUGAUAUCCAAAUUCAAGAGGAGUUUGACAUUUGGUUUGGUAUUCUAUCCCCUUUUACUUAUUGUUUUGAUAUAUAAACUGUUCAUCUCUUCUACUCACAAGCACUUGCGCUUUCUCUUCUAUUGCUUGAUUGUGUGGUCGUUUAGAAAAAAAGAACAAGUACUAAAAAAGGUGUCUCAUAUCUUGGCAAGUUUUUUAAACCACCUAAUUCACCCCCCCUCUUAGGUUGUCUUCGAUUCUUACAGAAUCAAACUCUAAUUUUUACACCGUAGGAAGAUCUAUGAGUGUAGUUUCAAAUGCAACAAACGGAACUCAAUUCCAACUUUUCUAUACGAAGUUAUAGCCAAUUUUUCAAAGCUACACAGAGCCUCCUGCGAAAAUUUCUAGAUUUUCUAACAAUUUGAGAUUAUGAAACAUUUCUUAACAAAAUUUACUCCCUUGACUCAAAUUCAACCAUUAAAGCAACCAAGAAUCAAAGGUAAGUGAGUUCACAUAAGGAUUAUAAAGACAAGUAAAAUUUCGGAGUCUCACACUCUCUCCCCCUUAAAAGAAUUUCGUCUCGAAAUUCGAACCUUUGCUCGCACAAAACUUGAUGUUACAGGAUUUUCCUCCAAUUCCUAAGUGGCUUUCUCUUACUCACAGUACUGCCACAAACUUACCUAGAGGAAAAAUCACGCCGACGUAAUGGCUAAGUUGCAUGCUAAGGAAGUUCAAUGAAGGCGUCAAAUUGUGCAAAAUGAUAUAAAUUUAAGAACUCGAUGAAAAGGAAAAUUCGUAACUUAUGAACUUGAUUACCACUCUCGCCUACCAUUCACACCUCUUUUGAAAAUAGACUUAAAGGUACAAUAAAAAUGAAGUAGCUAUAAAGUUCGAUAAAUCAUUUUCAAAUCAUAAAUACUUAUGAGUUUCAAAAACUCUCAAUCUCGGCACGAUAAUAAUCAAAAUCAAAUUUCUAUGCGGUAUCGGAGAAGGGUAGAAAAUAGAAAAUAAAUAGUCAAGCAAGAGUUAAAAUGAGUUUAAAAGAAAUAAAUGUGUAACCAUAAUCAAAUCAUAGCAAAAUCAUAGAGACAUGGAACAAGGAUACACAUGUACGGGAGAAAUGAAACAUGCUACAAUACUAGCGCCUUAACGUUCACGACGUCUACAAACUAGCUAUCAUCCCUAGAAACCCUAGCCAGACAUGCACGAAGACAUCCAUGACGACACUCAUUGCUCCACUCUCCUUGAUCAGUUCAAUCUCAAGUCCAAUACUAGAAUCUUUCACGCCUUGACGUUUACCAUCCAAAUUUAUCUCAAGUUCAAUCGAGAUAUAGACUCUUAUUCUAGUGCUCUCCACUUUUGGUACUCAAGUACAAGAAUCCAUAAUAAGAUAAUUCAUAACUCGAGCCAGCCAGUCCCAAGAGUAAAUCACCCCUACUAGAGAUUCCUACUUGACGUACAUAUCUAUCAUCCCCAAAUACCAUGAUAAGCGAUUUUCACUUAUAACAGGCACGAUUCAUAGCUUACGUCCAAGAAGAGCACUUAGUCCUUUACCCUUAUUCACAUAAUCGGGACCAUAUCACCACUUGGCUCAAUCUCACUACGCGCAAAGACCACGCGAAGCAGCUCUGAUACCAUCUGUGAUGACUGUGACGACCCACUUUCCCCUAAGGCGAACCAGAGGGUUGGCGGGCCGUCUGCCUAGCUCUCGCCAGGACUCACGCAAGCAAGCUAGCAAAAAUCCUUCCGAAGUAUAACCUAAUCUAUUACAACAUCGUUUCCCUCCAAAUAAGCCGGUUUCUAGAAUCACAUUAACUUCAGAGAUAACAGUGCCUUAAGAUAGCCAACGUCAAUUCUUAAAAUACCUUCCCGAAUACAACCCAAGAACAAAACAUCAAUUCAAAUACAUCCUUACAAGCCAAGUAACAAAUUCAUACAAGCCACAUACAAAUCCAGGGUUUACACUUUUCCAGCUUCAAGUGGCAACCUAAGGCAAACUACAAUGUUUAACUCGAAUUACAUUCAUGAAAGUAAACAAUCUAGUACUACUUCCGAGCACCUUUGGUCUCAAAUCCUGUAAAUGAAAAUCACAACGUGGAAUGAGCUACACAACCCAGUGAGCUUCCAAGACACUCUAACAGUUCAAACAAAUCAAGAAAGUUGUGCAUGUCAUAUGCAUGGUUCGAGGUUACACAAUGGCAGUUUAUCAUGAGGUGAUAAUCAUUACUCGGGUAAUUGCUACUUUGAAAACACAUGUAGUAGUAGUACUUUUGCUGGUAACUUUACUAUGAGUACAACUCAUAAAUUAUCUAAAAUCACUAACGUAUUUUUGGAAUGAAUGACCAUAUAAAUAUAUUUUCAUGAAUUUUUAGUCAAACAAAUAGUGGCUCGUCUGACUAGAAGAACAUUACAAGGAUUGCUUCAUCUCAGAGAUUAAUGCUCAUGAGGAGUCUUACCCGAGAAAUGUCAACUAGGAGAGCAAUAACAGUAUUAAUAGUAAAGCAAACACAAAAGGAUUCAGUACUCGGUCCACUUCCCGUCCUUAUAACUCCCAUCGGUAACUCCUUCGGUUGACUGGCCAUCACCUUAUCCCUCCAGUGGUAGUACUCGAGUAUACCGGAACGGUUGUCCAGGGUUCCAACCUACCCGACCGAGCCCAGUCCUGGCUCGAGUAGGUCAGUAACCGAGGCAGGGCCCAAGUUCAGCUUAUAGCUUACAACAUGCACAGGUAACCAAGUAAUUCGACAAAAAGUAAAAUUCAUCAUUUGAAUAGGUCGAGUGAGGUAAAGUACACACUCGCCUAACAAUGAUGGACAACUUCAUAUAACAUGUGAUUCAUGAUAAUCAAGUAAUCAAGUGGAUACUUAGCACGUAAGCACGUAAGCAAUACAAGUUGAUUUCAUGGGAGCAUGUAAUUCACGGAUAUCGAAUAAUCAUAUAGAUUAGAAAUCAUGUGAGCAAAUAGUCAAGUAAUCAGGUAGUCAUGUGGGUUGGUAAACGGUUCACGGUUAACGGUUAACGGUUGACGGUUAAUGGUUGAGUAAUGACGGUUAUUUGGCAGGCAUUUGCCAUAUUAAUAGGCCAUCAUUGGCCGUUAUCCCAUUUUUACCAUGUGAGAGUCGAGGAGAUUCACUCCAACGACGUAUGCAACCAUAGCAUACCAAGUCAUGUUAUUCGAGCAUUUUCAAGCAUGGUAUGGUAAAUAUUUAACACAUAGUACUUAACACUUAGAAAUCAUGAAAUGAGCAUGUCCUAGACUUAUUCCAUUACGUAUUCCUAUAUGGAACACUCACCUAGUCAAACAAGCGCAAUAGGUCUCAAACAAGCGUUUUAGGCGUCCGCUCCGAAUUCCUCUUGGAGAUCUCCUUGAUUGCCUGAGCAAACAAUAAUUCAAGUACCACUCAAUAUCGCUACGAAUUCUCUAGUUUUCGAUGAAGAUUGUACGCUAGUGCAAUCUAAGAAAUUAACGCGGAGACGAGCCUAAGAAUUCGUGUAACUCGAGGUUCAAAAGUGGGGUUUUAAAACACAAGACAAAUCUGAUUUCCAUCUCUGGAUUCAAAUGUAAAACAAUCAAAUGAUAUUGACAGAAAUGAAGAGUUCGAAACCCCUUAGUUUCCUUUAAGUUAGAAAAUUCCAGAUUUAACAAGUAAUCUUUGAAAAAUCAUAUCUUACUCUCUACAGCCCAAAAUUGGAAAACUUGGUACUAUUGGAAACCUCUUUGAAAGUACUAAAAGUUCCUAGAAUACACUUUUCUAAGAUUCCACAUAGAAAACAUUCAAAAAUAAGCUCAAAGUCUCUGUUUUGGUUCAUAAGGCAGAUUUAAGUUGGUUUUUGGCCAACUUUGAAAACUCGGCAAAAUUCACUUGAUUGAAACUAGCCUUUGAAAUUUGUAACUCAAUUAGUGUUGUAAACCAAGAGUAUAACAAAAUAGACAGAAUGAGAAACAGAGUUUUGAGCACCAAGAUACGGUAGCUCAAAGUUACUAAAAUUUUCUUGUUAAACAAGGGUUUUCAAACUCAAGUCAUAAACUUUGGUAAUUUAUUUGAGUCAUGAAACGGUCUCGGAAUAACACCAUAACUAGCAGUAUAAUACUACCAUAUAAGGGUUGUCCUUAUACCAAAUUUCAUGGAAAAUAACUUCGGAAAGGUGGUCAAUCAAACACCUAAAAUUUCGCAAAUAGUAAGACAAAACUGCCUUGAACCUUUUGUUUUUCCAUUUCAGACAUUUGGUCAAAGAAAAAUCCCUCCAAACCUGGUUCAUUUGUUUAGGCAAAAUUUAAAGAACGUUCAUGGUACAUUUGGUAAGUGUUUAGCAUCAAAAUAUUCAUUUAGCAAGUCUUUGCCAAACCUUGCAUCAAAUCUGUCUAAAAAUCAGGGUUUUCAAGGACAGAGCAGGUUUCAUAUUUUGAUCACAGAUCACUCAAAUUAACUCAGAAUUUGGCAUGGUUUAAGGCGUUGGAAAGCACAUUCAUAGAGCUAUAAUUUCACAGAAGAAAUCAUUUUGAAAUUCAGCAUACAACUAGCUCUAAUUCGAGCCACAAGUUGCAGCCUCAGCAUUUUGUUCUUGUAAAACAGAGAAACAGAACAGCCGACUUAAAAUGGUUGGUUUGGCUCACAUACAUGGAACCAGAAUGUGCAUUUUAUAUCGUCGGAAAGGUUGGAAUGUCUAGUUUCAAAUGCCACUGACGGCACUCGAUUUUGACAUCGGAGCUCAAAAUUAUGGCUGAAAUACGAAAGCUGGUCAAAGCAUUUCGGAAAUAGUUCCAGAUUUACUAGCUUUGUGAAAUCAAUUUAUUUGACCAACCAAACCUCAAUAUUUUUCAAUGAAACUUUGUACACCAUAUAUUCAACAUAUCAACGUGAUAUACAAGUCAUGAAACCCUCAAAAUUUUGCAAAAAGGGGUGCGAUUAAAACAGGGCAAAUCUGAACAUUUUUGAACUAUGCAUCUCUUGGAGUCUAGACUAGCUAGGUAUCAUUAAUCUACCUAUUUAAACACUAACUAGCAUUAUAUCCAUCAUCAAUCCAAGGGUGGGAGUUCAUAGAGCCCACCAUCAAAAUUUUCCGACAUGAAAUAAAACAAAUAGCAUGUGAUUUUGGCAAAUAAUUCCACCACAAUAAAUCUGUCCUCGGCUAAACAGAAUUUCCAGCAGCUAGUUGGUCAUAAAUCCAACUUUUUACUCGGCUAAAACAUGAUAUUAAGUACUCAAUUUCGACAUGCAAAUACUUGACUAGCUAAUCAGAUCAUCCAAGUCAUUGUGGGAAUUCAUAGAGCCCACUCACCAAGUUUCCAUUAAAACUCAAAAGAGCCACCAUCGGCUAAGCUGGAAAAAAAAUUGCAGCAGCUAUGUUUCAACAUUUUUGGUCAAUUCAUCCAACGGAUCAAGUACUUUACAACUGAAUAUCUUACAAGACUUAAGACACAUAUAUUUCAUGCAUUUCUAAACAUUGUUUGCUAAUGAAAAAAAAUUCCAGAAACGACUGCAAAUUCUGGUUUCACUCCCUUGGCAAGUCACGUAAAUUUUCCAGCAUUUACUCAGUCACGAUCCAAUUUUUUUCUUCAGCUAAAACCUUGUAUUUUGCACUCAAAUCUCACAUGCACAACUACUGCACUAAUUAGCUAUCAAUUCCAGUCCAGAAAUCAGUUCGACAACAACAAGUUUCAUCCAUAAUUCCAGAAAUUUAUUCGGCUAGCCCCAGAUGAGGUUGCAUGCAUUAGAUUUCUGUUUCAUUAUCCAUUUCCUUGCUUAACCGAGCCAUUGAGUUGCAUGCAAAGCUUAAACACUUAGUUUUUAGUUGGUUAAUCACAAAUGCAAGCCCAGAUCAUCACAUUGGAGCAAAUUAAAAACUGCAUUUCCUAAUUAACUCACGGCAGUUUCCAUUUUCUUUCGAACCCAAAUUCUGGUAUCUUAAUUUUCAUCCAAACGUACAACUCUCACAUACAUGCCUUUAAACAGCUUCAUCUACCUAUAAACAACUCAUCUAAGUCCAGAAAUUACCUCAGCUUGAAGCUUAAUACACACGGCUAGUAGCUGCAACAAUCCUCCACCUUCGGCUGUCCAGAAUUGCAGUCCGCAACACUCCCUCUCCCCGACUCAAACUUGCGGCUGGAUUGGAGAAAGUUUGGCUCUCGGCUCUCUCUCUCUCUCUCUCUCUCUCUCUCUCUCUCUCCACCAGCUCACGGUAGAAUGAAGAAUGAACAGCAGGUCUUGCUCUUUUUUUUUAGCUUACGGCAGAAUGAAAAACAAAGCAAAGAAUCCGGCUCCCUCUUCCUCACUGUUGUCGAUGAUACCGAGGCAGAGAAAUGGAAGUGAAAUGGGGUUGUUGUGUUAGUGGAAUGUAUAUGUAUAUAUUGCGGUGUUUUAGUGAAGUUGAGUCAACAAUAAGAAUGGAGGGUGCUGGAAUAAGAAAUGGAAAUGGAACCGGCAGAAAUUGGAAAUGUUUGGAAUGAAGAUUGUUUAAUGUUUCCGUGGCUGCAUGGUAAGUCCAAGAUAAUGGAGGCCAAUUUGGUCUUUUCACUUUUCAUCCGAAUUCCACUUAAGCCCUCGAUUCUAAUCUAACUCCAAACAUUUACCCCGAAUGCAAUUUGAAUGCCUACUAGUAUACUCGUCUCGCAAAAAUUAAACUAUCGAGAUUUUAACGUCCUAAGUAUACUUAGUGUUCUUGUAACGAUUUUGUCUAAAAUUUAUCGACUGCAUUUUAAUACCAAGGUUCCUAUUAACCGUUAACAUUAUUAACGAUUGAACUUAGCUAUCGGAAUUUAAAGAAUUUAUUUUAAGGCAAUAAUAUUAAUCUAACUCUAGAAAUAUUAAUUUAGUGUAACAAAACCAAUUAAUUUAAUAUUUGGCACAAUUAUAUUAUUUUUCACAUAAAUUAUUAUUAUUAUUAUUAUUUUGUUUUAAUAACUCAAGAAAAUAAAAUAAAUUCAAAAUGUAUGUAAUUUCUCGAAUCGAUUAUUUAUUCCAGUCGCGUAUUUACUAUUUUCACCUAACGAGCCUUCAGAAAUUAAAUUUCGAAACGAAUCGCUUUAAAAAUAUAACUAAGCUAUGGAUACAUUUAAUUAGGCCUAAAAAGGUUAGAAAAUAAUAAUCGGAGAAAUCGGAUGGGUAAAUACUUAUUUGAGCCAAUAAAAUAAAUAAACUAAGCAAAAUUUUCGAGUCCUCACAAUGACCCCACCUCCCUUAGGGCGUACCCAGGGUUUGGCGGACCGCCUGCCCAACUCUCACCAGGACUCGUUCACUCUUAACAAAUAAAAUAAAAUAUAACCUCAAGAAUAAGUGAAAUAAUAAUUUUCAAACUUGGAACGUGUACUUACAUUCAUAUCUUUGCUAAACAUUCAGACAAUCCCAACUAUAACAAAAGUUGUGAAUUUCAGAUACAUUCAACCCUAACCGAGAACUAGCACGAGUGCUGUGACGCCCCACUUUUGCCAAGGGCGAACCCGAGGGUAUCGGCGGGACGCCUGCCUAACUCGCGCUAGGACUCAAAACACAAAGCUAAUAAAACUAUAUAAACCAAAAGAGUACUAUUCAUAAUAUAUUCAAUCCCAAAAGGGUAUUUACAUCCUCAAAAGGAGUUAUCGAGACUAUUACAGAACCAAGAGCAAAAGUAGACCCGAAGAUGGUUUCUUUAUACAGAUCACCAAAGUAAAAGAAAUAUCUUAGUUGUCCAACCAUUACAAACCAAACCUAACUACACUAGUGAUAGUGCAAAAGGGUUUCCCCGCGUCGUCCCCUGUUAAGGAAAACAAAGGAAAAGGGGUAAGCUAAAUGCUUAGUAAGUAAACGGGGAUAAAAGCGUAAAUAUCACAUUAAGAUAAACAACUAUUUCACAAAAUAACAAGUCAAGUGCAACAGUAACAAUACAAAUGAAGGAUACAGGUUGGCUCCAAAGCCACGUCAUUUGCCAUGUGUGACCUCCUGCCGACCCUCCGUCGACCACACUUAAGGUCCGUAAAACUCCACUUGUACACCCACCUAACACCUUAUCACCCUCACUGGCCAGUCGCCUCACAAAAUUCCUCGAGCGAACGAAAUUGAGCUUGGUUCACAAACUUGGUUCACAUUCUCGGUGAACCGGAUUCACAAACUUGGUGACCUCAGACUAGGUUGGACUGGUUUCGACCAAGCCGCGACUGACUCGAAUAGUCCAUCUAGGUCAGAAGAUCAACCCCAACUUACAAACGUCACCCCGAGCUACAAGCUCAAGGGGUUCAAACCCAAAAUAAUUCAUUUAGACAUAUCAUGUAUAAAUAUGCAUGAAAAUUAGGGUUUAGGUCGAGUGCGAUGAAGUACACCCUCGCCUAGGUACCCUUUCAUUUACCUCAAAACACAUAAGCAAGUUAUAUACAAAAACGGCCCGAAUACUUACUCAAAAAACAAAGAUAGCAAAAGUACGAAAAUCGCGUCGCAAAGGAUAGCUAGUAGGCCCCACCGGCUCCGUCUAGCUCACCACCAUCUGAAAUAAAAGAUUGCAUCACAUUAUAUCACAAACGGCUACUAACAUGCCUAAAACAAGCAAAACGGCAAAAUUGGCACAUGCAUGUGCGGAAACGGAAAUGGCAGCAUAACCGUUUUGGCGUCAAAACUGUUUUGAACACAAUCGAAGCUACGAGUGUCGGAUCAAUGUGCACAAGGUACCGUUGCGAAGCUAAUAGAAAGGGCUACAAUUUUUGUGAAGAUCAUUCAACCUAGAUCCCAAUGGAGCUAGAGUAAAAGAGCACAAAAUAGACCCAGCAGUUUGCACUCGGGUUACUAAACAGGCCUUGUUUGGAUGACCAUAACUCAUUGUUCACAAAUGAAAAUCAGGAAAUUCAAAAGGUAGUAGACAGCUAGAACAUAAGGGUCCAACUUUUAUGUUUUAGACAAAGUUUGAAUCAGUGUGGAUCAUAGAGAAAAACGAGUCCAAAGUUUAUGUCAGAAUUGGUCAACUUUAAAGGCAGUUCUGACGCCCGAUUUUGUUUUAGGUAUAACUGGAGCUACGGAACUCGGAUUUGGAUGCACUUUAUACCGUUUCGAAGCUGAAACUAAGAUCUACAUUUAUUAUGAAGGGGUCAACACUCAGUUCGCACGUUAUUCAGGCGAACCGAGCAUGGUCAGAGGCUAAAACCAAAAGCGUGACACAAUCCAGUGUUCAAAACAGGUACAAGUAUUUUGGCUAUAACUCGGGCUACACUGAUCCGUUUGACCUGAAAUUUUGUAAGCACAUUAAGAACUUAAGAAGCUACAACUUUCAUGUUUUGAGAAACCUCUGAAUCGCACGCAGCAUAAAGAAAAACAGAACCCAAGUUCGGAUUUGUGGACUGCCCUUUUUCCAGUUUUGCCGGUUUCGAACGUCGCAACUGCACAGUCCGUUUCUAUGGUUCUAAUACAAGCUUUCUAGCCAAACUCAUACCAAACACUACUACCUAUACCAGAUUCUAAAUGACCUACCAAUGGUCCGAAAUUUCUUCCCCAAAAUACCACAAAAAUUACCAAACACCAACCACAAUCUAGAAUCCAAUUUCACUAGUUUUUCACUCACUUCAAAAACCCUAACCAACUAAACCCUAACCAAGCUAAACUAACUUCCAUUUAUAUUAGGGUUUCAUAACCAAACCUGAUUUUAUUAAGAAUUCACCAUUCAAAUGAGAUAAUCACACCUAAAGUCCCAUUAUCAAGUUUAAUCACCAACCCAAUCAACUAAGAAAACCUAUAACAAGAAGCCCAAAUUUCUCUUGGUUUGACCGAAAUUUCAGCAGCAAAAUAUCACCAAGAUGAACCAUUAAACUCUAUAUAAUCACCAUCUAUAUCAUAUAAGAUCAUAAAAACAACAAAAGCAUCACUUUUCAUGGAUUCAAGACUUAAGCACCAAACUUUAACUUCCAAGAGAGAUGACUUACCUUCUAGUUGCAAGUUUCUUAGGUUGAUCUUCCAAAACUCAAGCCCCAAGUUGUUCUUCCAAGAUCCAAACUCAAGGUUGACGAACACAAAUGCAAGAAACAAAAGCUUUUCUCUUUUUUUCUUUCUCUCCCUCUCGGCUCUCUCUCUCUUUCUUUUCCUUUGGUUUGUUUUGUUUUUUGCCUUAUGAUUAUCUUACAAAUCCUGUGGUAUAAUAUAGUCAAAGCUUAUGGAAGAUAUUUUCUACUACCACCAAUCACAUAAAAGCUCCCAAUUUGCUCUCAAGCCCUUACACCUUCAACUUUGCAUUUGAUCCACUCUUGCCCUUAAACAUUUGAAACUCUUUCAAUUUACUCCAUAGGUUAUAACCUUAAUCUAGUCCAAAACAUGUAAUCACACUUAAUUGCUUCACUAAUCACUUUCCUUUCUUAAUCACCUAUACUUAAUCAUACCUUAACUCACAGAAAAGCAACUAAACAACAAUAUUUUUGUCAUAGGCAAAAUUAGGGUUUUAACCCAACUUAGAAUUCUAACAAAUCAUAUCACUAGAAAUUUUUCUAGUUUAAGGUUUUCCUAACUUCCAAACUCACUUAACCUAUAUAAAAUGGAUCAAAUCCUAUACUUACCCGCAAGAAAACACACACUAGUAUAACUAACUUUAACUACCACUCGAACUUAGGAUUAGUACAAAAACUAGGGUUUCAAUCCUAAUCCCAACUCAGGGUUUUCUAAUUAACCCUAAAACCCCAAAUUUUACCGCACAAAUAAUGAAUAUCACCUAAUAUCAAACUUGAUAACUGAUCGGGGUCUCACAACCUCCCCUACUUAGAAUAAUUUCAUCCUCGAAAUUAAUGCCUUUAUUCGUGAACCAUAAUUGCAGUGUUUACAAAAGUACGUGUCAUCAGGGUCUGUUAAACACUUGCGGUGCGCCGAUAAGAGAGAGCGUACCUUCGAUGACUGCCGAAGGGUCAGUCACCUCUUGUUGACCCAUUGCAUACACUCUAACUGGUCCUUUGGGUCAAUUUUCCCCUGUAUUUGUCGGCUUACGUCCCUCUUUCUGCAUCUUGGGGCAUUGGGCAAUCAGAUGUUCUGUACUACCACAUUUAUAGCAUUUUCGGAUGGAACUGUUCUUCCAACAGUUUUCCUCGGUGUGAUUGGCCCCGCAGAAACCACAGGUUGGCCUAGUUCCUGCAGUUAAUACUCCACGCUGAGCACCCUUCUGGGGCCCUUGCCCUACUUGAGCUCUCCCAAAAUUACCCUGGUUUAGGGUUCCUGCGGGUCGGGGACCAUCUGUUUCUCGACCCCUCUUAAAAGGUGGCUCACUUCUCGAACUCUGUCAGGUCGCAAAAUGGCUCGAAUCGGGUUGCCUCCUUUUCCGAUCAUGAAAGGCUUUUACUUGUCCCCUAACAGUCUCAAUCCGCCGUACUUUUUCUAGCGCUUGGCUAAACGUGUCCAACUAUGCAGCUGCUAGUGCCUCCUGGAUCUCCACAUUCAAGCCUUGGAUAAAACGGCGAAUUCGCUUUUGCUCCGUUAGCACCAAUUCCGGAGCGAAGCGAGAGAGUUUUGUAAACUGGGUUUCAUACUCCGUCACACUAGAUGCCCCUUGGCGCAGGCGGAUAAAAUCAUCCUCACGUCUCUCUUGCACGAUAGGAGGUAAAUAUUUUUCAUUAAAUUCUCGUGUAAAAUUGACCCAUGUCCAUGGGGUCUGUUCCCGCUCCCACUUGGCUCUAAUCACAUUUCACCAGGCUCGGGCGGCCCCCUCAAACUGAAAGACAGCAAAAGAUAUCUGCCGCUCCUCUGAAUACCUAAGCACGGCAAAUAUAUCUAACAUACGAUCCAACCAACCUUCCGCUAAGUCAGGGUUGGGUCCACCUAUAAAUUUUGGGGGUAUAAACUUUUGGAACCGUUCUAAGGCACGGUCCUCUCCCUCGUGAUUACCCAUAUUAUUUCCAGGGUUUCCGGCAUUACCUCCCUGGCCCUGAGCCUGUUAGUUAACCAUUCGUUCUAGCAGGUCAGCCAUUCGUUGGAUGGCUGUAGCUACCUGAUCUGGUUCAUUCUGUGACGCCCCACAUCUCCCUAAGGCGGACCAAAGGGUAUCCGCGGACGCCUGCCCAGCUCUCGCCAGGACUCAAGCAAUUCCAUUCAAUUUAAAACCGAAUUAAGCACUUCGAUGAGAGCAACAUGAAUACAAUAAUGCGGAAGCGUUCAAGCUUAAUAAGUCACUUAAUGUAUAACCAGUACAUCGGUAAUCAUAAAACGACUUAAAUUCAAAGUACACAUCAGGGCCCAAACCUUUCAAGUUUUCAAUUUCCAAAAGCACAACCCAAACCAGGGCCUAGUCAAAAUAUAUAACAGGAGUCUUAACAAAAUUACAACGGAUGGUUUCUCCAUAUUUCUCCAAGAGUCGGUCCUGUUAAGGAAAACAAAACUAUAGGGUGAGCUAACGCUCGUGAGGCCAAGAACACACAUGCAAUCACUUAGUCAAAUAACAAUCCCAAUUUAAUAAAUAAAACCAUGUCUUUUCAAUAAUCAAUUAUUCAAACAGGAAAAGUAAUCAGAAACAAUUCAAGGAUAUAGUAGCUCUCAGGAGCUAAAUUCCACUCGAUCUGUCGAUGUCAUUCGUAUACUUUCCCGCAUUGACCCUCCUGUCAACCGGGUCGGUAUUUCCAUUUCCGUAGAUCACCACUUUCUUCCCUCCGUCCACCGUACACCCCAAGGGCCCACAAUGACCAUAAUUGGGCGAUACUCAACGAGUAUGCCAAGCAAGACCUCUUAUUAGGUCGAGCUUAUGUGUAUCUCAUGGCUCGUCCAAAUCCCCGACCAAGCCCAUUGCUGGCUCGAGUCUAAGGACGGCCUAUGAGUUUGGGCGUCCCCCAUUCAUUUGGUAGUCGAGGAGAUUCACUCCAACGACACAAGCAUUCAUGACAUGACAUUGCAUUUCAUUCAUUCAUUCAAUACAUUUCAUUCAUUCAUUCAUUCAUUCAUUUGAAAUUAGAACGAGUGCGAUAAAGUACGCACCCGCCCUUAUUUUUAAAACUCCCAACAAGUAUCACAAUAAGCAAGUAUCAAAUUCAUACACUUGACACUCACCGAGCAAUUCAAUAAGAAUUAUUUUCUGGGAGUUCAAGUGUCCGCGGUGAGAUCCUCUUGAAGGUCUCCUUGCGCGCCUGGCAAUUUAAUAGUGGAUAAUCACACAAUUAACCCACUUAUCAAGAAAGAUUGUACACUAGUACAAUCUAAGAAUUAUUUCGAAAAAGGGAACCUCAAUUACACGUAAAUCGAGGUUCAACUUGCCUUUUAUCAUGUACAAUAUUAUUUGAGUUUUUAUCAUGAAAAUCGUAAACAAAACGUUUAAGAACAUCAAAAGAAUAAAGAGUUUUUGAAAAACUCUAUUUCUUUGAAAUUGGAAAAUUUUCCACUUUUACGAUAAUCUUUGAAAAAUCAUAACUCGCUCGGUAUAAGUCGAGAAUUGGAAAACUUUAUACCGUUGGAAACCUCUUAGAGAGUACUAUAAGUUCCUAGAAGACACUUUUCCAUGAAUCGAAGUGGAAAGUGGUCAAAAAUGGGCUUGAAGACGCAGCUUCAGUUUACAAGGCAGAAUGAAGUUGGUUUUUGGCCAACUUUGAAAAUUCGGCACGAUUCGCACGUUGCAAACCGGCCUCUGAAAUUUUCAGCUCAAUUAGUGUUGCAAGUGAAGUGUAUGACAAAACAAGCGGAUCAAGAAUCGGAGUUUCGAGUACCGAGAUACGGUAGCCCGAAGUUGGGGAAAUUCAAGACUGGAUGAGAAUUUUCCAGAUUUGAACCUCUAACUUUAGUAAUUCAAUUGGGUAUCGAAACGAACUUGAAUCGGCACCAAAAUUGGCAGUAUUUCAAUACUAUAUGGAAAGUAUCUCUCUAUCGAAUUUCGGGGAAAAAUACCUUCGGCAAGGUAGUUAAUGAGCCAACCGCAGUUCAAGAAAAUUCCUAAGGCAUUCUGCCUUUGACUUUCAUUUCCCAAAUUUCCAAUCGUUCAACCAAGAAGGUUAUCCAACCAUGGUUCAUUUGUAAAUAAUAGGGUCUAAGAUACACCCAUAAUAUCUUUGGUAUGUUUAAUAUCAAAAACAUCAACUAACAAGUUCACUACAAGAUUUGGUUCCAAACCAGUCCAAACAUUAGGGUUUUCCAAACAGAGCAGUCCACUUGCUUCAGUCACAAAUCAGUCAAUAUAGCUCGAAAUCGAGCAUAGCUUACGCCGUUGGAAAAUACAUUCAUAGGACUAAAAUAUCACAGAAGAAAUCAUUUCCAAAUUCGGCACCCAUCUGGUUCAAAUUCGGGCAUCAAGUUGCUGCCUGAACACUUCAUUCCAGAUGAACAGAGUGGCAGGACAGCGAACUUAAACAUUUGGUUCGACUUGGUCACAAAGAAUCAGAACGUGCAUUUUAUACCAAAUUAAAGCUAGGAAUGUCUAGUUUCAAACGCCACCAACGGCACAUGAUUUCGACAUCCGAGGACAGAGUUAUAGAAAAUACUACUGCUGGUCAGAGACAUACGCGAAUCAGUUUCCAGAUUUGCUGGUUUCGAAAAAAAAUUCAUUUGCUCCAUCAACCCUCAAUAUUUUCCAAUGAAAUUUUUCACACAUCUAAUACAUCCUAUAAACAUCCAAUUCAAGCCAUUAAACCAUUAAAAUUUGGCCUGGAAAUGGCCGAACAUAGCAGGGGCAAAAUCGGAAGUUUUAGCCUCUUACACCCAAUGAGUUUCCACUAAUUACCCAUCACUAAUGCAUCAUUAUAAUCACUAAACCAACAAUAUAAUCACCAUUAAUCAUCACAUCAGCAACAACAACCCAAGUGUGGGAAUUCCAAGAGCCCACAAUCACAUUUUUACACCAUAAACAAGUAACUAAGUGCAUGUAUGAGCUUAAUCUUGUCAUAUAAUCUCCAAAAGAUAAGAAUCCAAGAGUUGAUCAUUACCUACUCCUUUGGUUUGCAAGGUCAGAAUUUUCGGCCCUCUUGAAGCUCCAAGAAACCGUGAGAGUUCCCUUCCUCCUUAGCUAGAUGUAGUCUCCAAGUGGUUUGCUAAGAGAUCUCCAAGUUUGGUGUGAUUUGUGUGGAUUUUAGUGCAUGGAUUGAAGAUGAAAAAUGAAGACAAUGGAGAGCUCUUCUCCUUCUUGUUGUUCGGCCAAGUGAGGUGAAGAGAGAGAGAGUGCUGAUGCAAUUGGCUUCCAAAGGAAGAUUCUUUGUGUGGUGCAAAAUGCACCUCAAAGUCAACUGGAAAUAGUGCAAUUUAGGGUGCGUUUGGACUCGAUUUUUUUCUCGCGCGUUUGGUUCACUAGUGCACUAAACCUCCAAGGCAUAUAUAUUCUUGUAAAUAUUAUUCACUCUUAAUUGUCCCGGAAUAAGGUCUAAAGUCCCUCAAAUGAAGUCGCGCGUGUGAAAACGCGUACCGUCAAUUUUACCGCUAUAACGCGAAACUUUCGAAAAAUUCUUAUAACGAUUGCACCACUAACUAUCACUUGAAUAUUUAUACUUAAGAUUACCUAUUUUAGUACCAUAGUACAAGUCUCUAAUAUUCCAAACUUAUCGGGCUACUACGCGGAUAAAAUCUCCAAGUACUAUUCACUAUUUUUACUAAACGCGCUCUAGGAAAUUAAUUUUCGAAACGAAUCAUUUUAAAAAUAUAACGAGGUUAUAUUAUCAUGCGUUUAGGUCUCAUAAGACUAGAAAAUAUUCCUUGGAAAUAAAAUCCAAUUAAAUAAUUUAUUAAGCCAUAAAUUAGGCAUAAAAUAAUAGUUUUUGCGAGUCCUCACACAUUCUCAUUUCCUCCUUCGGGGCCUCUUCCUCGCCCUCUACCUCUACCACCCGAGUCCAUUACGGUUCAAAAGUCUAUAAAUUGAAACAUAACGUGUACUUAUUAUUCAAGCCAUGAACGAAAUAAAGAAUACAAAGCAUAUACACAAAGACACGCAAAAGAUAAGUGCAAAAGAUUAUGCUCAAAUAUAUACAUAUAUUUACAAAGUCACGCCAAAAGAUAUACAAGUUAUCCGACAUCCGGUUGGAACAAAACCCUUUAAAUACAUGAGCAUUCGGCUCCAAAAAUCUAGUUAGCCAGCAGAUAACCAAGGAACCAGCUAUACUGGUUAGAACAAAAACAUGUCAAAUGACCACAAGAGAAUCCAAACAAUGGCCCUACGCGCCUCCUCUAGGGCCCCAAUCCCUAACGGAACCUAGAGUAUCUACCUCGUCCAUCCACUCCGGGCCGGUAGCUCGUGGUGGUGCCUCCGCGGCCACAUCUAAUAGGACCUCACAGUCUAGCAUAAUACCUAUAGCCCUCUCCCUCAGCUGCCUCUUCAUUGCGAAGAGGUGCUGGUGUGUGUCAUGAAGCUGACGACGUAAAGCGUCCGUCCUCUCCACCUCAUCUCGGAGACCCUGCUCCAAGUCCCUAAUGCGCAAUGCCUGCCCGUGGCCAACCUCUCUAGCCUCCUCUAACUGUCUAGUCAAACGAUCGCAAGCCUUCUCCAAGCUGCGUCGCUCGUCGUCCACUGCCAGGAUGACCUCGUCAGGGUAGCCAUACGUAUAGCAACACUCACAGGGUCGACGCAACACCUGACCGAAGGGGAAUACAAAGUGUAGGGCUCUCCAGGACUCUGCCGAUAUCGGAUCACCCGUCUACGCAACACCCGGUCCUCCGGGCCCCUCGCACUCGGAGGUCUCAGUCCUGGUCCCACGCCACUAUGUCCAGCACCACUAGAACUGCCCGGAUCCAUACCUACAAAACAUUAAGUUGUCAGUUCACCGGCAUUUCAGCUUAAAAUAUAUCAUUCAACUUAAAGAGAAUCACGUAUUCCUAAUGCCUAUCACGUAUGUCCCACAAUUGCCCAAGUCCUCUAACCUAGCGCUCUGAUACCACCUAUGACGCCCCACUUCUCCAAGGGCGAACCGAGGGUAUCGGCGGGACGCCUGCCUAGCUCGCGCCAGGACUCAAAACACAAAGCUAAUAAAACUAUAUAAACUAAAAGAGUACUAUUCACAAUAUAUUCAAUCCCAAAAAGGUAUUUACAUCCUCAAAAGGAGUUAUCGAGAUUAUUACAGAACCAAGAGCAAAAGUAGACCGAAGACGGGUUCUUUAUACAGAUCACCAAAGUAAAAGUAAUAUCUUAGUUGUCCAACCAUUACAAACCAAACCUAACUACACUAGUGAUAGUGCAAAAGGGUUUCCCCGCGUCAUCCCCUAUUAAGGAAAAUAAAGGAAAAGGGGUAAGCUAAAUGCUUAGUAAGUAAACGAGGAUAAAAGCGUAAAUAUCACAUUAAGAUAAACAACUAUUUCACAAAAUGACAAGUCAAGUGCAACAGUAACAAUACAAAUGAAGGAUACAGGUUGGCUCCAAAGCCACGUCAUUUGCCAUGUGUGACCUCCUGCCGACCCUCCGUCGACCACACUUAAGGUCCGUAAAACUCCACUUGUACACCCACCUAACACCUUAUCACCCUCACUGGCCAGUCGCCUCAUAAAAUUGCUCGAGCGAACGAAAUUGAGCUUGGUUCACAAGUUCGGUUCACAAACUUGGUUCACAUUCUCGGUGAACCGGAUUCACAAACUUAGUGACCUCAGACUAGGUUGGACUGGCUUCGACCAAUCCCGAUUGGCUCGAAUAGUCCAUCUAGGUCAGAAGAUCAACCCCAACUUACAAACGUCACCCCGAGCUACAAGCUCAAGGGGUUCAAACCCAAAAUAAUUCAUUUAGACAUAUCAUGUAUAAAUAUGCAUGUAAAUUAGGGUUUAGGUCGAGUGCGAUGAAGUACACCCUCGCCUAGGUACCCUUUCAUUCACCUCAAAACACAUAAGCAAGUCAUAUACAAAAACGGCCCGAAUACUUACUCAAAGAACAAAGAUAGCAAAAGUACGAAAAUCGCGUCGCAAAGGAUAGCUAGUAGGCCCCACCGGCUCCGUCUAACUCACCACCAUCUGAAAUAAAAGAUUGCAUCACAUUAUAUCACAAAAGGCUACUAACAUGCCUAAAACAAGCAAAACGGCAAAAUUGGCACAUGCAUGUGCGGAAACGGAAAUGGCAGCAUAACCGUUUUGGCGUCAAAACUGUUUUGAACACAAUCGAAGCUAUGAGUGUCGGAUCAACGUGCACGAGGUACAAUUGCGAAGCUAAUAGAAAGGGCUACAAUUUUUGUGAAGACCUUUAAACCUAGAUCCCAAUGGAACUAGAGUAAAAUAGUACAAAACAGACCCAGUAGUUUGCACUCGGGUUACUAAACAGGCCUUGUUUGGAUGACCAUAACUCAUUGCUCACAAAUGCAAAUCAGGAAAUUCCAAAGGCAGCAGACAGCUAGAACAUAAGGCUCCAACUUUUAUGUUUUAGCCAAAGUUUGAAUCAGUGUGGAUCAUAGAGAAAAAUGAGUCCAAAGUUCAUGUCAGAACUGGUCAACUUUAAAGGCAGUUCUGACGCCCGAUUUUGUUUUAGGUAUAACUGGAGCUACGGAACUCGGAUUUGGAUACAAUUUAUACCGCUUCGAAGCUGAAACUAAGAUCUACAUUUAUUAUGAAGGGCUCAACACCUAGUUCGCACGUUAUCCAGGCGAACCGAGCAUGGUCAGAGGCUAAAACCAAAAGCGUGACACAAUCCAGUGUUCAAAACAGGUACAAGUAUUUUGGCUAUAACUCGGUUUACACUGAUUUGUUUGACCUGAAAUUUUGUAAGCACAUUAAGGACUUAAGAAGCUAAAAUUUCAUGUUUUGAGAAACCUCUGAAUCCGCACGCAUCAUAAAGAAAAAUAGAACCCAAGUUCGGAUUUGUGGACUGCCCUGUUUCCAGUUUUGCCGGUUUCAAACAUCACAACCGCACAGUCCGUUUCUAUGGUUCUAAUACAAGCUUUCUAGCCAAACUCAUACCAAACAAUACUACCUAUACCAGAUUCUAAAAGACCUACCAAUGGUCCGAAAUUUCUUCCCCAAAUUACCACAAAAAUUACCAAACACCAACCACAAUCUAGAAUCCAAUUUCACUAGUUUUUCACUCACUUCAAAAACCCUAACCAACUAAACCCUAACCAAGCUAAACUAACUUCCAUUUAUAUUAGGGUUUCAUAACCAAACCUGAUUUUAUUAAGAAUUCACCAUUCAAAUGAGAUAAUCACACCAAAAGUCCCAUUAUCAAGUUUAAUCACCAACCCAAUCAACUAAGAAAACCUAUAACAAGAAGCCCAAAUUUCUCUUGGUUUGACCGAAAUUUCAGCAGCAAAAUAUCACCAAGAUGAACCAUUAAACUCUAUAUAAUCACCAUCUAUAUCAUAUAAGAUCAUAAAAACAACAAAAGCAUCACUUUUCAUGGAUUCAAGACUUAAGCACCAAACUUUAACUUCCAAGAGAGAUGACUUACCUUCUAGUUGCAAGUUUCUUAGGUUGAUCUUCCAAAACUCAAGCCCCAAGUUGUUCUUCCAAGAUCCAAACUCAAGGUUGAUGAACACAAAUGCAAGAAACAAAAGCUUUUCUCUCUUUUUUUCUUUCUCUCCCUCUCGGCUCUUUCUCUCUUUCUUUUCCUUUGGUUUGUUUUGUUUUUUUGCCUUAUUAUUAUCUUACAAAUCCUAUGGUAUAAUAUAGUCAAAGCUUGUGGAAGAUAUUUUCUACUACCACCAAUCACAUAAAAGCUCCCAAUUUGCUCUCAAGCCCUUACACCUUCAACUUUGCAUUUGAUCCACUCUUACCCGUAAACAUUUGGAACUCUUUCAAUUUACUCCAUAGGUUAUAACCUUAAUCUAGUCCAAAACAUGUAAUCACACUUAAUUGCUUCACUAAUCACUUUCCUUUCUUAAUCACCUAUACUUAAUCAUACCUUAACUCACAUAAAAGCAACUAAACAAUAAUAUUUUUGUCAUAGGCAAAAUUAGGGUUUUAACCCAACUUAGAAUUCUAACAAAUCAUAUCACUAGAAAUUUUUCUAGUUUAGGGUUUUCCUAACUUCCAAACUCACUUAACCUAUAUAAAAUGGAUCAAAUCCUAUACUUACCCGCACGAAAACACACACUAGCAUAACUAACUUUAACCACCACUCGAACUUAGGAUUAGUACAAAAACUAGGGUUUCAAUCCUAACCCCAACUCAGGGUUUUCUAAUUAACCCUAAAACCCCAAAUUUUACCGCACAAAUAAUGAAUAUCACCUAAUAUCAAACUUGAUAACUGACCGGGGUCUCACAAGUACAAUCGCAAAAUUUCCAAAAAUUAGACUAUGCUAACCUGUACCAGUCUCACGCCUCGCUCGUACCCCUAUAAGGAAAACAAAUGGCGUGGAAUGAGUUAAAAGCCCAGUGAGAUUCCCAAACAAGUAAUCAGGUAUAGAAAUCUUGGAAAUGUUACAUUUAACAAUUUGUACAUUUUGCACUGUAAUAUCCAGUCAUUCAAGAAAUAAACACUCAAUCAUUGGAAGGAUACGUGCUCACUUGGUGCCAUUCAUUCAAGUCAUUCAUUCAUUUGCCAAUCAUUUUCCUCAUCCCUCCGACAUUAGAAAACAUUUGCAAGCGAAAACUCCUCCAGUGUUCUUGACAUUCAUUCAUUUAUUUCAUUUCCCGCCACUAGCCAAUUCACUGGCCAGUCUCCACCAAUUUUUGUGGUCAUACUCGAGUAUACCAAAACACUAUCCCAGGGUCACCAACCGCCCGACCGACUCCGCUUCUGGCUCGAGUCGGCUGGCAACGAAGGGCAAGGGCCCAAUUCAGCCAAAAGGCUUACAUUCAUGCACAAGUAGCAUUCAAUCAUUGAAAAUUCACUUUGGCUUGGGUCAAGUGCGAUAAAGUACACACUCGCCCAUCGAAAAUCCAUUUAGUAAUCCUUAGAAAGCAGUUAACAUUCAAGCAACAUUCACAAAUAGUCACAUAGUCACUUAUUGUACAGACACACAAGGAACACUCACCAAAGAUUUUGUGCUUGUCAAAAUCACAUUCAGGUGUAACUCCUUGGUUGGAGUUCAAAUCUGCGAUACAAUAUCAUUUAAAAGCUUGAAAUCAACUAGGGUUCGAAACUUAAGGGUUUCGCUUUAAACAGAUCAAGUAAAUGAAACUCAUUUAGAUAGAAUUCAUGUUACGUAUCAAACUCUAGAAAAUUCAAACUCGCUUUUUGCGUGUUGCUAAAGAAGCAACUAAAACUUUGGAAUUCGCAUUUAAGUCCAAAAGACAAGAAAAACAUAUUGCGAGUGGUCACUACUUUCCAAGGGUACGAGUUUCGGCCAAAUUUCAGCUUAUAUACCUUUACGAAAGAAGACUCGAAUACCAUAGACAAUCCAAGUUCAAUUCGACCUCAAAUCUUUGUUCAAGUUGCGAGUACACAUUCCUAACCCUCGAGUGAAAAUUUGGGCGGCAUGCCCUUUGUAUUUAGCUAUUUUCCAACCAUUUAUGGUUUCAUUAUUUUUUUCAACUCAGCCCAAAUUCACACAUAAACAAUCUUAACAUAAUAGCACUUCAAUAGGCUCAAUGUCAUCCCAAUACAAGGCAAUUCUAGCAAUGCAACUAUCAAAAUCAAAGCUGGAACUAGUACUAAAGAAGAAUAACUAAGUAAUAGGUUUUACAUCUUCCGGUGUUUUGGUCACAGUUGAAGCUACGCUUAUCGGAUUGGGUUACAUUUUAUGGCGUUUCGAACCUAAGAUAGAGAGCUACAUUUCUUAUGAAGACAUCAACACCCAGUUCAUGCAUUUUCAAGGUCAAAAUGUGGAAUCUCAGAGAAAUCAGAAAGCUGCCUGUGAAAUAGGGCUUUUGGCAGUCAGGGGUAUUAUAGUCAUUUCACAUGUUACAGUACUUCGAUUGAGCUGAAAUUUUACAAGUCAUUCCCUACAACUUUUAUGUUUUGAGCAGGACCUGAUUCAAUCUCUAUCAUGGACGAAUAUGUAGGUCAGAAACAGGGAAGAUUCAUCCUCAAAGCUGGAAUUUCACUUCUACUCUAAUAAUUUAUAUUCUAGCUCAAUACUAUCAAGUCCUAUAUCAUCAAAACCAUCAAUUACUAGCUCAAUACCAUUAAUUACUAGGUAAACAACUAUAAUCAAGGCUAAAAAUGCAAACCCUAGCUAACCCUUCCAUUAUACCAUCCAAAACUGAAUCAUUAACCAUAAUAAGCCAAGAACAUAAGCUUCUAUCCAAAUUUAAACAAGAUUAAGGAAGAGAAAAGGAAAGGCAGCCAUGAUACCUUCCAAUAAUUGCUUGUAAUGAAAACCACACCCCUUUCUUUCAAAACUUUUACCACACAAAGCUUUCCAACCACCAAAAAAGAAGUUUAAUCGGUUUAGAUUUUUGGUUCCAACUCAAACAAGUAAGAUCAAGGUGGACAUGGAAGGUUUCUCCUCUCUUGUUUUUCUCUCAAGAAUUUUGGCCAACAUGAAGGAAAAUGAAGAAAAAUGAUCCAAGAAGAAAGAUAAGAAGGAAGGAAAAUCAAUUGGUCAAAGUUUCAUGGAUUGCCAACAAGUGUCAACUCAAGAUGGCUUCUUAUUUUUUUCCUUUUCUCCCUUUUCUUUGGUCCAAAAUUUUGGCUGAUUUAGGAGAUAUUUUAGGGUUGAUUUUACUCAAUUCAUAAAAAGGAGAUUAAGGUAAUAAAGUAGUGUUCAAGUGGUGCACUCAAUCAGUAGUAAACGGUGUACGUCGGUUCAAACCGUUUUCCCUUAACUCGCGCGUACUUGUGUUUUUAUUUAUGGUUCACUCAUUUAUUAUUAUCACUUCUAAUCACACACUUUUUCUUAUCCAAAACUCACUCUUAACCAUGAAAUUUAGUACACACACCUCACCAAAUGAUCACACGACCAAAAUGCACCAAAAACACACCAAAAACCCUAGUAUGCACAAAAACCCCCUAACUUAUGCCCUUACUUUAGAAAAAUCAUAACUUGAGUUAUAAAUAUCAAAAAUUCAUACAACUUGGCUUGUUAAAAACUAGACUUCAAAUACUGAUAAUCUUUAGAAGACACCUCAAAGAAAUUCAUCUCAUAAGUUGGUCCAAAUUGAGGCAUAAGCUACUACAACAUUCCUAUGUUUACUUGUGCAGGGCAGAAUUUUCAGUCAACUUUACCAAUUUUUUGGAAUUUAUAGAGAUUGAAUCAAACUCUAAAUUUUACAUAGUAGGAAGAUCUAUGAGUGUAGUUUCAAACGCAACAAACAGAACUCAAUUCCAACUUUUCUAUACGAAGUUAUAGCCAAUUUUGCAAAGCUGCGCAGAGCCUCCUGUGAAAAUUUAUAGAUUUUCUAACAACUUGAGAUUAUGAAACUUUUCGUAACAAAAUUCAUUCCCUUGACUCAAAUUCAACCAUUAAAGCAACCAAGAAUCAAAGGUAAGUGAGUUCACAUAAGGGUUAUAAAGACAAGUAAAAUUUCGGGGUCUCACACUCUCUCCCCCUUAAAAGAAUUUCAUCCUCGAAAUUCGAACCUUUGCUCGCACAAAACUUGAUGUUACAGGAUUUUCCUCCAAUUCCUAAGUGGCUUUCUCUUACUCAUAGUACUGCCACAAACUUAACUAGAGGGAAAAUCGCACCAACGUAAUGGCCAAGUUGCAUGCUAAGGAAGUUCAAUGAAGGCGUCAAAUUGUGCAAAGUGAUAUAAAUUUAAGAACUCGAUGAAAAGGAAAAUUCGUAACUAUGAAACUUGCUUACCACUCUUGCCUACCAUCCAUACCUCUUUUGAAAAUAGAUUUAUAGGUAUAAGCAAAAUAAAGUAGUCAUAAAGUUCUAUAAAGUAUUUCCAAAUCAUAAAUACCUAUGAGUUUCAAAAACUCUCAAUCUCGGCACGAUAAUAAUCAAAAUCAAAUUUCUAUGCGGUAUCGUAGAAGGGUAGAAAAUAGAAAAUAAAUAGUCAAUCAAGACUUAAAAUGAGUUUAAAAGAAAUACAUGUGUAACCAUAAUCAAAUCGUAGCAAAAUCAUAGAGACAUGGAACAAGGAUACACAUGUACGGGAGAAAUGAAACAAGUUACAAUACUAGCGCCUUAACGUUCACGACGUCCACAAACUAGCCAUCAUCCCUAGAAACCCUAACCAAACAUACACGAAACCAAUCCAUGACAACACUCAUUGCUCCACUCUCCUUGAUCAGUUCAAUCUCAAGUCCACUACUAGAAUCUUUCACACCUUGACGUUUACCAUCCAAAUUUAUCUCAAGUUCAAUCGAGAUAUAGACCCUUAUUCUAGUGCUAUCCACUUUUGGUACUCAAGUACGAGAAUCCAUAAUAAGAUAAUUCACAACUCGAGUCGGCCUGUCCCAGGAGUAAAUCACCCCUACUAGAUAUUCCUACCUGACGUACAUAUAUAUCUUCCCCAAAUACCAUGAUAAGGGAUUUUCACUUAUAACAGGCACGAUUCAUAGCUUACGUCCAAGAAGAGCACUUAGUCCUUUACCCUUAUUCACAUAAUCGGGACCAUAUCACCACUUGGCCCGAGCUCACUCCACGCAGAGACCAUGCGAAACAGCUCUGAUACCAUCUAUGACGACCCCACCACCCCAUAGGGCGUACCCCAGGGUUUGGCGGAUCGCCUGCCCAACUCUCGCCAGGACUCGUUCACUCUUAACAAAUAAAAUAAGAUAUAACCUCAAGAAUAAGUGAAAUAACAGUUCUCAAACUUGGAACGUGUACUUACAUUCAUAUCUUUCCCAAACAUUCAAACAAUCCCAAAUAUAACAAAAGUUGUGAAUUUCAAAUACAUUUAACCCUAACCGAGCACUAGUGCGAGUACAAUUGCCAAAUGUUCAAAAACUAGACUAUGCUAACCUGUACCAGUCUCACGCCUCACUCGUACCCCCUGUAAGAAAAACAAAUGGCAUGGAAUGAGCUAAAAGCCCAGUGAGGUUCCCAAACAAGUAAUCAGGUAUACAAAUUAGGGAAACGUUACAUUUAACAAUUUGCACAGUAGCUAAGUCUAAUAUUUUGGGCUUGUAGGGGGUUUGGAUGGUGGACGGAGAUUGUAGCUAAGUGGUGCUCUAUUGGACUGGUUACUUUGCUUGAAAGUUGACGGAGUGUCAACUACUACUUGAUCAAGCUCUGGUGAAGCAAUGGGAACUUGGCUCCUGAGAGCUUUCCGUAUCCUUAUACUUUGAAUGAUUAUUGUUUAUUAGAUUAUUGUUUCUUUUGAAAAAAAAACACUUUACACUCGAUCAUUUUGAGAUUUGCUACUUGAAAUAUUAUUGCUCACUUUUAUGGACUCGUUAUGCUCGUUAUUUUCCUAUUCUGAUACUUUCACUUCUAAAUAAAGGUCGACUUGCUAUUUGAAAUCUCACUGGGCUUUUAGCUCAUUCCACGCCAUUUAUUUUCCUUACAGGAGGUACGGACGAGGCGUGAGACUUGUACAGACUAGCGUAGUCUAGUUUUUCUGAAUUUUGUAAUUGUACUCGCACUAGUUGCUCGAUUAGGAUUGAAUGUAUUUAGAACUCCAAUCUUUUGAUGUAUUUGGAGUUGUAUGGAUGUUUGAGACAAAAAUGAAUGUAAUUGUACUUUCCUAAGUCGGUAACUAUUAUUUCCUUUAUUAUUGAGGUUGUACCCUAUUUGAGUUGGAGUGAGUGAGUGAGUUCUGGCAAGAACUGGGCAGGCGGUCCACUAAACCCUAGGGUACGCCCUAGGGGGAAGUGGGGUCGUCACAGAUGGUAUCAGAGCUCUUAUCGAGCUCGUGCCGGGAGAGGGUUCUCGGACUAUGGGGAUUGGCUUAUUAAGUGUGGAACAAUUGUCUAUUGUUGGGAACAUUAGAUAUGUAUGUUGGGUAGGAAUCUCAAAAGUGGUUGAUUUCCCUUGAGCCUGGCCAGCUCGAGUGGCGAAUUAUCAUAUUUUCGAAUUCUUAUACCCGAGUACCAAAGAGUAAUCCCAUUAUGAUAAGUUAAUAUCUCGAGUAAUAUUAGGAUAAGUUUAGAUGGCAAAUCCAAAGCACGGGGAAUGCGAAUAGUUUGAACUUGGGAUAUAUUGAAGAUAUUAAUGAGAAUUGGGACCCUUAGUAUGCAAGUUUACAUACCUGGUUGUACUUUUUCAAGUUUUGAUUAUGUAUAGUGCCUGAGCAAUACCUAGGGUUAAUGUCCCAUUGGCUAUGUGACUAUAUAUAUAAGGAGAGUGUUUAUUUUAAAUGUGCUCUAUUGUUUUCACUUUAGAAUUUAGAAAUGUUUUUAUCGAACUUUAUAGCUACUUUAUUUUGCAUAUACCUCUAUAGUCUAUUUUUGUUUUUUUUUUUCAAAAGAGGCAUGGAGGGUAGUAUGUGUCUAGAGAUUUAAUUGUAGUCAUGAGAGGAGAUGUACUUUGAAGAUUAUUUGCCAAUGCAUAGUGUUUUAUUUCACGAUUUAGCAAGAGUAGUAACCAAGUUUCAUAGUUAUGAAUUUUCCUUUUCAUCAAGUUCCUAAAUUUAUAUCGCUUUGCACAAUUUGACGCCUUCAUUGAACUUCCUCAGCAUAUCAACUUAGCUAUUACGUCGGUGAGAUUUUCCCUCUAGAUAAGUUUGUGGCAGUACUAUGAGUCAGAGAAAGCCACUUAGGAAUUAGAGAAAAAUCUUGUAACGUCAAGUUUUGUGCGAACAAAGGUUCGAAUUUCGAGGACGAAAUUCUUUUAAGGGGGAGAGAGUGUGAGACCCAGAAAUUUUACUUGUCUUUUAUAACCCUUAGGUGAACUCACUUACCUUUGAUUCUUGGUUGCUUUAAUGGUUGAAUUUGAGUCAAGGGAGUGAAUUUUGUUAAGAAAAAUUUCAUAAUCUCAAGUUGUUAGAAAAUCUAGAAAUUUUCGCAGGAGGCUCUACACAGCUUUGGGAAAUUGGCUAUAACUUUGUAUAGGAAAGUUGGAAUUGAGUUCCGUUUAUUGCGUUUGAAACUACACUCAUAGGGCUUCCUACGAUAUAAAAUUCAGAGUUUGAUUCAAUCUCUAUAAAUUCCAGAAAAUUGGCAAAGUUGACUGAAAUUCUGCCCUGCACAAGUAAACAUAGGAAUGUUGUACUAGCUUAUGCCUCAAUUUGGACCAACUUAUGAGCUGAAUUUCUUUGAGGUGUCUUCUAAAGAUUAUCAAUAUUUGCAGUCUAGUUUUUAACAGGCCAAGUUGUGUGAAUUUUUUAUAUUUAUAACUCAAGUUAUGAUUUUUGUAAAGGAAGGGCAUAAGUUAGGGGGUUUUUGUGCAUACUAGGGUUUAUUGUGUGUUUUUGGUGCAUUUUGGCCGUGUGAUCACUUGGUGAGGUGUGUGUACUAAAUUUCAUGGUUAAAAGUGAGUUUUAGAUAAGAAAAAGUGUGUGAUUAGAAGUGAUAAUAAUAAGUGAGUGAACCAUAAGUAAAAACACAAGUACGUGUGAGUUAAGGAAAAUAGGCUUGAACCGACGUGCACCGUUUGCUACCGAGUGAGUACACUACUUGAACAUUACUUUAUUACCUUAAUCUUCUUGUUUUUAAUUGAGCUAAUUAGCCCUUAAUUAUUCCAUAAGUCAGCCACCAUUAUUGACUAAGGAAAAGGAAGAAAAGAAAACAAAAACAAAGAAAGAUCUUGAGCGACAAGUGUCGGCAAUCCAACGGUUGUUUGACUAAGACAAGUUUCUUUCUUCUUGGCCAAUUUUACUUCAUUUCUUACUAGCAUGGCCGAAAUUUUGGAGAGGGAAAGAGAGAAAACAAACUUCAACUCCAACCUUAGAUUUUACCUUGUUUGAGUGAAAUCAACCGAACUAAACCGAUUAUACUUCUCUUUUGGUGGUUGGAAAGCUUUGUGUGGUAAAGUUUUGGAAGGAAAGGUUGUGGUUUUCACUUGCAAGCAUCCUUGUGAGGUAUUAUGGCUGUCUUUUCUAUUUCUCUCCCUUAAUCUUGUUUAAGUUUGGCUAGCAACUCAUACUCUUGGCUAAGGAUGAUUAUUUAAGUAGUUUUGAUGAAUGUGGUGGAUUUUUGAGCUAGGGUUUAAGUUGUUCAGUUGUAUUUCUUGUUGUUUAUAUAGCAUAUGAUGUUUAUAAACUUGGAUAGGGAGUUGGGAUAGUGGUUCAAGACAUGAAUGAGAAUUUUAAACUUCGAAUUCAUCAAAUUUCCAGCUUUAAGAUUGACACUGUCCUGCUUCUGACCUGUUUAAUUCGUCCAUGUUAGAGGUCGAAUCAGGCUUAGGUCAAAACAUGAAAAUUGUAGAAAUGCUGCCUGUAAAAUUUCAGCUCAAUCGGAGCACUGUAGCAUGGAUAUGACAAAAAUACCCUUGACUGCCAAAUGUACUGUUUUGCGGAUAGUUUUGAGAUUUCACAUUUUUUGCUUCAUUUUUCACUUUGAUCCGUAUCAAAUCAGCCUUUGGUUAAAACAUGAAAAUUUUACCACUAUUUUUCAGCUUUCCAACGCAUCUGAAAAUGCCUCAAUCGAAAAUUUGUAGUUUGAGUUAUUGUCGUUCAAAUCCAAUGCUGACAUUGAAAUUCUGGUUCUGUAAUCUACAAAUUUGACCUAGAUCAAAUGUGAACUGGGUUGACAUGUCUCCAUAAAAGUUGUAACCCUUUAUCUUAUCUUCGAAACAAUAUAAAGUAUACCCCAAUCCGAUAAAUGUAGCUCCAGUUGUGACCAAAAUGCUAUAUGAUGUCAAAUCUGCUGUUUAGCCUUUUGUCUUCAAAACUGAUUUCCGAUUGUAUUAUUAGACUUGUGUUAUAAUUGGAUGAUUUUGGAGCCUAAUUGAAGGACUAUGAUGGUAACAUUGCUUGUGUGUGACUUUGGGGCUGAUCUGAGAAAAAUAAUGAAGCCAUAAAUAGUUGAAAAAUAGGUAAAUACAAAGGGCGUGCUGCCCAAAUUUUCAUUCGAGGACUAGACGUGUGUACUUGUAGUUUGAGCGAGGAGUUGGGGUUGAAUUGAGUUUGAAUUGUCUAGGUUAUUCAAGUCCUCUUUCAUGGAGGUAUGUAAGCUAGAAUUCGGCCGAAACUUGUACCCUUGGAAAAAUGAAAGUAACGACUAAUAGAAAUACGUUUUCCUUGUCUCUUCGACUCAAAUGGUGAUUUCAAAGUUUAAUCGCUUCAAAGUUUCAAAGUUUUAAGAGCGAGCAUGAGUUUUACGAAUAUUCUCCAAAUGAGUUUCAAUCACUUGAUUCUCGUUAAACGAAACGUUUAAGUUUCGAACCUUAGUGAUUUCAAAGCUCUUAAACAAUGUUUUAUCGCAGAUUUGGACUCCCAACAAGGAGUAAUACCUGAACGUGAUCCGUAGAAACACUACAUCUUUGGUGAGUGCUUCCAAAUACCUGAUUGAACUUGACACUUGUUUUCAAUACUUGACUAAUGUGAUCGAAUGAUAUUUGAUUGGUAUGAUCGGGUAAGGGUAUACUUUAUCGCACUUGCUCUAAUGUGAUAUGUAUGUGUUUAUUGAUGCAAUUGACUUGAUAUACUUGUACUUGAUUUGUAAGUGCUGGAGCGGCAGCAUGUACCACACUCAAUCAGAGUAGGAGGUGCCUCUCAUUCCCAUCUCCGUACUUUUACCUUGAUUCAGUCGAUCGAAGAUGAUAUCUCAUCGAAUUCUUGGGGACCCAAACCCCAUUGGCUAGUUAAUCGAGUCGAGUCGGCAAGGGUUUGGUUGAUUAGAUAACGAACCAUGGGUAUCUAGUGUUAUCGAGUGGAGUGUUAUCUCCUUAACUAAUCGGUAUGCUCGAGUAUUACCACCAAUGUUUAUUGAGGAUUUUGGGCCCAGUAGGGGGUUUGGAUGGUGGACGGAGAUUGUAGCUAAGUGGUGUUCUACUGGACUGGUUACUUUGCUUGAAAGUUGACGGAGUGUCAACUACUACUUGAUCAAGCUCUGGUGAAGCAAUAGGAACUUGGCUCCUAAGAGCCAUCCGUAUCCUUCUACUUUGAAAUGAUUAUUGUUUAUUGGAUUAUUGUUUCUUUUGAAAAAAAAACACUUUACACUCGCUCAUUUUGAGAUUUGCUACUUGAAGUGUUAUUGCUUACUUUUAUGGAUUCGUUAUGCUCGCUAUUUUCCUAUUCUAAUACUUUCACUUCUACAUAAUGGUCGACUUGCUAUUUGGAACCUCACGAGCUUUUAGCUCAUUCCACGCCAUUUGUUUUCCUUACAGGGGGUACGGGCGAGGCGUGAGACUUGUACAGACUAGCGUAGUCUAGUUUUUCUGAAUUUUGUAAUUGUACUUGCACUAGUCUCUCGAUUAGGGUUGAAUGUAUUUAGAAACUCCAAUCUUUUGAUGUAUUUGGGGUUGUAUGGAUGUUUGUGACAGAAAUGAAUGUAAUUGUACUUUCCUAAGUCGGUAACUGUUAUUUCCUUUAUUAUUGAGGUUGUACCCUAUUUGAGUUGGAGUGAGUGAGUGAGUCCUGGCGAGAACUAGGCAGGCGGUCCACUAAACCCUAGGAUACGCCCUAGGGGAGGUGGGGUCAUCAUAAAGAUUAUCAUCUUGCUACUCGUGAAAAGAUUAAGGAUACACGAUUUACGUGAUAUCUAUUGUGAAAAAGGUUUUACAAUUCUUAAAAGCGGGAUGCAGAAGAGAUUUCUGGAGUUUUCGAACUAAGGUGAGAAUUUCGAGGAUGAAAUUCUUUUAAAGGGGGAACGAUGUGAGGGCUCUACAAAUUUUUACUAUUUUUAAAAGGUAAAUAAUAAUGAUGAAAAUAUUUAAAUUAUGUGAUUUUUCCAAAUUUUUGGUAUUCUCAUCUAUUAAAAUGUCAUUUUACAACUUGGUUGAAUUUUUAUUAUUAAUUGCCAAUUAUCAUUUGGCUAGCAUUAAGUGUGAAACUUUGGAGUGGUGACAUGGAACUUAGUCUUAAGAUGAAAUCUAGAGCAUGUAAAGGCUUUAAAGAAAUAGAAAAAUGAUAGGAUAAUGUUAGAUGAGAAAAAUCUAGUUAAGGACAAGAUGAUGCACGAGGACAAGACACAUAAGCGAGUAGGUGAGGUGGCCCACCUACCACACUUUAAAAGAAGAAACUAGACUUGAGAGCUCAUUCUCUUUCCUCCUCCAUUUUGUUUUUGAAGAUCACUUGGGGAAAACCAUCAACCAUCACAAUUUCUCUUCUCCUUCUUUUCCUUUUCUUUUAGAGCCAAGAGAGAGAGAGAGAGAGAGAGAGAGAGAGAUCAACCAAGAGAGAAGGGACACCAUCCAUCUUGCUCCUUGUAGAUUUGUGGAAGAAAUCACUAAAUAACCUGGAAGGUUUGACCUUUCUUGAGCAAACUUGAAGGGGUGAAUCUUGGAAAGAAGUUUUGAGGUUGAAUCACACUAGAUCUAGUAAGAUCCUGAGAUAAGAAUAAAAAAUCACCCUUAAUCUUUAAUUUCUAGCCAUGAAAAUGUUAGAUUCACUUGAUUUAAGUAAGAUCUAUGCUAGAUCUAGUAAAUUUCUUGAAACUAUACCACUAGAUGUUCUAGUAGUUAAAAUACUUGCAUAGCUCUUGAUUUGAUUGGUUGGAUUUAUUUGGAAAUUUUCCAUUGAUAACCAAGGGUUAAUAAUUGAUGAAACCCUUGAGGAUUUGAGUUAUAUUUCUAGUGAUUUAUUGGGGAAAAUGGAAGAAAUCACUAUGUCCACUAAGUGUUUGAUCUUUAGUUGAGGGUUAUGUAUGUGCAAAUUUUCAUGAUUUUUCUUGCUAAGAAUCUCGGCAAUAUAUUGUUUGAUGUGUUCAUGGAUUUGUUAUGGGAAAAUUAGAAAGAUUUGAUGGAGAAAUAUUUGGAAAAUUCUGCCUUUACUGUCCAAAACAGGGGAAGAUAUUCCAGCCUUGAUUUCCACUUUUUCUUAAUAAUUUUGGGCAAGUUCUUGUUCAAGAAACUUGUUAACACAUCACUCUUUACUUGUAUGUUGAAUUUGAACCAAAACUAUGAAUUUCUUCCUUGUUUUAUUGUUGGAAAGUUUGCAAAAUAAACUAAAACUCAGAGAGCAUUUUCAGUCAAAUUUUCAGAUUUUCUGGUAUUAAUUGAAAACGAAUUAGAGUCUAAAUUUUAUACCGUUGGAAAGCCCUUUGAGUCUAGUUUCAAGCGCAACCAAAGGCAUUCGAUUUCGAUUUUUCUACAUUGAGUUAUAGCCGUUUUCCCAAGACUGCUCAAAUGCCCUGAUAUGACGCGACAGUUUUCUUGUGCCUCUGUGAUCUCUAUUUUUUACCACGAAAAUGCAUGAACAGAAUUUAGAUGUCUUCAUAAAAACUAUAGAUCUAUGUCUUAGUUUCGAAACUCCAUCAAAUUCAUCUGAAUCUAAUAAGUGUACCUCCAGUUAUGAUCAAAAUGCCGAGAGGUGUCAAAGUUGUCACUUUGAUUUUUCUCCUUUGCACUCUUUCCUUCACUUUUCUUGGUUCAAUUUAACAUUUUUCACUCCAUAUUAUACCUGAACCAUUGACCUAACAAUGUACAUGGAUUUUUCCUUUGGAUUUAGCUUGAAAAAUAUUAUUAUUUUCAUAACUCGAGCUUACUGUUUAUAGGAGUGAUUGAAGACUGUGUUACCGAUCCUAACUUGGAUUCGGAGCUUUGAUAUAUUGGUGAGUUUCCAUGCAUGUUAUCUGACUUGAAUUUGCAAAUGUGACAUAGAUGUGAACUUGAUAUUGUGACUAAGAUGUAUAGUGUUUUGAAUUGUUGAAGUGUUGUGAUGUCGCUUGGGUUGUUAUCCCAUCGACGAUCAGUGAUUGAGUGUGCAUGUUAAUUCUUGGAAAUUCAUUAGUCCUAUAGGUAAGUCUAUCGAUUCAAACUAGUCAUGGGACUUGGUCGAGGAGAUUUGACGAGGCAUAGGAGAGUGUUAUAUAUUCACUGGACUUGGCGUAUGGACUUGUCUCUUGUGAAGUGAAAACUAUGGUAUGCUCGACCAAUACCUAUUUUAAGUGUUUUGGAGUGCGGGCCCGGUAGGAGGGAGUCGUUGGAAGGAGAAUGAAGUAAGUGGAGCUCUACAUGGUGUGAAACUUGAAAGUUGACGGAGUGUCGACUACGUGAAAUAAGAUCAAGAUUCGUGGAAAUUGGCUUCUGAGAGCCACCCGUAUCCUACCCCUUGAUAUUGUUAAUCGCUUUAUUUACUUGUUUUGACUUGUGAACUUGAAGUGUAAUUUGAACUGCUCUAUGUGACUAUAUGCCUUUUUGGACCUCACUGGAUGUUAGCUCAUUCCUUUAAUUUUUUUUUCCUAAACAAGAAUUGAGAACCCGAGUCUAGCCGCUGUCAGUUAGGGUGUGACCCUGUUUCUUUUGUAUCUUGUUUUGGGUUGUUAAACUUUGAAUUAGAUAUUUUGGAAGCUUGUAAGACGAACUCUGAUUGUAUCUUAAGUACGUUGGAUCGUAUCUUAUUAGUCGGGUUUUAAGUUGAACUUAAUUAUGUUAUAAGUUGUGGAAUUGUUAUUUAAGUACUUUAGAAGUUUUUUAUUCUAUUGUAUGAGUGAGUCCUGACAUAAGUUAGGCAGGUAGCCCGCUGAACCCUUUGAUUCGCCCUAGGGGAAGGUGGGACUGUCACACUAACCAACUUGGACAAGGGAAGGUUCACUCCUUCCUUACCCUAAAAUCCUUUAGUUGAGCUAAGAAGUUUUACAAUUGUCCUAGUUACAAUUGAAAGUUCACUCAACUAAUUAAGAACUACUUAUAAGUGAGGCUCACCUUAUUCAAGGUUUUACUUCUCCUCAAUGAGAAAUCUCACAAACCCAAGAACUUUCUCCACACUUGUACAAUAUUUAAAGUAUUUUUCUAUCCAAAAAUUACUUUUAAAAACUUGUGUCUUAUGUAGGCAAAAGUCUUGCUUUUUAUCAAACUUGGGGAUAAAUUAUAGAUGGUGAAACUUUGCCCUAAAAGCGUCUCCAACAGUAAAAAAAUUAACUGUUAGAAAACUAGCCAUUAGGAGAAUCAGACAUCCGAAGCCAGGGAUGUGCCCGAAGCAUGCGUUUGAUUGCUGAGUGAAAAGCUUCUUUCCACUCCCAGCUCCUGUCGGAUGGCCAAAGAUUUCUUCUGUGUCCGAUCCUCUUCAUCCGAUAGCAGACAAAAUGUAGACAAAUUCUUCUCAAAUUCUUCGAACGAUUGAUGCUAUUGUUGUGCAUCCAAUCAAUGUGUUUGAUAGUAGCAAAUGUCCUAAAUGUCCGUCCAACAUUUGAAACAUUCCAUUUGAGAGUGUGAUCGUUAUCUAUCGGACAUUCGAAUGAUUGAGUAGCGUCCGAGCAGCGUAAGCGUCCAAUCCUUUGAAUUCACUUUUUGUGCAUUUGAAUGCUUUCAAUUUUGAUUGUUUUGAUUGUAUAUAUGUAUUCUCACAAAGCAUUGGGAAAGAUAUUAGUAAGAAUCAUCAUUUUGGUUUGUUACCCACCAAAGAAAGGAUUGAUAAAUCUAAAGUUUCAAGUUUUAAAUAAAAGUAUAUAAAUGAAGAGCUUAAACUAUAGGCAAAUAAAUGAACUGCCUUCAAAAGUAAAGAAGUAAUUUUGUAAAGUAGAGUCAGCUCACAUUGCUUCACAUAGCAAAUUUUGUACUGCAUUCAGUUUUCCCUUUCUUUUUUGAUUCCGCACCUCAUUAAACCAACAAAUGAAAUGAGACAUAACAAUGUGGCUCACUUCUACUCCUUUCUCUCCAUUCAAAUAGACAUUCAUCUUCCAAACAGGACUAAGAGAACUAAAAAUCAAUUCAUUGUAUAUCAUAUUUCAUUCAUGUACAAAAAUACAGGACACAUGUUCUUAAGACUCUUAAUCCACUUUCAAUUUCUUAUUACCAUGCAUUGAAGUUCCAUUUGAUAGUAAUACCUGGCAAUAAGAAAAGCAAGGAAAACUGAAAACAUGAAAAAAAACUAAAGGGCUUAAACUGUAGACAAAUAAAUGAACUACCUUGAAAAGAAAUAGAAAAUGAGUGUGUUUUUUUUGUUUUAUAAUAUUUUUGCUUUCUUUGAGCAUAUUAUUAAUUAAAAAUCAAAGCCAUAUUUUGUUUACAAGGAUAACUCAUCAAAUCUGAAAAUUGUCUUUAUUGAUUUGCAACUACUAUCAAAUUCUUGGCUUGCAAUCACUUGUUUAUGUCAAGUUUCAAAUAAUUAUAUACAAAUGAAGAGUUUAAAAUGUGGGCAAAAAGAUAAAUUGGUUCAAAGAGGAAAUAGAAAACAAAUGGACGCCUUUGUUUUGUAAUAAUUUUACUCCAUCUAGGCAUAUUACAUGCGCAUAUUAAUUAAAAUAAAAAAUGAUAUUUUUUUUUGUUUGUCUUUUGUUGAUACAUUUUGUUUUCUUAAUUUUUAAAAAAGGCUAAAUUAGGUAGACUUUGAUUUAUAUCGUGUGCUAUGGUAUCUACCAUACCAUAAAAGUGUGAUUUAUAAACCCUCAUGAUGAAAAUAAUUUCUUUCUUUAUUACUAACUAUAAUGGUUAAAGAAAGGGAUAAUUUCGCAAACCUCCCCUGAGGUUUGUAACACUUGCACUGAGACCCCUCCAGGUUUUAAAAAUUUCACCUAGCUCCCUUGCUUUUCAAAUUUUGGCAACAAUUCAGUCCAAUUAGGAUUAAAAUAUUACUAUCAUGAUAGAGAUGACAUUUUUAUUCCAUGAAUACCCUCUUCCUCUCUAUAUUAGUACAAGAUUGCAAGUUAUUAAAAAGGUUGAGAUGAUUAUCAAAGUUGAGGGGAUAUAAAUGCAAUUCAGGAAUUUUGAUGCAGUACAUGGAGACAUCUUCAGUAUGUUAACAGGAAUAGCCAAUGACAACUUGCAAUCUUCCAACGGCCAGAUUUUGUAUACCUCCAACUGUAUAUAAACAUCAGAAGUGCAAAGUAUAUCCUCAAGCCAAAAGAUUGUGAGGAGGAAGAGUUUAGGUAGAUUAAUCCUCAUUGUUUUGCAGGAGCAUUAACAGAAGGCUAUAGUGAAAACAUUUAGCAGAUCUUAUGCAUGGCCCCUUGAUCCACCAUCGACUGCUUGAACCAAUGCAAACCGCGGAGUUUAAGCACUUUUAGCUGAGGAAGUCCAUUGCAGCAUUCUUAACUGACAGAAUUUUCAGAAAUUUCUGGUUAGUAAUCAAAAGUUGCUGUGGCACUGGUUAGGCAUUGAAGUAAGGGAUGCAAUGGGGCUUGCCAUCCCCAUUUGGUGUCCAACGUACCAUAAAAGAGUAGGACACAAGCACCCAAAACAUCAUUGGAGGCACCAUUUUGAAGCUGUUUAGAGAUGAACUAGCAUUUUUAGCAUGAUUUUAUUUAUUAUUGUGAAUUUGUGCAAUGACUCUUACGGAUUGCUACAAGGAUUCGGUGACGGAUAAAGUAUCAACAAAUAAUUUUUAUUUUAAAAGGAAUUAAAAAACUUGAAAAAAAUUUGCUGGCCAAAAUUUGUAGUAAAAACUUAAAAAUUAUUCACAUGACCAUCAUAUGAGUAAUUAGUCAUAAUUUAUUAUAGUUACUGCUAGAAGUAUUUUUUAAAAUUUUUAAAAAUAACUAGUUGUUGGCACAUGACUCGAUUUUGACAAUAGCAUUCGAUAAAAAUCAGUUAUUAGAACUAAAUAUGCAUGAAACUAAAAUAUUUGGAACUAUAUUUAUUUUCCCAAAUUUUAGUAACUAAAAGCCUUCAAUUCCAAAUAUUUGGAGCCAAAAUUGUAAUUCUCCCAAAGCAGUAUUUAUCUAUCAAAUUCGGCUUUGCUUCUGACCUUAUAUAUUGGGUCAAGAAUGUAGUGCCAACUUGGUAGCGUUAAUAAAAAUCCCCUGCUUCAAUGAUGCGAAUAAAUUAGCUGAAAAAAAGAAAAAUCAAAGUCAAUCAUCAAAGCUUGCACGAGCUCAACCCAUCAAAUUUUGCUUUGUGCUACUGGGUGAGAGAUUUGGAUUGGAUAAAAAUCAUAAAAUAAAGGACGGCACAACAACUUUGAUCCGAACGCCAGACUGAAGAUGGCUGGACAUUUGAAGAUGUAAAUACCAAUGUGAAAAUGCAUUUGUCAUCCAAGUUAGUCAUCUAAACCAACCUCUAAGGACAAAUUGGUAAUUUCAGCACUCUUCAUGUCAGCAAUGACCCCAAUACUCUGCCAGGGGAGCUAGGUGAAAAUUUUAAAACCUAGAGGGGUCUCAGUGCAAGUGUCAGAAACCUCAGGGGAGGUUUGUGAAAUUAUCCCUUAAAGAAAUGACUACUCAAGAGGUUCCCCAAUACCAGAAGGAAGACCAUUGUGUCAUGUUUUGUUUGCUCAAACGGAGAAAAGCAGGUUAGUUGUUCAAAUCACUAAUAUAUAUUCUCCAAAAACAAUAAAUUGACAUUAGCUUUUCUUCCUAUAGGGAAUUUUUGCGUCUAUUUUUCAUUCCCUUGGUCUUCAAAAUGGUCAAACUAUUACAAUCUACCAGGCAUACAGCACUGGGAAAUCAACCUCAAAGAUAGAUGUUUUGAACAGGGAUAGGACUCCUUCUGCAGAGAAAAUCUUAUUCAUGAAAAUAAUAUGGUUUUUCUUCACAAAGGGAAAUCUUACCUACAAUGUUUUAGCUUUCUCUAAGACACAAACUCAUAUUUGGAUGCCUUGGACUCUUCCAUUACCAAUGCUCUCAAACAAAGGCAGCUGCUUAUUUCCUUAGUCUUUUUUUGUUAUUGAUGUACCCUUUUUUUUGUUUCCAUAGUAUUUAGUAUUGUUGACAUGUUAUCCUUUGUUAAUUUAUAAAAGAUCAUGAAGUCCAGGAAUCUGUCCUCCAUCUCAUUGUCUCGUCUAUAAAUCCAUUACUAAAACAUGACUGGAUGGCAUUCAGUUGCUUCUAUCAAUUCUAUCUAUCAAAGUACAGUACAAGUUGGCAUUGUUUUGCGUUUCCUCACUUUAUUAACUCUCUUUGUUUUUUUUUUUUAAUUUGUGUGCACUUCCUGAUCACUUUUUUUUGUGCAUUUAUAGGAUCUACCAGAAUUUACAGAUCUAAGGCUAAAUGAAGAUAGGAUGCCAAUUUAUAACUCUCACAAAUAGUCAUAAAUAUUAUCACACUGGUAUGACUGGCAGAUGUUUUGAUCAAAACUGGAACUAUUUUGUUAUUGAUCAUGAUUUACGAAUGAUCAAAUACUAUUUUUAUUCUAUAGUCGAAUACUUCCUUUGCCAUACUGGUGUUUGACCGAAAGAGAUAGAAAAAUUGUAUCCAUGGCACUUUGCGUUUUGCAUUUGAUCAGGCAUUUGGUUUACGUGAUUUUGUUACAGCAAAAUGCACUUCAUUUGCUGCAUUUCUGUUCUUAAUACAACAUAAGUUCUGAUUAGAAAAAUGUUUCCAAUGCACUAGAAGUUUAAUGUUUAGCAAGUUGUUGCAGUUGUUUAUAGAUUCAAGCAUUGAUAAUGGAUGUUUAGCCACAAAAUUGAUGUAAAGCUACUGACUGCACUUAUCAAGUUUUGAAAGUAAAUGUUUGAAGUGUUUCUUUGGUUUUUUUCCUUUUUAACUAAUAAUUAGCCAUUGCAAUUUCUUUUGCAAAAUGUUUCCAUAAAACAAAUUAUUGAAGAGGUUUAUCUCCAUAAACUACAUGUUUAAGAAUUGAUCUGUUUCGGACUUUAUUAAUUCAAUAUACUUUUUUGGCAAAAAUUAUUAUUUAUUAUUUUAAGAUUGGAUAGGGUAUUCAUUCCAUUGCGAAGCGGGUUUAUGCCUCCUAGUUCGAAGGAUAUCAUACUUUUUGCCACCUGACUCAUUAAUAGUUCUUUGGUACUUAUAUGGAGGUGAGUUGUAUCUUCUCCUAGUUUCGAGUAACACAUUACGGAGCCCCCACGGGGUAGCUCGGACGGUGUGCUCCCCCUCUUUAGGGUAUGACCACUUACCUGGCAACCAGGGUUUGAGUUCCGUGGCUUACGUCUUCGGUGUGGAGUGGGGCCUCCUCUCCCGGAGCGCAGGGGAUUAGUCGAGCCCCGUAAGAAUUGACCCGGACACCCUCUGUGUCGACAAAAAAAAAAAAAAAAAGAGUAACACAUUACCGCUUGUCCGACUAAUAAAACGUUACAGUGCUGGAACAAUAGGAAUCACAAAUAAUUGAUACCAUCUCUUCCUCUGUCACUAAAGAAAUCUUUGAAAUCCCCACUAUUACUUAAUCUCUCUUCUGCCUUUCUCUCCAACCAAAAGGAAUGCACAAUAACAAGUCCGUAGUCCACCCUAGGAAAGACAGAACCCUCGUCUCUCUCCCUUGGAAAACGCCUUCAAUUUUCAAACAUCAACCCAACGACCUCACUGUUUACUCUCUCUCUUCUUCCUUUAAAAGUUUACAAAGCAAAGUGUCUAACUUUCCCUAGGGUUCAACUGAUAGCCCUUGUUCCAAGAAUCCAUUUUUAUUCUUUGAUUCUUCAAUUUCUUGAUCAAUUUUUUUCAUGGGUUUGAUCCGAUUUCAGUCUUUCGCAAAUCCCAUCAGAAUUACACUGAAAAAAAGUUACUGAUAUAUUUUUAUUUCGGUUUCUGGAUCAACAAUCCUGUUGAUCCAUCAAUGGAAUUGUUAUCUGAUGAAAUCAAAUCAAUCCCCAAGUUUUUGAAUCCAUAAAUGAAACCCAGAUCGUCAUUAAUCCGCAGCUCGUCGAUUUCAGAUAGCGCUGGGGGAUUAUCGUGCGUGCCAUUAUCAGCAGCAUCAUCAUCAAUGGCGGCGCCGAGGAGUGUGGUGGUUGAUGCUGGCAGUGUCGGCGUUGGAGUCGGAGGAGGGAGGGUGAGGGAUGAGGAGAAGAGUUUUGGGAUUAUACUGCAGCGAUGGCGGGGGAUUCGCCCACCGGCAAGAAGGGUAAAAUAGGGAAGGGGUGAUUUUUCCGUUAUCCCGGUGGGAAGUCAUGGCAGGGUUGGGUGUAUUUCUGUUGUUUUCCGUUGGAUUGGGUUGUAUUUACCUGACAAUGCCAGUUGCCGACUAUAGUAAGCUCAAGCUGCCUCGGACCCUUUCUGAUCUUCGGAUGCUCAAGUAAGUUGCUUGUUUUCUAUUACUUUUCUUUUAUAAAUGUAAUUUAUUUGGUUGGAUUUGUUUUUAAUUAUCGAUUGCUUUAUGAUAUGGGAGGACCCUUGUAUAUUGAAGUUUUUGUUUAACUGCUAUUUUAAGUAGUAGUGCUUGGAGUUAAUUGGUUAGGUUUAUAGGGGUGUUUUAGCAGUGUAAUGUGGAUAGCUAAAGUACAAUGUGCCUAUGGACACAGGAGGAACGGGUGAGACUUGAAUGGUAUUGCGACUUGAAUGGUAGAAGACUUGAUAGAUGGAAAUGGUAAUUUUUUGCACUUGCAUAGAAGUUCCAAGAUCCCAAAGUGUACUAUUGGUUUGGCCCUCCAAGAUCCUACGGUUUUUAAGAGCACAAGAUCCUGCGGUUUCUAAGAGCACAAUGUAUUGGCGUAUUGCUUCAGUUGGAGAAAGCUAUGCUAGAACUGAAGUAGGCUUUGGGCCUGAUGUGGAGAAGUGUAAUAUGUGGCAUCAUAUCAUCAAUUUGAAGAUAAUAAAUGUGAAAUGGGUAGGAAUGUACUGGUAUAUGAUUUAAUCAUUUGUCGUGUUUGAAUUUGAGACCUAGGUUCUUUCAUUAUCUUUGAGAAUAGGAAAUAUGGUAUGCAACUAGUUAAUAGUGGUUUAGAAUUCAGGACAUAUGAUUGAAAUAAAGACUUUUAUGGUCCUAGUGAUCUGUACUCCAAACCAAAGAAAUGCAAGAUAAGAAGGAGAGCUCUUCAGGUAAGGUUUCAAUGAAUGCAUGUGGUAAGAGUAAAAUGGACCUUAUGGUCGAUCCAAGGUCCUGUCCACCUGGACUCAAAUCUAGCUGAUCUUUAAUCUAUUUCUUCCAGCCAACUCAUGAACAAAUGUUGGACCAAUUUCACAGCUGGCGCAACUGAAUUGGUUGAUUGAAGACUGAAGAAAUGCCAAGUUGUCAAGGACAUGUAUGAAGAGGAGGCAGAUCCUCUAAAUUUACCAGAAAUAUGGGCAUAGUAAUUUAAAUUAUUUACCAAGUUGCCAAGUUAGUAGGUCCUUUAUUGUUUAUGAUUAUUCGGGAUGAUUAUUUGGGGAUGGCAGACAGUGAUUUAUAUAGUGGUUGUCAGGUAUUCACAGCUUUCUUCUUUGGCUUGUAACACAGUGAAAUGAGAAAUUGCAGAACAUAGUAAUCGAGGGCUUGUGUAAAGUAUGUAGUGUUGUGUUGUGGCUUUCUUGCGAUGUAGUUUGGGUCUUCUACAAUUAACUUCCAGGAGUUCAUUAGCAUUUAAAUUGUAACUACUGCACUCUGUCCAAAAUGGAAACAUAUUUCCUUAAUAUUGCCAAAGGAAUGUUAUAAUUGUCUUAUUCAUUUUGCCAAUUGCGCAGAACUUGUUCUGAGAGUUGAAACAGGUAUGUUGUGCUUGUGAAACUCCAAGUUUAGGAUCUUUGCACCAAUGUUUUAAAAGGCGAAAACAUUGGGCGAGGCAUUUGGUCCUUGCCCAGAUGGGGUGAAAGCCCCAAGGCAUGAGGCGUAAGCCCCACAAAUUUUGAUUAUUUAAUAUUAAAAAAUAUGAAGAAUACAAAAAGAAAAACUAUUAGAUUACUACAAAUAUACAAAUAUAGAGUAAAUGAAUAUUAAAAAAUCAAAAUGCAGAAAUGUUAGUGCUUUAAAAUUCUGCACCAAUUAAGCAGAUAAUUUCAAGUGAUUUAAUUCUUUCUCUUUAAAGUCAACACCAGAUUGAAAAUUUCCCCACAGCUCAAUUACAUCAACUGCCUUUACUCGUUCAAUUCCUGCCCCAAAAAAAACUUUCAUUCAAAAAAUAGAUUUUCAUUCAUUCUUUCCCCUGGGUUGUGAAGUAGUGGAAGCUGAGGGAUGGUGGUGACGAAGGGGCUGAGUUGCAAAUUUGGAGGAGUGAAAGACUUUGGUUGACUUGAUGAUGGAUUGACACUAUGUAAGAGGGAUUGAUGAGUGAAUAAAAAGAGGAAUUAGGGACUUUGGAGGGGAUUAGGGUUUAGGAAUUAGGGAUUUGCGAUUAAACACAGAGGCCUCUCGGUAUCUGUCGUGGAUUGUAAGGUUUUAAAAGUUGAAAAAAAGAACUGAAUUACAGGAAUUAUGGAACUAUAUCAAAAGGCAUAUGCCUUCUUCCUUGAGGCGAAAAAAACUCGCCCAGCACAGUAAUACGUUUGCCCCAUCAGUUGGGGGCGUGCACGCAACGGUAUGUCCACCCCUUCAACUGCCCGGGGCAGUUGACAUGUGCCCUGCCCUGGAGGCAUGCCUUAUUAACACCUCUCAAAACAAUGCUUUGCACUGCUUCUUGGUUUUACUCGUACAUUUAAUUGAGGAAUUCAUAUUGUGGGUUGGUCUGUUAGACAUGCCAAAAUGAAGUCUUGUAACACAGACAACAUAUGAUUUUUUAUGUUGUAAUAUUUUUUGCACCACAGCAUGUGGUUUCCCGAGAAUAAAUUUGCAAAUAUAUCUAGAAGUUCUUUGAAAGAGAUUUUUUUUCUCCAACCAAUCAAAGUUUUUAAAAUUUCUGGAGGUUCUUGAGUAGUUGUUGCUUGUCAAAAAAUUGGCCUACCUAGUUGGUUGCGUAUUCUUGGGCCAUUGAUAAAGUUCUGUGGGUUAUGCUGUGAAUAAAAUGACAGACUUGGAAGCAAAGUGGCUUAAAUUUUGUAAUGGAAUAAGCAUAAUCAUGUCAACAAGUUGCUUUUUAUCACCAAUAUCUGGUCUUAGAUGUGUGUCUUCCAGAUGAAGAUGUCAAAGCUGGAAUUACAUCAUAUUUGAAGCUACAUAGUUGAAAUAUUUUCUUUUAAUGGACCAAAAUUCGGGUAUUUCAUCUUUUUUUUUUUAAAAACAAAUUUUGGAGUUAGGAUUUUGAGUAAUCGGGUGUCCUAGCUUACCCUUUCUUCACUGUUAUCAUGUGAAUAUGGUUCUUUCAAGUUGUUUAUUUUGUCUACUCCCUCC
rnacentral:lncRNA from 1 species